ACAAAUGAAAAAGUAAAUUUUAACCUAUGAAAUUGAUUUAAACAACUGAAGAUUAAAACCUAGUAUUAGAAAGGAAAACUAAAUUAACACCAAUUUGCCCAAAAUUAAACCAUGUAUUAUACUAAAUUAAUUCACAAGAGAGUUCCACAUCACUCAAAUAUUAUCUCGCACUCAAAUUCACAAAACUCACUUUCCAGGUACAAAGUUUGUAGCAUAUGACCAUGCAUUGUUUGCAACCGGGUCCGCAAGAUGGUCAGCGAGGUUCUCCAAUGGUCCCUUUCCGGUAACAAUGGCUUGAACAAAGAAUCCAAACAUAGAGAACAUGGCUAGUCUGCCGUUCUUGAGCUCCUUCACUUUCAGCUCAGCAAAUGCCUCUGGGUCAUCAGCCAGACCCAAUGGGUCGAAGCUACCACCAGGGUAAAGUGGGUCAACUACCUCACCAAGAGGUCCACCAGCAAUUCUGUAACCUUCAACUGCACCCAUCAAGAUCACUUGGGUAGCCCAGAUGGCUAAAAUGCUUUGUGCAUGGAUCAAACUUGGGUUCCCCAAGUAGUCAAGACCACCCUCACUAAAGAUCUGGGAUCCAGCCUUGAACCAGACAGCCUCACCAAACUUGACACCAUUACGCGCCAAGAGUUCGGGGAAGACGCACCCAAGAGCUCCGAGCAUGGCCCAUCUGCUGUGGAUGACCUCAAGCUCACGGUUCUUGGCGAAUGUUUCAGGAUCAGCAGAGAGCCCAGCAGUGUCCCAACCGUAGUCACCGGGGAACUCACCGGUCAGGUAAGAUGGGGCUUCGCCGGAGAAUGGGCCAAGGUACUUAACACGGUCGGGGCCGUACCAUGGACUUCCUGAUGGUGCGACUUUCUUGACUGCUGUCUUCCUCAUGGAAACCCUUCCAUUUCCGGUAAUUUCAGAACCAGAUGGUGCUACUUUCACCGCCUGUCCGACGAAAGAAGAGGAUAGUGCCAUGGUGGAAGCUGCCAUUUUUGUGAGAUUUGUUUUGAAGAUGUUUUGAUGAUAUGAUAGUAUUAUGAGUGAUGAAGAUGUGUGGAUCUGGAACGUAGAUUUAUAGGGUGGUUUUUGGGCCAGGUAGUUGAUCAAUGCUUAUCUUGAUACACUCUUUAACUUCAUUUUGAUUGGCUACCAAGAUUUUAGUUCUAUCAGAGGGUAUAUAAUUUGUGUGGUUCAAGUUCUCUGGUCCACGGGAGAUAUUUGAAGGGGCAGCGAUAUUCAUGGCUCUGGCUUAUUGAGCGAAUAUAAUGGCUCGCAUUCUCAGCCACUAGCUAGUCUUGGUGGGGUUUUAGCCAGUCUUUGUGCGGUUUUUCAUGUUUAACCAUUACCAUAGUAUCGACUAAGUUUAGUCCAAACAUGCAUUGAAGUUCAGUAGAUUUGUAUUAUCAUUUUGUUUUUUAUACAAAUUUAUCAUUUUCGUACAUAAUAUAAACUCUAGGAAAAUUAAAUAGAAUAUAUUUUGAGAUAUUGACAACAUUGACCAAAUAAUAAAAAAACGUAACACACCAUUCUAAAAAAUAACAUAUAACCAUGAUGUCCGAAAAAAAUAUAACAUAUAACCAUGAUUUUCGAAAAACAAAAUUCUUGAAGAUGUACAAUUUUCGAAGGUACUAUUUGGUGACUAAUUUUAAAAGAAGCCAUUUUCAAAAUGUAAUAUUCUCGAAGUGAUUAUUUCAGCUACUUAAGGUGAUGUUGAUUUCAAAUCUCUAACAUGACAAAAAGCUUCCCCAACAAAUCUGAAGCAUGGACAUUUCAACCUAAAGAUGGGUGAGGGAAGUUCUUUUAUUGAUCAUCUUUUGUUUUCUAACAGCUUGUAGAACAUCUAGAAAUAUUGGAUGCCACAUAUGAAAAAGAAGACUUGCCGUUGUUCCUAUUGUCAUCUUUAACAAAUUCAUAUGAUGACUUUUGUGAUAAUAUUAUCUAUAGCUGAGACACCAUUGUCUUGGAUGAGAUCAUGACCACUUUAGACUUGAACGAAAGGAUGAAACUUAUCAUUAGUGAUAGUAAUGGUGAUAUAAAGGACGAAGGUCUCCAAGUAAGAGGAAGAUAUAUGUAGGGAAGUAACGAUUCCAAAUCCCUUAACAAGUCAAGAUCCAAGUCCAAAGAGAAACGUAUAUAGUGCAAAUAUUGUGUGUCUGUUGAAGCUGAUGUGGCCGAGAUCGUCUUUGAUGGCGAGCUUCUAGAAUUAUUUCUGACGAUGGUUAUUUGAUUACCACGAACGGUGGGUUCUUGAAUUUGUGCGUGCUUUUCACAUGAGUCCAAACAAAUACUAUUGUCACACCACAUUGAAAAGGAUAGUUGAUGCCAAGUUUUAAUAGGCAACGUCGACACUUCCUCCCUUAUUUUAGGACAAGCCACAAUUAGAUUUUGAAUGUUCGAUGGUGUAGUAAGUGUUGGGUUUCUAUAACAUCAAGUACACACAAACAAGGUAGUGGAAACAAUGAAAUGAUAUACCUAAGUGCAUAUGCUCUUUAGAUCUAGGUUUUACUAGUUUUAGCAAAAUACUUAAAAAUCAACAUAAAAUAAAGAUAAAACACUUACUUUUUGUUCAUUUGUAACGUCAUAAUAAAUACUCUCUCCGUCCCAAAAUUAUUGUUCACAGACAAAAAAAAAACACACAGAUUAAGAAAACAUUAAUUACUACUAACUUUAUUCAAUAAAAUGACAGUUAUGUCCUUAUUUUGCAUUUAAUGUUCGAUUAAAUGCUUAGUUGGUUAAGUAAUAAUAAUAAAGUGUAUUUUGGUAAAAAAGUUAUUUAUUUUUAUAAGUGGACUAUAAUUUUAGGACAAACCAAAAAGGAAAGAUGGACUAUAAUUUUGGGACGGAGAGAGUAAUAAUUACUAAAAUAAAAUCCUAAAAUAGGAUAAUCUAUAGCCGUGCGCGCUGCGGACUAUAUAAUACAAGUUUCUUAUUAAGGAAAAAUAGGAAAAAUCACCCGAGUCGUCCGUAAGUCAUAAAAAUAAGUGUGCCAAAAUGUAUAUAUUAUUAUAUAUUCAAAAAGUACAUGUCGUCCUGAUCCCGAAAAUAUAAAUUUCGUAGAAAUCUUAGUUCAUAUGAAGACGAUAUGAAUUUUAUAAGACAUAAAAAUCAACAGCCUAACUAAAAAUUAUUAACGUCAAAAUGUACAAAGAGAAUGGUUGACCUUUGGGUAAAGUCACCAAAAUGAAAAUCAUAAUGCUCUUUAAUGUAAGAAUUUUGGUAAAAGAAACACAAAAACUCGGAGUCCGUAUGGGAAAGUUAUGAUUUUUGCAAAAUCAUUAAAUCAUAUAAAAAUAAGGGCUAAAAACAAAUUCAGAAUUAGCCGAUGGAGCCUAAAGGAAAGUUGUAGUAUUGUCGAGAGCUACAUGUGGAAAAAAAGAACGUCAAAAGCAGAGUCCGUAUGAAGAAGGUGAAAAUGCGACCCAAUGAGAGCUUGACACGUGACACAAUGUGGCUAGGGAGAAGUCACCUUAAAAUGCACGACGUACACCCCCAUUGCACACUGUGCACCCAAAAUCGGCUAUAAAUAGGAGGUCAAGCCUCAUUCACUCCUCAACACCGCUUCUAUCAUUCUCUUUCGAUUUCCUUUGGUUCUGGCCCAUUUUAUCUUAGUUUUAGCAUUCGGCGAAGCCCUGCGAUCCCUAAAGUAGUAGUAGUUAGCGAGUAGAAGCUUUGCCAAUGCAAUUUCCUAACUUUGUUAGGAAGAACCUUUGUAAGUUAAGCUAUACUCUAGUCUUUUCAAUGUAAGUUAUAUUUAUAGUCAUAAGUCAUUAUUAUGAACCUAUAAAUAAGAUUUAUCAAUAAUUCUAUGUCGUUAUACUGAUUGAUCUACUUACGGGAGAUGUGCCUAGAAUGGUCACGUUGGCUUGGUUGUUGGAUUUCAAAAAAGAUAAUGAUUCUGCCUCCCAACUGUCCUGCUUGGAUGAUCCUUAAUUGAUAGAUCUUGAUUUAGACAUCAAAAUUAAUGAGGAAUCUAGUCAUCAGGACCAUUAGACUAGAACUUUAUAUAAAUUAUACUUAGGUAUCGGAAAUAUCUGAGGUGUUAGGCAAAGCUCUGCCCAGAUCACCAGCCACCCACCUAAGUCAAGUGAGUACAUAGUCCCCUUCAUGAACACGAUUUAAUACAAGUAUUAAUUGAAAUAUUAAAAAUCUGCUGGAAGUCGUAUGUGAAUUAUAUACUUAUUGCCUGGAUUGUAUGUUAGGAUAUAUGGUGCUAUGUGCGAACUAGAUAUGGUUCUAUUUUAUGUUAAGAUAAAUAGAUAAUAUUACAUAAUAAUAUUCAAAGCAAAAUUGUUGAGAAGAUAAAUGAUUAAUAACACCUAAUACUCUUAUGGAAUAUAUAUAUAUAUAUAUACUAAGAUAGGUUAGUGUCGCCCAAGAAUAGAGUUGGUAUUAAAAAUUUAGUUUCAGGCACGGUAUUCUAUUCUAGGAAUAAACUUAGACUUAUGGAAGAUACCUAGUUCAAUUAAGUUGAUAUUAGAUAGUCUCAUUAGGAGAAUGUGCGUAACCUAGGAAUGGAGAGUAAAGUUUUGUUCCAUGACACUAUUAGGUGUCGAUUUGUUAUAGCUUCGUACUAGAUGACCAGAAAUGGUGGGUCCUGAUCAGGCAACUGUUAGCAGUAUGUCUAGUCACGCCACAUAGUAUUUUUGGAUUAGAUGUCCAAACCCAUAACUAUAAUUGGUAUAUACUUGACCCGAGAGUAGCAUGGUCCAUUUCAGGUUGCCUUCAUCAAAGCAAUUUGACAAGAUAGAUAUUUGAGAAAGAGGUUAUUUGUGAUUUACUAAUAUUAUAAGAAUAAUAUAUUAAUUAAGAAAUCAUAUUAUUUAAGUAGUAUUGUUCAAAAAUUAAUUUGGAAUUAAUUUAGUAAUCAAAAGAGACUAAUUAAAUUUGCAGGGACUGAUUAGGUAAAUCAGUGAUAUUUAUAGUUUGGGGCCUUUGGGCUAAUGAUCAAUGUUGAUUAGGAUUGGACUAAUUCUUUGUGAGAGUCCAUGAAGAGUUAGUCCAAAACGCUAAUGAGUUAUUGGAUUAAAAGCCCAAGUGAGUUAGGGUUUACAAGUUGAAUCCCUAGGAAUUCAUAACAUUAUUGAAGCAACAUACUAUUGAAUAAAAAAACUUCUAAACCCUAAUGGAAAUCACAAUUUUCAGAAGAAUUACAUACCUCUAAUUUGUUAUUGUAAGCAAACCUUUGAAUCCAACAAGAUCAAUCCAAAAGUCUCUUUGAAAACAAACUUCAAUUGUGAGCGAGCCUCUAAUGGUUCGCACUCACAAGACAAGAACCCUAGAAAGAUUAGGAGAGAGGUUCAAAUUUUUGGAUCUACUAUCUCAAUAGAAGUGGCCAAAAAUUUCAAGGUACAAGACCCUAUUUAUAGCUUAUUAGGAAACAUCUAGAAACCCUAAUUUGAACAUAAAAUAAAAUUAUCUCAAAUAAGUCAAUUAUUUAGUUUCUUGAUUAUCUGCAUGGAGGCUUCCUGAAACCUUAGUGGGUCUAAAAAAAAGGUCCACUGGAGGAAGGUUCUGGAAUCUCUCCUCUGCUCAACUCUUAAAACAAGUUUCGCUUUAGUCCUUCAACCUUUAAUUAAUUUUAAUUAACCAUAAAUUAAUUCCAAACCAAUUCUAAAUUAAUCAUAACUAUUUAUAAUUAAUAUAUUAAUCAUAUAAUAUAUUAAUAAAUCAUUUCUCUCUCUUCUAAAAUCAAUCUAAGCAAUUUCUUGGUUAUGAGGGCAACCCAAAAAGGACUUUGCUUUUAUUUAUCAACAUUAUAUCAAUUUAGUUUGGAUCUUAGACACCUUAAUCCAACAUAAGGUUCGUAAUACAUAUACAUGUUGUGUAUGUCCAUUAGCAAAACAAAAAUGAUUACCAUUUGUUUCUGCAAACAAUGUAUCUCAUACACCUUUUCAAUUGAUUCAUUGUGACAUUUGGGGUCCUUAUCAAAUCAAUUCACAUCGGGGUUAUAGGUUUAUCAUUACUAUUGUGGAUGAUUACACUAGAUUCACUAGGAACUAUUUGAUAAGACACAAAUCUGAGGCACAAUUUGUUAUUCCCCAUUUUUUUUUUUUAAAAAUGGUGCUCAAAUAAUAUCAUACUCAUAUAAAUAUUUUCAGAUCGGAUAAUGCAAAAGAACUUCAACUCAACGUGUUUUUUAAACUAAAUGGAGUAUUACAUCAGUUCUCGUGUGUUGAUAGACCACAACAAAACUUUGUUGUUGAGAGAAAACUUCAACAUCUCUUAAAUGUGGCAAUGACAUUGUUCUAUCAAGCUCACAUUCCUUUUAUAUGUUGGCUUGAAUGUGUUUCAACAAGUGCCUACAUGAUAAAUAGAACUCCCUCAAAAGUUCUUGGAAAUAUUUCUGCUUAUAAAAAUCUCUAUAAAGAAUAGCCUCAUUACUCAUAGCUUUGAAAUUUUGGUUGUUUACCUUUUGCAUCCACACUUCAUUCUCAAAGACAUAAGUUUGAUCAUUGAGCAAGAGCAUGUGUUUUCAUUAGAUAACCACAAGGAAUGAAAGCAUAUAGAUUUCUUGAUAUAGAAACAAAUCAAAGUUUUGUUUCUAGAGAUGUCAUAUUUCAUGAGGGGAUAUUUCCUUUUAAAUAAUGCUCGCCAUCUUCUCAUACAAAUCCAUUUAUCUUUCAUGUUUUGCCUAUACUUUUACCUAGAAUCACUCAUUCUUUUACUCCUUCAGAAAAUCUCAAUCAAUUUGAUUCCCAAAUUGAUACCUUACAAAUGAAAUUCCAAAUUCACAACCAAUAUUUCUAGACCACGAAGACAAAGAGCUCCUCCUUCAUAUCUUCAGGAUUUUCAGUAAUUUGAUAAAUCCAAUUCCAGAAGAAACAUCUAUCAAAUACCCAUUAUUUGUUGUAUUAUCUUAUUUACAUCUUUCUCCUUCUUACCAAGCAUAUACUUAUGCCUUAUCUACUCAAACUAAACCCACUUCUUUUAAAGAAGCCAUUCAACAACCUAAAUGAAAGCAAGCAAUUGAUGAAGAACGUCAUGCUUUAGAGUUAAAUAAUAGUUGAACCAUUGUAACCCUAUCUCUUGAUAGAAAACCUUUGGGCUGAAAACGGGAUUUUAAACUUAAAAAGAAGGUUGAUGGAUCCAUUGAAAUCCAUAAGGAUAUAAUGGUAGCAAUGGGCUAUAGUCAAUAAGGAGUGGAUUUUUUUGGAUACUUUCUCACUUGUGUAAAAUUUAGUCAUAGUCAAACAUUUGCUGCUAACAAAGCUUGGCCACUAAUCCAAUUAGAUGUUAAUAAGCUUUCCCAAAUGGGGAUUUAAAUGAAGAGGUUUAUAUGCACUUACCACAAGGAUAUACUCCAUCUUUGUUUCUAAUUCCAGUGGAAAAUUAGUCUGCAAUUUUGAAAAAUAUUUAUAUGGUUUACAACAAGCUUCAAGGCAAUGGUAUGAUAAAUUUUCAAAAUUUUCUUAUUUCUAAAUAUUUCAAGCAAUAUCAAUAAAAAAAUUCCUUAUUUUUCAAAGGAAAAGAUGAUAAUUUUAUGGCCUUAUUAGUAUAUGUAGACGAUAUUGUCCUUACGGCUUAUUCUCUCACAACCAUUAAUAACAUCAAACAACGUUCAAGUGAUGCCUUUUAUCUCAAAGAUUUGGGUAAACUCAAACAUUUUUUGGGUUUGGAAAUUGGAAGAUCCCCAAAUGGAAUUGUCAUUUCUCAAAGGAAAUGUGUUAGAUCUAUUUGAAGAUGUUAGCAUGUUGGUAUCCAAACCAACCUCUCAAUUAAUGGAUCCUUGUCAUAAAAAAUUAAUUUUUUAUGGAUAACCUGUAUAAGAUCCAUCUCAUUAUCGCCAUUUAGUUGGUCGUCUUCUUUAUCUCACAAUCACACCUCCCGAAAUAGCUUAUGUAGUACACAGAUUAAGCCAAUAUAUUUCUGAUCUAAAAAUACCACAUCUUCAGGUAGCUCAUCAUGUGUUAUGAUUUUUAAAGGAUAACCCUAGACAAGGUUUGUUUAUUUCAUCCAAACCAUCUUUGCAAGUCAAAGCAUUCAAUGAUUCUGAUUGGGUUGGAUGUAUUAACACUAGAAGAUCUUUUACAGGUUUUUGUGUUUUUCUUGGAGAUUUCUUAAUCUUGUGGAAAUCCAAGAAAAAAACCACUUUUCCAAGAAGAUCAAUAGAAGUAGAGUACAGGGCACUGGAUCUGUCAUAAAUGAUGUGAUCUGGUUAAGAUAACUUAUGCGUGAUUUUUUUUAUUAAUUUGGAUCCACCAACAUUUGUUUUUUGUGAUAAUAAUUUUGCAAUGCAAUUAGCUGUCAAUCCUAUAUUUCACUAGAGGACUAAGCAUAUCUAAAUCGAUUUCCAUUUCAUAAGGGAAAUGAUUGUGGAUCACACCAUCAAACUCAUGCCCAUUCAUACUUCAAAUUAACUAGCGGAUAUAUUUACAAAACCCCUUGCUUAUUCUAGAAUUGCUUUGAUUUUAUCCAAGAUGGCACUUAAAAGUAUUUUUUAGUGUACAUCUUGAGGGAGGUAUUAGAGCAUAUUGACCGCUUAGUUGAUUAAAUAUCUAUUACGAUGCCGUUUUAUAUUUGUCAUUAGAAAUAAAGGUAGUGAAACUAUGUCAUUUACUUGUGUAAAUAAGUUGUUAAGUUAGUUAGGUGCAUGUUAGCUAAUGUUGUGCAAGAUAAUAGUUAUAUAUAAUCUCAUUUUAUAUUUAUUGAUGAAUAAGAGAAGAUUAUAUUCCCUUUUCAAUUCUUUUUCUUCUUGAUUGUAAAUCUUUCCUCUACCCAUACCUUUCAUAACCCCCUAAAACUAUUUAAUCAAAUCGGUCACUGAAUUCUUGUUUCCAAUUUUGAUUCGAACGACGGUACCUCAAGCCAUUGUUUCAGAUCUUGAGGUAAAUACAAUUGCUCUAUUUCCCUUAAUUAUAAAUUGCAUUCAUGAUUUAUUGUUGAUUGAUGGUGCUAAAUGUUCAGAUGUAAAUCAUACACAUUGUGAACUUAUAGAAACAAUAUGUUGUUCCUAAAAUUGGUAAAAUCCAAAAUCCAAGAUGAUGCAAAUAUCGAUGCUCUACUAAAACUCAUAUAUGUCAAUGGCGCUACAUGAUGGAAAAAGAGCCACUUUUAGUUUGUUGUCAAAAGGCAAAGUGAAGUUAAGACAGUCUUCUCUCAAAUACGACCUCUAGCCUUAGGCUUCAAGUUGUUUCUCGUGUGAGUUUGGGUCUUUCAAAAUUCAACAAAUUUGCUACAAUGGAUACAAAUGUUCUUUAUGGAUACAUCACUAGACUGUAAAAUGAGAUUGAUAACAUUCACGAUGUUGUUAGAUUGCUUACAUUCAUGAUGUUGUUACAUUGGUAAAAGUCCGAGAUGACAUCAUGGUGGACGUUGGUAGAACGAGACAUGACAUUGUGUUCCUGCUCAGUACUACGCUUCCACCAUACUUAGUGUCACUUAUAUGUAGAAAGGUGUUAUCUAUAUCAAUUUUAUAUAUUAUGUAUAGUGUAGGGAGACAAUUUUAACAAUGUAUUGUAUAAAUAUAUUCUGCAAUAUACGCCUCCAAAUGAUGAGGUUUUUCCCACUUUAAUAUGGUAUCAAGCUACGGUUUCUACCCUCUUUAAUCAUACGUAUGGAUCAAACCUUUUACCGCCUCACAUUUUUUUUUCUGGCCAUUAAUCACGUUGUCGCUGCUCUUAUAUGCCACUAUAAUUGUCGACUGCUUCUCAAUUUUUCUCGACGUGCUCUCCUCCGUGCAUUAGGGUCUUCCUAAAAUAUGGUUGUGGUUGAUUCUUUUAUGUUUCCAACAAUAUUUUACAAUCUCCUGCUGUGAUCACAUAAUUUUGCCCUCAUCAUUAUUGUGUGCGUUUCUUGCUCCUUAAGGUAUUGCCUCCAUGACCACUCCUGGUUCAUCCUCUACCACCACUCCCAUGAAGUUAAGUCUCGUUUGUACUCUCACCAACGUUUACAAUCAUUUUAGUUUCAAAUUAAAUGUUGAUGAGCCAAACUGUAAACUAUGGAAUCAGAUUUUUUCAAACAUGUGUCGAGGCACAUUGUCCUAUGGUAAUAUUUCAUAGAAAUCGGUUCCAACCAGAGAUGAUGAGGAAUGAUAUUCGGUUGAUGCAAGGCAUCAAUUCUUAUUUUUAUAGUAUUGUGAUCCCGAGUUUCUUCAAUUCAUCUUGAGCGAUGAUUACACCACCACAAAUCUUUCGAAAAAAUUAGAUGAAUUUUUCGGAACAACAAAAUAUCUCGAAUGUUGCAAUUACAGGAUUAAUUUCGCAAUACGAAGAAGGGUUCAAGCUCCAUUACCGAAUUUUAUCACAUUCUCAAGAACCGUGCCAAUGAUCUCAAAGAUGUUGGUUCCACCAUCAUCGAAAUUGAGCUAGUAAUGCCAAUCUUGAGACAAUUACCAUCUCAUACCAUAGUAUUACGGAUGUCAUCACCAACAUCAAGCCUUUUCACUCUUUCCUUGAGGCCAAGAAUAUGCUUUUACUUCAUGAGUCUCGAGAAACGGCUUAAGAUUCCUUCACAAAUUCAUCCAUGUCUCAUAGUGUGGCUCUAUUUUCCUCAUCCAACAAUUUGGGAAAUCCAAAUACCGAUGGUCGAAAAACUGGAACAAUUCCCGAAAAAUUGAAAAACAAUGCACAUGGAAAUCAUUUUGAUUCGCAACCGCAAUUUAUUAGAAUUCUUGGAAAUGCUCUGUUGCCACCUCCGCGUGCUGCCUCUGGUUACGUUGCUGCUAUCCCAGCUGCUUCGCACUUAAUCCUACUGUCUUACAGCUCCUAUCUGUAGGUUCCAUUCUCGCCGAAUCAGCAGCCCACGUGACAACUGUCAGUGCCUCCGCAACCCUCUUCUCAACAUUUCACUUUUCAUCAGCAUCUGACUCAUGUUGUUGGGUCUUCAUCAUCAGCUACACCCCUCAGACUUGUUUCUCAACAACCAAGUCAGGUGCCUCACGGUCACUUUUCUCAACAUCAAUUUUUUGGUGGAUCUACUUUUGGUUGUCACGUUCAGACUACUCCUUAACAAUUCAUCGAUAUCGCCUCUGCCUUUCAAUCCAUGUCUCUUCAGCCGCCUCUCGACAACAACGUUUACGUGGACUCCGGUGCUAGCUAUCACAUGUCCUUCAAAUCAGUUAACAUGCCUUGCCUAUCACUACGUAAUUCUAGAUCUCUAAUAGUUGCUAAAGGUGCUAUACUUCAUAUUACUCAGACUGGUCAAAUUUUUUUUCCACAUUCACACAACUGUUUAGCUCUAAAUAGCAUACUUGUCUCAAAUAAAAUUGUUAAAAAUCUCAUUAAUGUAUGUCAGUUCACUGUUGAUAACUUUGUCUCUGUAACUUUUGACCCUUUUGGUUUCACUGUGAAGGAUUUUAAAACAUGUGCGUUUAUUUAAAGAUGUGAUAAUGGCAGUGAUCAUUGUCCCGUUAUCCCCAUGCCAACUCCUUCUUUUUCUAACACUAGUUGUGUUGUUGUUUCUCUCCCAACUUGGCAUAUGCGUCUUGGUUACCUUGGCUCAUCUAUUUUGAAUUUUUUACAUUCUUGCAAGUUUAUUUCCCAUACUACUACUAAACUACCCAUCUAUCAUGCUUAUUAGCUUGGGAUGCAUUGUCGUUUACCCUUCUCUUCGUCUAUAAUUAAAACUACUAGUAUGUUUGAAUUGGUGCAUUUAGAUUUAUGGAUAUCUCUUAUUGCUAGUCUAAGUUGUUUUAAAUAUUAUAUUUUUUGGAUGAUUUUACUCAUUUCUUAUGGGUUUUCCAUCUUCGUGAAAAAUCUGAUAUUUUUGAUGUUUUAUCUAACUUCCAUGGAUGUGUCCAAACUCAAUUUAAACCUGACAUCAAAUUUUUUCAAUGUGAUAAUGGUUGUGAAUUCAAUAACAAAUCUGUUCUCACUUUCUGUGCCCAUAAGGAAAUCAAAAUUGGCUUCUCUUGUCCGUAUACGUCCCAACAGAACGAUAAGGUUGAAAGAGUCAUACGAACCAUUAAUAACAUCCUUCGAACUUACCUGUUUCAAGCCUCCCUGCCUCCAACAUUUUGGGUUGAAGCUCUCCUCAUUACUGUUCAUACCCUUAAUCUCCUUCCCACCUCCACUCUUGCGUUUCAAACACCCUUUGAGCUUCUCUUUGGUGUUUUUUCCCUCCUAUGAUCACCUUUGAGUAUUUGGGUGCCUUUGCUACCCAAAUCUCUCAUCCACGACUCCCCAUAAGAUCUCUUAUAGGUCUUCUUCAUGUGUAGACCUCAAUCCCUCCUCUAAUCAUUGUGGCUUUUGUUGCCUUAAUCUCAUCUCCCAACGAGUAAUUAUCUCUCGUCAUGUCAUCUUUGACGAUCACUUCCAUUUCUCUACCUUUCAUGAUAAACCCUCAACCAAUUACUAUGAUCCUUUCCUUUCCGAGGAUAUACCUCCCCUCCUUACAGUAUGCACUACUCUUCGCAUCACUGAGCCCUCUCCUAGUGAAUCUUCUCCCGCUCUUUCUGAUAGUAGUUCCCCUCAACCCACUGCCUCCUCCUCCUUUCCUAAUACUAUUCCUACCCCCUCCUCCUACCCAUCCCAUGGUCACUUGCUCUCGCACUGGCUUUCUCAGGCCUAAGUAGAUUUUUAAUCUAUUUGCCACUUCUGAUGUCUCCCCUAUCCCUCGCUCUAUAUCUCAAGCUCUAUGUGAUCCUAACUGGAUUUUUCCAUGGACUCUGAAAUGCAGGCUCUUCACUCCAAUCACAAAUGGGAACUUGUUCCCCUUUCUCCAUGCCAAAAUUGUUGGUUGUCGCUGGCUUUAUUGUCAUAAGUUUGACAGAAAAGGUAACCUAGAUCGCUAUAAAGGUUGCCUUGUUGCUUAGGGAUUCUCUCAGCUUCCUGGUCUUGACUUUGAUGAUACCUUCAGUUCUGUUGUCAAACCUGAUACGAUUUGUACUGUUCUAAUUAUUGCGAUGUCCAAGCAUUAGCCAAUUCAUCAACUAGAUAUCAAAAAUGGUUUCCUACAUGGUUACCUAUCUGAGGAAGUUUACAUGAAACAACCUCAUGGGUAUGUCCAUCCCUCCCUUCCUAAUCAUGUAUGCCGACUUCUCAAAGCUCUUUAUGGUCUCAAAUAGACUCCCAAGCCAGGUACCAACGCUUUGCUGUUUUCAUCACCUCUCUCGGUUUUACUAGAAGUCGGUCUGAUUGUUCCUUAUUUACUUAUCACUCUGGUUUCGACCAUAUCUUCUUUCAUUUUUAUGUUGAUGAUAUCAUCCUCACCUCCUCCUCUUUCUCCACUCUCAUCACUCACAUUAUCUCAUGUCUCUCGUCUGAGUUUUCCAUGUCCAAAUUGGGUCCUAUUUCCUUAUUCAUUGGCAUCGAUGCUUUUCGAUCUGAGGAGAGUCUAAUUUUAUCUCAGGCUUCCUUUAAUGACAUCUUAGCUCGUGCUGACAUGUCUUCUUGCAAUCCGUGCAGUACCCUAUCUGACACUAAAUCUAAACUUUCUCCUCACGGCUCUCCUGUCUCUGAUCCCACUCUCUACAGGAGUCUUGUUGGUGCCUUACAAUAUCUUACUUUCACUCGUCCUGACAUUGCAUAUGUUGUACAGAUCUCUCUUCAUGUUUGCGUGAACCUCAUCUUCUUGCUCUUAAACGUAUCCUUCACUAUCUUCAGGGUACUAUUUCUCAUGAUAUGUUUAUUCGACCUUCCUCCAUUGAUCACUUGGUCUCCUAUUAUGAUGCAAACUGGACCGAGUGUCCUCAUACUCGUUGGUCUACUUCUGGGUUUUGUGUUUAUCUUGGCAAUAAUCUCGUCUUUUGGUCCUCUAAACAUCAACAUGUUGUUUCUCACUCCUCAGCUGAGGAUGAGUAUUGUGGGAUGGCUAAUAUGGUUGCUAAAGCUGCUUGGCUUUGUAAUCUCCUUCUUGAGUAAUCUUGUACGUUAUCUAAAGCAACAUUUAUGUUUUACUAAAUGUGAGUGCCAUGUAUUUAUCUUCUGAACCAUUAAAACACGAACGUAUUGCUCGUGCCGUCGAUUCACUAAUUUGCAGAUAUAUUUACAAAGGGUCUUCACCGGUUUAAAUAUUUGUAAAUCUCAUGCUCUAACUAGAGGGUGCCUUAGUUUAUAUUAGUUUAUAUAUAUUAUGUAUAGUGUAGGGACCAAUUGUAACUUUAUAUUGUAUAAAUAUAUUCUGCAGUAUAUGUCUCAAAUUGAUGAGGCUUUUCCCACAUUUAACAAAAGGAAAACUAAAUUAACACCAAAUUGCCCAAAAUUAAACCAUAUAUUAUACUAAAUUAAUUCACAACAGUUCGACAUCAAUCAAAUAUUAUCUCGCACUCGAAUUCACAAAACUCACUUUCCGGGUACAAAGUUUGUAGCAUAUGACCAUGCAUUGUUUGCAACAGGGUCAGCAAGGUGGUCAGCGAGGUUCUCCAAUGGUCCCUUUCCGGUAACAAUGGCUUGAACAAAGAAUCCAAACAUAGAGAACAUGGCUAGUCUACCGUUCUUGAGCUCCUUCACUUUCAGCUCAGCAAAUGCCUCUGGGUCAUCAGCCAGACCCAAUGGGUCGAAGCUACCACCAGGGUAAAGUGGGUCAACUACCUCACCAAGAGGUCCACCAGCAAUUCUGUAACCUUCAACUGCACCCAUCAAGAUCACUUGGGUAGCCCAGAUGGCUAAAAUGCUUUGUGCAUGGAUCAAACUUGGGUUCCCCAAGUAGUCAAGACCACCCUCACUAAAGAUCUGGGAUCCAGCCUUGAACCAUACAGCCUCACCAAACUUGACACCAUUACGCGCCAAGAGUUCGGGGAAGACGCACCCAAGAGCUCCGAGCAUGGCCCAUCUGCUGUGGAUGACCUCAAGCUCACGGUUCUUGGCGAAUGUUUCAGGAUCAGCAGAGAGCCCAGCAGUGUCCCAACCGUAGUCACCGGGGAACUCACCGGUCAGGUAAGAUGGGGCUUCGCCGGAGAAUGGGCCAAGGUACUUAACACGGUCGGGGCCGUACCAUGGACUUCCUGAUGGUGCGACUUUCUUGACUGCUGUCUUCCUCAUGGAAACCCUUCCAUUUCCGGUGAUUUCUGAACCAGAUGGUGCUACUUUCACCGCCUGUCCGACGAAAGAAGAGGAUAGUGCCAUGGUGGAAGCUGCCAUUUUUGUGAGAUUUGUUUUGAAGAUGUUUUGAUGAUAUGAUAGUAUUAUGAGUGAUGAAGAUGUGUGGAUCUGGAACAUAGAUUUAUAGGGUGGUUUUUGGGCCAAGUAGUUGAUAAAUGUUUAUCUUGAUGCAAUUUUUAACUUCAUUUUGAUUGGCUACCAAGAUUUUAGUUCUAUCAGUGGGUCCAUAAUCUGCGUGGUUCCACUAUUCGAGUUCUCUGGCCCACAUGAGAUAUUUGAAGGGGCAGCGAUAUUCAUGGCUCUGUCUUAUUAAGCGAAUAUAAUGGCUAGAAAUCUCAGCCACUAGCUACCAUGCACAAACCGGUUUUUUUUUUGAACCGGACCGCUUCAAAAAUCCGGUUCGGUUCUAGUCAAUUUAGUCAAAACCAGUUUGGUUCCAAACCGGUCCAGCUUCAAAAUAAUUCAAACGUAUGUAAACUCGUUAAAGAAAAAACCGGUUCAAAAAGGGUUCAAAACCAGUUUGACGGAAAAAAGGUUUUUUUCAAUUUUUAUUUUGUUUUUAGGCUAAUAACUGAAAAAUAGGAAUUUUUUUUUAUAAUAUUGCUUUUAUUGUGUUUAAAAAAAAAGUUUCACACUAGGUUUUUUGAAAAUGGAAGUGGAAUGAAUUGGGAAUUCAUAAGCCUUUUUUUUGGUAAUACACACGUACACACGUCCAUAUGCCAAAAGGUUUUUAUUAUUAUUUUUUUUAUUUCUUGUUUAAUCUUUUGAUGUAUUAAAUUUUUUUUUUGUUUCAGAUUUGAUGUUUUAUCUUUUUUUUUUUCAUUUUUUUUGUUUUUUAUAUUGGAAAUACAUAAUACAACUUCAAACAUAAAAACACAAAACAUCCAAAUUGUCAAACUAAUACAUCUUCAAAUAUAAAACAUUGAUGUCGUCGUAGUCUUCAUUCCAAGUCCGUAGUCAUUGUAUUUAUUCGUCAUCCGCCAUGUCGUUGCGUAAUUCUCUCUCAUACUCGAUCUCUUCUAGGGUGAGUGACACCGACAUUCCCAUCGCUACUUCUUCCUCAUGUACUCGUGCUUCGACAUGCAACGAUGUGCCUUCUAGUGCUUCGAUGUCUUGUAUCCUUUCCACGCCAUCAAGGUAGUAUUUCAAGCAAAUGCACACUUCCACCGACAAAUGGGUUAGUUUUGUUCUUCUUGGUGAUAUUACCCUGCCACUAACAGAAAAACCGAUUCCGANUUACCCUGCCACUAACAGAAAAAGCCGAUUCCGAAGCUACCAUAGAAGCUUGGGAGCUUAGUAGAUCACGGGCCAUAGCGGCUAGAAUUGGAAAUUAGGUUUCCUUUCCUUUCCACCAAACCAAAAUAUCAAAAUUUUCAAACUCUUGAAUACUCAUUUCACUACUAGAAAAAUAGCCUUUUACGACGCGCGAACAACGACACGCGCUGUUUUAUGAUACACAAUAGUGUGUGCCCUAAAAAUAAUGUCGGCUCUCCAAAAAUUAGAAGGAUUUAGGGUACGCAUUUUUGCGCGCCCUAAAAUAAGUGUUACAUUAAAAAAAAACACGGAGGGCACAUAACAUAAAACGCGCGUCCACUAAGUAUGUCGCUUUAUAUUUUUUAAAUGAAAUGCGGGUCACAUUUUUUAGGGAAAACGAAAUUCCAAAAAGUUUGAAAGGCCCGCCAUGUUCCUACCUUCUUUCCACCGUUCUUCUCUCCCUUACUCAAAAUACCCAAAAAAAACCCUAAUAUACUCAUCGCUCCUCUUUUCUCCCAUAACAAACUCGCACCAUCACCAAAUCUCUGAUCUCCCACCAGCAAAAGGUCUCCUACCGAUGUCUCCACCUACUCUCUGCCCUCUCACUAUUUCUCUCAAUUAAAAACGCUAGAUCUCUCAAUCAGAGAACCAUGGCUACUUCUCCUUUCUCCCACACCAGUUGGCAAAAAGUGAGGAGUCUCGAGCCUAGCAGUUGAUAUUCACAUGCCCUCUUAAAUUGAAGGAAUCAGAACAUUGUCGACAUCAAUUCGUUAAUCAUCACUAGAGAAAUCAGAUACGCCAUCUGGUUGAUGAGUCAAGAGAAAUCACAUAUGUCAUCGCUUCAGCAAUCAUCCCUCCUUUUAACCGUAAGUUUUCAAUCUUACACUUUACAAAUAUCAUAUAAACAUCUCUCUCUCUCUCUCUCUCUCUCUUUCUCUCUCCUGCUAUACCUUGAUGAAUUAUCGCAUACAUAUGGAGGAACUGCUUUCUAAAAGCCAGCUAUCGGGAGAGUCAACAGGGUCAAUUGGGUGUUCAAAAGGUGCUUCGAUAUCAUCUUCCCGCCAGCAAAUCUCUGUUAAAGUUGUCACAGAGUAAUCCAUUUGAGUUUGGGCAUAUAUUUUUUGUUAUUAAUUUAGGGGGAGACUGUGUUCCAUGAUUUUGGUCAUGCAUUUCUUCAGCACACGCUAACAAGACAAGAUGAAGGGCUUGUUGUUGGUAUUCGUGGCAUAGAGUGGAUGCUGUUGAGUUACCUUUCCAGUUCAUGGAAAAUUGGUGCUACCGUAGGUAGGUAUAUAUAUCUCCAAUUUCAAGAUGUUGUUCAACUGCUGCAGGAACGAGGUGAGGGUGGCUGAUGAGAAUUUGUGACAGGAACUAUCCGAUUGGGGAUUCCAGCUCAAGUGGGGCAGUUGGCGCAUCAGAUCCAGCAGAAUCAGAAGAUAAUGAGGCCUUUAUUGCAAUUCUCUUCUUUUGAAUAUGAAAAGAUGCACUUUUCAGUCCUAAUCUGGGAUGUGAAAAUGAAAGGAACCCCUGUUUAGCCAACAAAACAAAGUAAAAUUCAGUUACAACACUUACCCAAAUAUAGCAUUCUACCUUUAAUUUUUCUCAUCAAGACAAAAUUGAAUCAGUUAUGAAACCGACCACAUAAAAGGCUGUUUUUCUAGAGUUGCAAUGUUAGGAAUAAAAGUCACAAUGGUAUGUGGUCGGUUUCAUAACUGAUUCAAUUUUGAUGAGUAAACAGGUUAGAUUUCAUAUGGUUGUUUGUUCAGAUUGGUAUUCAUCCUGAUUUUCCUUCAAUUAUGCAACAACUAUGCUGGAAUUUGCUAUGUUCCAUACUCGGAUUUUGAAUUUAUCGGAAAAUUGAAUAAUUAAUCUGGAAAAAUACCAUCUUUGAAUGAUUUUUUUGUCAUCUGUAGAUAAGGAAUACCAUCUUUGGGUAAUUAGUUUAUCUAGUCUACAUGAUUAAAUUAAUGGACAUAUAAUUCUCUAUUGAUAGAACAAAAAACAUUGCUUUGUAGUGAAGAUAAGGAAUACCAUAUUUGGGUAAUUAGUUUAUCCAUACUCGGAUUAUGAAUUUAGCCCACCAUCAGCAGGGGAUUGCUGAGUUUUAUGUGACCAUAAUGCCCUUUCGGUUUGUAGUGAAGAUCCAAGCAUGUAAUUAAUAACACCUCUAAUUAAUUAAUUAAUUAAUCCCCUAAAACUAACUAUGGUUAAAUUAAACUGGUGGUAGGUGCCAGUGUACAUAGGGGCACAUAUGGUCAAAUAUGUUUUAAUUAUUAGUCUAAUAUCUUUUGAUACUUAUCAAUAACAACAAAAUAAUGUAAAAUCGUGUGAAUACAAUUCAAGGGUAUAAUGGUCUAGACAGAGAUUAUUUUUAUUAAAGAUAUUUAUUUAUUAAUCAUCAGAGAAGAAGGAAUUAAUAUGAAAGAAUCACUUACUGCAAAAUAAUCUUCAAAUGUAAAAUCAACAUAGCCUAAGCCCUGAUUUUUAUUUCACCACAGGUUGGCGAGCUGGCGGGAAUAGCUUUGGGAGCAACUGUCAUGCUUAAUAUUCUUAUAGUUGUGUACGUUAUGGUCAAAAUAGUUCAGCAAGAACCUCUGUUGAAAUGAUAUAGGCCACUAAUUAUUUAAAACUAUCACUGGCUCCUCAUUAUGGUCAAAAUAGUUGGUCUGUUAAAAAUUGUGACUAUGAGCAAUUUGCCACUUCUAAAUGGGUUCUUUGUAGUUUUCCUUUCUAUAAUUCAGGAAAUAGGAUCAUAUUUUACUCUUGCAGAAAUAGUUAUGGUCUGUGAGCAUUCUUCCAGAUUGUAAGAACGUAAUUUUCAACACAACAAAGGUGAAAUUAUAUCUAUGUUUUCUUGUGUAUUUAACUUCACAGGAGCUGAAACAUGAUCUAAUUUUUUUUAUCUAUUGGUUAUGUUGAAUAUGGAUAAAAGGUUGUGGCUCAGAAAAGUGUUGGUGAUGCUUCUACAUUUGUUGAGAGUGAAUUUUCACUGUCAAAUUCAAGUUGGAUUUGGUAUGUAGAAAAAGUGUGUGUUUAGAGUAAGGACUUUUUCCUUGUUGGACUGUAAUAGUAGACCAAUAUGAUUCGUUUUAUAAAACCCUUAGACAGAUCACAGUUGGUUCUGCAAUUGCAUGGUCAGGUAAACAUUCUAAACACAUUUUCAAUUUAUUUUGUGAUAUUUAAUUUCUCCCAUAUUCUUUUAAAUUAUAUUAUAAUAUGCUUAUAAACACUACUUUCCUUUCAUGUAGCCAAAAAAUUGUCCCAAAGUUGACUGAGGUACUUUGGACAAAAAUACAAUGUUAGCUUACAUCUUUAUUAGUUAAUAUAAUCAAAUUUCUAAUUUUAGGUGCUAACUGAUACGCGUCCGCAAGUUCAGUCUGCAUGGCAGACAACACUCCAGCAGGUUUGACUAUAUUCUUAUGGGUUGUGGCAUUCACAUUCCCAUAGUGAUCUUGAUAAAGUUGCUUCUAUUUCCAUGCUAAGUUGGCUUUUAUUUGUAAUAUAGGAGGUCCAAAAUCUUGCAAAGAAGGCUGCAGAAACUGUGGUGUUGGUAAUUGAUGAUGAAGGGACUGAGUAUUUGAUAUCAGAACUUCUCAAGUUGCUUCUAUUUCCAUGCUAAGUUGGAUUUUAUUUAUCUUACUGUUUAUUAUCAUUUUUUAUAUAAAAUUUCAUCAUUUAUAUUAUAUAUAUAGUACAUUAUAGACUUUGCAUCAUAAUUUGUUGAAUGUUACAAGAUAUAAUUCAAAAUUCAAUUUCCUCAUGUUGUUGCUGAAAUGACAGCAAUUGGUUUUGGCCUACCAAAGAAUGCAUUCACCGCUUUAAUGAAGAAUGUAAGUGUUUAUUUUUCUUUUCUGUUUGGUGAAAAUCAUCAAAUGACAAUCUCAUUAUAUAUCUUAGGAUCUUAUCAGUUAAUAAACUUGAUCGUGGGUAUGAUCAAGCAUAGGUUUACAUUUAUACCCCUGCUUUUAUCUUUUAUCUUUUAUGUUAUAUAAUUAUAUUCCCCCUUUUUUUAUCAGGUUAAUUUGGUGGUUAAUUAUGAUCUUCCUAUAAGACAUGAUCAUCAAUCUCACUACAAGAAAAAUACCCUUUUACGACGCGCAAAACACGACGCUCUUUGAUUUAUGUUACGCAUUAGAGAGCGACAUUAAAAAAGUGUCAUCUCUUAAAAAAUUUUAAGGAUUUAGGUCGCGCAUUACUGAGUGCCCUUAAAUUAGUGUCUCAUGUAAAAAUAUUAAAAACACGGAAGGCACUUGUGCGUCGUCUGUGAAUGUCGUUUUAUAUUUUUUUUUAAGAAACACGCGUCUCGGAGGGAAAAUGAAAUCCCCAAAUUUUUUAAACCCCCACCUUUUUCUCCCUCGUCUCCACCCCUCAUCCACAUCCACUACCUCCGAUCCUCAUUUCCUCUUCUAGCCUCAAACUACGGCGAUGCACCUUCCUUCUCGAAGAAUGCUUCAUUUACCACCAUCGUCCGAUUAUGUGAGCCCAAGGAAUUGACCAAGACGAAGAAGAUAAUGGAUCAAUUGCUUCACAUCAUGUUUAAGGUUAAGGGUUUGAGUUAGUCCGCAACAGGUAAUCGAAUUUUGCCUAAUAUAUAUUUCUACUCUCAAACUGUUUAUUCGUCCGAUUGGAUGCAUAUUUACUAUUAAAUUUGGGGAUUUUCUUUUAAAACCCCCGCGCCUCUUCUUGUUUGUAGCUAAACAACCGUGAAUUUGUUAGAGUGAUUGGAAGAGGAAAAAUAGAAGAUAGAAGAAAAAGAAGAAGAAGAAAAGCGAACAAACGGGAUUUCUUGACCUGAUGUGUUAAUCCGUGAUCAGGUCUUCUGAGCGAAGAGAAGAUCUGAGGCUCAAUUGAAGAAAUAUGAGCGCUUCUAGAUUUAUAAAGUGCAUCACAGUCGGUGAUGGCGCUGUCGGGAAGACUUGUCUCUUGAUUUCCUACACCCGUAACACCUUCCCCACGGUAAUCAUCUCUUCAUCAACCGCCUUCAGUUUCUGCCCAACUAAAGCACGGUUACACACUUAUUUCUCUUCGGACGUUUCUGUGGCUUCCAUGGGAACGGAGGAGGAUGAUAUAAAUGAGGCAACAACUUCAUUCGCUACAUGUUUGAACCUUAAAUUGAAGGGAUUAUAUAUUGAAAUUUGAAUCUACAACUUCGAAUUUCAGUCAUCUCUCUUCUCUUCUACAUCUCACCUGAUUCUCUAUUGAAAUUUCUAGGGUUUUUAAUUGAACCUACAUCUUCAUCUUAAUCUUCUUUUCUGAAGUUAGGGCUUUUUUCUUAAGAACAACUAAUUUUUUGCAGUAAGUAAACCUCUAAUUUUUUCAUUUCUCAUUUCCUUAGACCUCUCCCCUUUCCAUCUCAUAUCGAGGCAAAAUCAAUUUCACUUUGGUGGCUUCGAUUUCCUAGCACAUAUUAUGUUAUUAUAUGGAUUUGUAGGAAAUUAGAAAUCAUGUUAGAAUGUUUGAUGUUCUGUAUGUUCAUAAAAGUACAUCUAAAACAAAAAUCUUAGAUUAAACAAAACUGAAGCAUUUAAUGAGAUGUAAUUACUAACUUUUGUUGGAGAUGCAAAUGCUAAAUAAAGAAAACUGAAGCAUUAAAUGAGAACCUUUAUAAUUCGAUUUCAUUCAGAUCUUCGGUGGAUAUUUAGGGCUAACAAAGAAAACUGAAGCAUUUAAUGAGAUGUAAUUACUAACUUUCGUUCAAGGUAACCCCUGUUAUGAAUACAUGUAAGAAUUUAUUUAUCUUUUUCUCUCACCACUUGCUAUCCAUGUGCUGCUCUCUCAUAGUUGAUAUCUAACAACAAAGACCUGAUCAGUCUAGUUUGCUUGUUUUUUUUCUUUUUCUUAUAAUUCUUGAAUACGUGCAGAUUUUUUAAGACUUCUAGUUUUGUUUUUUGUUCAGUGAUAUUGAUGAUGAGGCAAGUUUAUCAACACUAUGGGAGAGAUAUCAAAGUGUCUCUGAAAAGGUAUUGCGAUAUCAAAGCAUAAAUUAUUUAUGGAUUAAAAUGGGAAAAUGACUUAUAUGGGUAAGAAAGUUUUAAAAACUUUUAAAAAUGACUAUCAAAGUAUUGUUUGUAUAAAAAACACCAACCAAGUUUACCAUUUUGUCAAAUCUAACAGGUUGGUAACCUGCAUCUGCCGGUCAAAAAAAAUUACCUGAUCAUUUUAAAAACUGAAAUUAUAAAUGACAUGGCAUCCUUUUUUAGUCUUACGUGGAUUAAUUGCAAGGGAAGAUCCAUUUUCUCAGCGUUCUUUCUCAAAAUCAGGAGGGAGUCAACACAGAACCCUCUCUAGGGUUAGUUUCUGCCCCUGUAUACAGUUAUUUUUGUUUAAAUUGACUGAUUUUAACAGUUGACGAAUAUGCUCCUGCUUUGGGCUAAUCACACAUAUGUCUUUUUUAUGACCAAAUUGCCCCUGUAUAUAGUUUUUUUUUGUUACAAUUGACUGAUUUUACCAGUCAAUUAAGGUGUUGUUUAGAAACUGUUAGUAUCCAAGACCAUUUACAUGCUCGUGCACAAAGACGAAUUUGCCCUUGAUUGUGACCAAACUGCCCCUGUAUACAUAUUUUUUAUUACUAAAAACACCCCCUGUCCUAGAAAAAUAUGACACUUCUAUACAAAAGCUAAUACCAAUUUCUCACUACAAAUCAACUAAUAAGAAAAGAAGUGGGCAACUCUCUAAAAUGACCAAAAUUUGAAUUGCAGUGUCACAAAUUGACAAUUUUUUAAAGCUAUAAUGAAAUAAUGCUUUGUUUUGUAAAAUAUACAAAAUCCGUUUGUUGUUGUGUGCAACUAAUCCACAAACAUUUACAUAAUUCUCGUUAGUGUACUUUGCAAAGUGGUGCUGAAGUAAUUUGGGCAACAAAAGUACAUAUAACUAUAUUAAUAUUCUCUAAAUAAUCAUAUAUAAUGAAAUAAUGGUUUGUUUUGUAAAAUAUACAACCCAUACUGUAUUUUUGAUAAAAAAAAAUAAUGAUUUUAAGAGAUUUUGUCCGAAAUACCCUUAUAUACUCUUUUUUUUGGUAAAAAAUUAAUGAUGUAAUAGUUUUUGACUAAAAUGCCCGUAUAUACUAUUUAACAGGUUUGACCCCAUCUGAAUUAUGAUUCAGCUUAAAAUUGAAUGCCAUUUUGACAAUUUUAUUGCUUUUAAGACUAUUUACUGCUGAAAAUAUGUCAAAUUUGUUACAUUUUGCUGCUAUAAAUAGUCAAAAAAUAACUAAAAGUCUACAAAGAUUCAAGGUAACAGUAAAUAAUACUGGCAUUUCCAGCAGCAAAUCUUCAAUUGCAGGGACUAAACUUUGUCAUUUUUAGCAGAAAACUUUAUCAACCAACAAAAAGAGGUUAAUAAAGAAUCUAAAUGGCAUUCCAUUGUAACAGCAUCAAAACACGACCUGCACUCAAAACCCUCCAAAAUAGCCCCUACACUCAAUUGUAACAGCCCCUCUGUUGUGAUUCCUUUAACUGUGACCAAAUUGCCCCUCUAUUGUGAUUCCUUUAGAUUCAAGGUAACAUUGUUUUAAGUGAAAAGAUCAUUUCAUAACUUGUUUACAUAAAUUCUUUCUUAGCUUGUUUACAUAAAUUCUUUUUCUGUCAAUUCCUUUCAAGACAAAAAGAAAGAAAGCAGGAACUUAUAGCCAUGCAAGUAAUUUCAUUAUUUUUCUCAUUAACGAUUGUACUUCCUUUGCUCUUUCUUGCAUAAUAAUAAACAGAUUUAAAGAGGAGUGGAGCCAUAUGACCACCUGAUGCCCCCAAAUCAAUUUAUUUGAGCUAGAUUUGAACGAUUUACAAGGAGAAGAAGAAAAUCAAUUGUCAAGAGGAGAGGAGAUGUAUGACCACCCACCUGAUGCCCUAAAUCGAUUUAUAAUAUGUAUUUUUCAUUUAAUGCUGAGUAGAUGUGCAACACACUACCUAAAUAUGCCAACUAAUCAUUACUUUUGCCAACUCAGCCGUUCACCUGGAGAUCCGGUUACCACCGGGUCAUAUUUGAACAAAAGAUAAACUUCGUUGGUAUUUUUUGUACGACGCCUAUAGUUAAAUGGUAUUUUUGAACAACUAAAACUUCAAUGGUUUUUUUUGAAUGUUUUUGAAACUUUCUUACCCUUAUAAGUCAUUUUCUCGAUUAAAAUUGAACUUUUUUCAUACAUUACCUAACAUUGACUUGUCUUAAUUUGCAGGCAGAAAUACAAAAGGCUUUUCAUAUAUUUCUUAAACAAUUUUUUGUAAUAUACAAGAAUUGGGAGCCAUUAGAUUUAGAUAAUUCCAUAGAACCUUUCAUUGAUUCAAGGGAUCCUCUUUCUGAAAAAAAGAUUGCAGUGGCAUCAGAAGGCAGUCAUAUCAGUGAUGGAAGCUGGUGGUCUUAAUUGGUUAGUAGGUAAGGUAUGCAUCUUCAGAUUUAAUUUCUAUUGAGAACUAAACACAUUUGAAUAUCUGAGAACUAAACACACUUGAAUAUUUAUAAAUGAUGCACACAUCCAAAGGGAUAAUAGCAAUGUUUCUAAUGGCGUCAAAUAGACCUGAUUGUGACCACUAAUGGUUCAUCAGGUUUGUUGAUUUUUAUUUUAUUUUAUUUGAAGUGCAUUAUCUGGUUUAAUAUGAAAUGAUUCAUGUUGAAAUUGGUUUCUUUUGUUACUCCAUAAUACUUGAUAUCUUAUUUUUUGCAUGCAGGUGCUAACAAAUAUGGUGUCAUUAUCAUUGUUGUUGUUGUUGUUGGAUACGGAUAUGUUUGGUGGAAGGUAAAUAUAAGCUCAUAUAUUAAUAUUAUUACUUUUUACAGUUAACUUGUACAUAGUUUUUCUUCAACUAACAGAAAUGGUAUCAUUAACAGGGUUGGAAACUUCCUGAUAUGAUGUUUGCUACAAAAUGAAGUUUAUCUGAUGCCACAUAUGCUUUAGCUAAAUAGAUUGACACUGUUUACUCAUCACUUGCAGUAAGUUAUUUAAAAACUUUGUUAUUUUUUUGUUAUUAAUUUGGGUUGUUUAUUAUGUUGUUUAGGCUACCAAGAGACAUUUAUCUACAAGGAUUGACCGUGUUGAUAGUAGUUUAGAUGAGGUUGCAGAAAUUACUGCUGCUAAAAAAGAGGAGGUAUGACAAGAUAAAGGUUGUUCUAGAUGUUUAAUCUAUACAUAAUGCGGUUUACACCCUGGUGUGGUUCUUUUCCAUUUUGUCUUGUGACUUUGAUAUUGUUUUCUGAGUUGGAUAUGUGGUAUGAUAAAUUAUUUUUACAUGAGAGUAGGCUGAGUAGGGUUGAAUUGAAAUAGGUACUGAAUAUUACCGUUUGACAUGCGAUUUUUUCUAGCUUAAUGAGAUAUUUAUAACAAAUAAUUUUGAAUUUUUGUUGUCUUUUGUAGGGAAAUCCAUCAAGUUCAUCAAGGCCAGCUCUUGAAUUACCAUAGAGAGUAAACUUCUAAUCUUAUACAAAUACAAUGAUUUGCUAAAUUCAAGAAAUAACAAUGCACUUUUAUUUAUUACUUUUAUUAAAACAUCCUAGUUUAAUUUCUAGCUUAAUGAGACAUUUAUUACUUUUAGCAGAGAUCGAUAUAUAUAUGAGCUUUUUGCUUUCAAACAUUGUUGGGGAAGAAUGUUGAAACUUGCUCUUUGUGAAGGUAAUUUUUUUUCUUAAUGCAUUAUCCUCUAUAUUCUUGAUAUUUUUCCCACUUUUUAAAUCUUUUAUCAAAUUCUCACUUUUGGAUACAGUGCUUGAUGAGAGAAUGUGUGACCUAAAUCUUUUAUCAAAUUCUCACUUUUGGAGUUGGCCAUAAGAAAAUGUAGGCAAAGGGUAAUUUGUUAUAGUUCAGGUUGACAAGGUGCUGUAUUUUUCACAUAAUUGACAAGGAGCUGUUGUAUCUAUUCAGACUAGACUUAGAGCAAUGGUUGCAAGAGAUGAGUUCAGCAGAAAAAGAAACAAGGCUGCAACUAUAGUUAAGGUACUAUGGAUGAAUUAUGUUUGUAAAGUAUUUAAGAAAAUGAUUAUAAACAAGGGUGAAUUUGUACAAAUUAGUUAGCUACUUGCANUGAGUAUUUGAUAUCAAAACUUCUCAAGUUGCUUCUAUUUCCAUGCUAAGUUGGCUUUUAUUUAUCUUACUGUUUAUUAUCAUUUUUUAUAUAAAACUUCAUCAUUUAUAUUAUAUAUAAUACAUUAUAGACUUUGCAUCAUAAUUUGUUCAAUGUUACAGGAUACAAUUCAAAAUUCAAUUUCCUCAUGUUGUUGCUGAAAUGACAGCAAUUGGUUUUGGCCUACCAAAGAAUGCAUUCACCGCUCUAAUGAAGAAUGUAAGUGUUUAUUUUUCUUUUCUGUUUGGUGAAAAUCAUCAAAUGAAAAUCUCAUUAUAUAUCUUAGGAUCUUAUCAGUUAAUGAACUUGAUCGUGGGUAUGAUCAAGCAUAGAUUUACAUUUCUACCCCUGUUUUUAUCUUUUAUCUUUUGUGUCAUAUAAUUAUAUUUCCCUUUUUUUAUCAGGUUAAUUUGGUGGUUAAUUAUGAUCUUCCUAUAAGACAUGAUCAUCAAUCUCAACCUGACCAUGAAGUGUAGUUGCACUGAAUCGGAAGAGCAGGGUGAUUAUGGGAGAUGUUAAGUAGUUAUAGGGCUUUAGAUGCUUUCCCUUUGGGUAGGAAAUGUUUUUAAGACAUGAUCAUCAUUCUCUACCCCUGCUUUCCCUCUGGUGUUUAUCUCCCAUAAAACCCUAAAAUGUGGAUGUGCUAAAACUGAAGAAAUUAGAAGACACAUACUGGAUUUUAGCAAGUCGGGUAAGUUUAAAAAUAUCUUAAUACGAUAUUGAUUAGAUUACACAACAUGUAAUGUAGAAAAUAUCAUGAAUAUUUAUGAUCAAUAUUCAACUUUUGAAAAUGUAUCCAGUUUGAUGUUUAUCUAUUUGACAUUUUUUUGAUAGAAAAUGAGAAUACCGGAGAAGAUGAACCACAAAUUUACAUUGAAAUGAUCAAUGGAAUUAUCAAAUCCCUUCAGGUAUCAUCUCAUAUCACUUGCUUAUGAAAUUUAUUCAUCUAUACUUGAAAAGAUAUAUUUAUUUUUGUGUUGUUUCCAGGCUAUCCUUGAUGCAGUUCUCAGCACAACAAUUAUGAUUUUAUGAUGUUAGGCUAAACUAUAAAGCAAUCAUUCUUUGUUUUAGGAAACGUUUCAGAGCUUCUUUAGGCAGCUUAAUGAUGAGUUAUUGAAACAAAAUGGUGCCCCUUUAUAGCAAUGUAGUAUUAGGUUAUAUAGAUAGGAAAAACCUCUUAAUAACAACGUACAAUUAGAUCCCCUUAAUAUCAAUGUAUUACAAUUUUAUGACAUGAUGUUAUUGAAUGAAAUUGAUUGUGUAAUGGAUUGUAUUUUUUGUAUAUGGUAUUUUAUUUUCUAUUAUGAGACAUGAAAUGCAAAUUUAAUUUGAAAAUUAGUAAAUCUAUAAAUAAUUUUUAAAAAAAAUAAAAUAAAAAUUAUGAUACGCAAAAAUGUGUGUCAUCUUCAUUUAUGACAUGGCCUUUCUUGACAGUGGCUUUAAUGAUACGCAUUGCGUGUCAUAAAUACGUGUCGUCUAUAGACGACGCGCAAAAGCGCGUCGUCUCUCGUUAUGACAGGGCCUUCCUUGACGCGCAUGCGCGUCGUCUGACCGUUUUACGACUCGCAAUGAGCGUCGUAAAAGGCAUUUUUUCUAGUAGUGUUUGAGACAAGAAAUCAGAACCAAUGUACCUUCCGAGCUCGCUACUUGGCGCGUUAGACCGAGCUCGUUUGGAAUUUUCAUUCCUCAAAGUAUUAUAAAGCCUAAUUGUUUCGUUAUUUUAGUGAAAAGUGGAUCCGGGUGCCCCCAUAUUUUGCAUCACGUCAUGAAUGUUUGUUGAACCAUAUUUUGUUAAAUAAACUUCAAAUAAAUUUUGAAAAACUUUGUUAAAUUUUGAAACUUCCUUUGAUGCAUAAUCAAUGUCAUCAUCCAAUAAACCCAAAUCGUAACAAAUAUUUUCAAUUAAAGUCUCAACCCCCCCAACAUUUAGAGUUGGAUUCAAAGUGGCGGAACAAGUAAUAAUGGGAGCCAUUUCUUGAAAAUAUUUUUUUAACUUUGCUUUCAUCGGUUUCAUCAUAUUAGCAAACAUUGUGCUCCUCAUUUCAAACUCAUUUAUUUUCGCACACAUUAAAAAAAUUUGGUUUAAAACUAAACAACUUGUAGGAUAAUAAACCCCCGAUAAAAAAGUGGUUGUUUUUUUUUUAAAAAAACAUCAAGCAUGUCUGUAACAAGUUUGAUAGUAUCCCAACUUGAUUCCGGAUAAGCCGUAACCUUAUUACGGUCCGAAGGUUGUCAUGUAACAUUUUUAAAGUAUGUUUUUGACGUAAGGCACAUUCAAAAAUUUUGCAAGUGGAGUCCCAUCGGGUAUUAUUUUCCCAAUUCAGACCUAAAAAGAGGGCAUUCGCAUCGACACAAAAUUGCAUAUAAUUAUGAUAUCGAGCGUUACUAGAACUAAAAAUAUCUUUUAGCAUGUCUUUGAAACCAUCUUUUAUAGUUUCAAUGUGAGUUAGUCCAUCUUGCACAACCAAAUUAAUCAUAUGUGCAACACAUCGACUAUGAAAAAUAAACACCAUCACAAAUUGGUUUAUAUUUUAGUUUUAGUUGUCCAACCGCGACGGUGUUGUUUGAAGCAUUAUCAAAAGAUAUAGAAAAAAUCUUUCCUUCAAGUUUAUAAGUUUUGAUCACACAAUCUAAAAUUUUAAAUAAAUUUCUAUCGGUGUGCGGGUACUCAAACAAUUCAAACGUAAUCGUAUGCUUUAUCAUUACCCAAUUAGUUGGAUUAAUCCAAUGAGCGGUAACACAAAGGUACGCAUCCGGUGAACCGUCAGGAGCCGUCCAAACAUCACAAGUUAAAUUCACACCGGUUUCUAAAGAUUGAAAUCCUAAAAUCAAUUCAUUUUUUGCAAGUUUCCACAUUUCAAUACAAUCGCGUCUAAUAGAAGUACGACUCACAUGGCAAUAUCGUGGUUGGAGAGUAUCUUGGAUGAGUGAAGUCAAUCGUUUGUUGUCGAAGUGGUCAAAAGGCAAGCAUUCUUGAAUCACGAACUUCGUCAUCCUAUCCCGAACUUUAGCCAUAUCGUAACUCCACAAUGUUGCAUCAUUCGUCAUUCUUGUUUGAAUAUGUCCCGACCCAAAUUUCACCGUGGGGCAUCUUUUGGUCAUAUGAUUUUUCAAUGUCGAAUUCUCAUCUUCAUUAAAAAAAGCACCACAUUUCUUGCAUUGCGCUUUUUUAUACCGUUCGACAUUACACACAAAUCGUAGUUGCACAAAAUAGCCGGAUUUCUAUUUGUUUCUUUGAUGCUAACAACGGUAAGAGUGUUUGAUGAAUCUCGAACACCAACGGAAGCCGAAUCCAUUGUUUGAAUUAAGAGUGGUUUUUGAACUAAGAGAGGUUUGCGGUUUUUGAACUAAGAGAGGUUUUUUGAGGUUUGGUUAAGGUAAAGUUGAGACCUAAAAAUGUAAUACAUAUAUAUAUACUAUAAGGAAUAGUUAAUAUGGUAAAAAAGAAGCAAAAAUCGAGUCUUGAACAGCCUCAAACGACUAUAUAGCCGUUAGGAAAAGACAAAAAAACGGUAACAUUACAAAAACCGGUUCACCAACGGCACUUUCGAAAUCUGGUUCAAAACUGGUUCAUCACACCUGUUCAGAAUAAACCAGUUCCAAACCGGUCUCCAGGGUAAAACAUGCGAACUGGUAACAUCCGAUGGUUCGGUUCACUAUGGGUUCGGUUCUUAUGUGAACCGGUUCAAGGCUAAACCGGUUUCCGGUUCACCAACCGGUUCGGUUCCUAAACCAGUUUUUUUGCCCACGCCUACCACUAGCUAGUCUAGGUGGGCUUUUAGUACGGGGGUUUUCAUGAGGAAUAGGUUGAAAGGAGUGUUGGCAUCUCACUGCCGUCAUCUGUUACCAUUUCAUAAGGAGUGGUAGCAUUCCUAGCACAUUAGAUUUUUUUUUUUUGAUUUUUUUUUUUGAACUUAAAUAAAUUAUAUUUUUAUAAAACACAAACAAUUCAAUAUUAAUCAAGAAACUAACUACAUUUUAUAGAUAAAUUUACCUUAUUUAAACAAGGAUUAAUAGAAAGGUCAAAUAAAAUUUAAAUGGUUAACGACAUGCUUAAAAUUUUACAAAUAUAUUGAUUUUGUAACGACACAAUUUUCUACUCUAUCAAGGUAAAGAAACAUUUAUGUUAAUAAUAAAGUGACACUUUAAUAUAUAUCUUCAAAUAAUUAUUAAAAAUAAAUAAUACUAUAAAAAAUUACCAAUACUAUCUAGAAACAAAAACCACUCACAGCACGGAAUUUACAAAACAACCAUCCAACUUCCUUAUUUUUUUGAAAGAGCUUUUACGAUCUCCAUUUCCAUUUCCUUUUUUUCUUAAAAUUACAUCUUACAUCUUCCAAUUUGCUAUUAUCAUUUCUUAAGUUUGUGAAAGUAGACUAUUCCACAAAACUACUCCUCCAAUUGUGUGAAACACGAAGCAAAAGCGAGACCUUUGAGCUUUUUCUUAAAAAAUAAUCCUUGUUUGAGAUGGAGACCACACCAUUGAUGGGAGAAAUGAAGGUUCUAGAGAACGAUUGUAAGAGGAAGAUUAUUGUAUCCACAGGCCAAUAUCCAACAAAUCUCUUUCUCUUUCUUCUCGCUAUGGUGUUGACGAGCCAUGGCUGGCGACUUCCUUGGCGCAAGCCAGGGGGCGGCCUUCAGCGCCCUUGGCGACCGGUGGCGACCUCCAUAGCGAGGCCCACUCCCUAAAGCCUUAUAACACACCAUUUAUUGACCAAGUUUACCCAACAAUGCAUCCCAAUUCAUUAGAUUUGUCUUAUCAUUAUACUUUUUAUACAAUUUCAUCAUUUUUCUAUAAUAUAUUAAAACUCUAUGAAAAUUCAAAAGAAUAUACUUUUGAAUUUUCAUAGAAUUUUAUUAUAUUAUAGAAAUAUGGUGAGAAUCCUAGAUGCUUUUAUCUCUCUUUCAGACUUAAAAGCCAGUAUGCGUUCAAUAAGUACGUGGCCAACUCCGGACCUAGCUUUUGCGAACGUGGGACGUUCACUUCGGAUAGCCUCGAAAUGAGUACCUCUUACUUUAAAAAUUUAUAACUUUGGCAUACGAGCUCCGUUUUCGACAUUCACUUUCAUUUAGACUCUGUUUGCUAAUUUUGAUUUUUAUUUUUAAAUUUAUAUUUUUUAACAGGCCGGGACUGGAAAAGCCCGUUAAAAAUUCAUAACUUCUUCAUCCGACGUUCGUUUUCGUAUGACUUUUUACCAUUAAACUACUAUCGACGAGAUUUUUGAUUCUCAUUUACAUUGUGUUGGAUAAAAAUCGCUCGAUCUAUACUUCGAACUACGGGCUGCACAAUGUUAUGCCAAAUCUUAGAAAAUUCAUAACUUCCUCAUACGAAGCUAGAUUUGGAUUUCUUUUUUAUGCACGCUCUUGGUUUAACGUAUACUACGAUUUUCAUUUAGAUUGCUAAGGCUAAAAAACACUUUAUCGUAAACUCACUUUUCACGUCACACAAUGUCAUGUCAGUUUUGUCGCGAAACUUCGAUAUGUCAUAAAUUCUUCGUGAUCAGGGCCGAUCUUGAAAAAUGAAAUAUUCUUGGAGCCCCAGGACGAGCAAGAAAAAAAUGGCCCUUAUCUUUAUUAUAAUUUUGUAAUUUUAAAUAAAAAUAUAUAAUGAAAAAAAUUAGGCCAUGUGCAGCUGCCCACUUUGCCUCCUUCUAAGCCCCCAUUGUUCAUGAUAACUCGGAUUUCAGCGUUCUUUAUAUUUCUGGAGUCCUUGUCACGACCACUACAACUUUCUUCAUAGAUAUCGGGUUUAUAUAACAUUUUAUUUUUGACGCUUAUUUUUAUUCUUAAUUAAUUAUAUCAUUAUAAACAAGUAUAUAAUCACAUAAAAUCACGUAAUUCACAUAAUACUCAAGUAAUUCAUCUUUAUUACAUUAAAAUAGGUUACAAUGGUUGACCUUGACUAUUACAUCAUCAUACUAAUGUGAAACAACCUAAAAUACGACCCAAUUUUUUUUUUGUUAAAAUAAUACUAAAGAUAUCAACCAUCAUAAUAUAUCAUGAAAUCGUACGUCAUAAAUCCCCAAAAAGUUAUAAUAGAUAUGUCAUGACAAAAGAGUUGUAUCAACAUACCAUAGUAUCUAAAAUAAACUCCCAGGACAAAAGUUGAAACUGUGGUGUGUGCAAUGUCAUCAUCCUGAGCUCUUUCCUUUGCUUGCGGAAAUACCUGAAACCAAAACUGAAACUGUAAGCACAAAGCUUAAUGAGCUCCCCCAAACUACCACAUACCAUACAAUAGCAUAUACAACACAUACUAGGCCUUGCCCACUGCAUCGGACCGAAGUCCGGAAAUUGCAUCGGACCGAAGUCCAGAACUAACCAAGGCCUUGCCCUCUGCAUCGGACCGAAGUCCGGAACUACAUCAGACCGAAGUCCGGAAACUAACCAGGGCCUUGCCCUCUGCAUCGGACCGAAGUCCGGAACUAACUGCAUCGGACUGAAGUCCGGAACUGACUGCAUCGGACCGAAGUCCGAAAUUGUCUGAACAUAACAUAUCAUAAACAUCUCAACCAGUAUGAACACAUAAACUGCAUAUCGCAUCAGACCGAAGUACGAAACACAUAACACAAAUACAUGCUUGAAUCACAAAGACAUCAAGCAUUCUAAGUACUGCAACGGACGGAGGUCCGAAACUUCUGCUAACUAAACCGACCGGCAUUGUAGCCGUAGACCCGUUCCUACUGGAAGGAAAACUCACCUCGUAAUGCUGGCUGCUGAGAUGCUAACUCUAAAAGUGACUGACCGCUGCUUCGGAACUGUCCGACUACAAAUCCCAGAAACACUAGAUUAGUUACUUGCAUAUACCCUCAGGGUAAGAUGACUAUUUUGCCCCUGGUCAAAGUCAACUUCUAGUUGACCGGACUCGCCGACUAUGGGCGCAGAACCGCCGAGUCCCUCCUUUACUAACUCUGACUUUAACUCACCGAGUCCCUUUCCCACUCACUGACUCUCUCUGAACUCGUAGGUCGAAGAAAAAAGGGGACUCACGACUCGACUCGUCGAGUCUGAAGAACAACUCGCCGAGUCCUGCCGUGCAUAUUCCAAACAAACGAAUUCAAAACUAUUCCAGAGCAUCUGACUUGAAGAUCUGAGCCCUUGGAACUAUCUAAACACGUGAAGUUUCUAACUUUACGUGCAACUAAGAAGGAAUGAAGCUAUUUCACUCAAACACUACUUUUCUUGGGAAAACUCAUCCGACUCGCCGAGUUGUAUGAACAACUCGUCGAGUCUAAGGUGAUCUUCAUCGGACUCGCAGAGUUGCUCAUCAAACUCGUCGAGUCUACGACUAUCUUCAUAUGACUCGCCAAGUCACACAUGCGACUCGCCAAGUCCAUUCAGUCCCUUUUUCCAUACAGACCUGAUUUGGGCCAUGCAGUGGCUCCAAAUCACAGAUCCAAGAUUCUAGGGCAUGCUUAUCACGUAAAUUUGCAAACUUUACGUGCAUGCAUGGCUUUAAAGGCUUCAAAUGCCAACCCUAAGCUCUUAAUGGGGUUCCAAGCUCAAGAGGGACCUCAAUCACGACCAUAACCGAAACUUUACUCUUCUAGAAUGCAAUGAGAGUCUAGAUCUGAUGUUUCCAUAAAAGGGGAAGUCCAUCUCUCAAGUUUGAACCAUAAGAGGCUCCAAAGAGGGCAUAACAAGCAUAUAUGAGGUUAUAAUGGGGGAAUGCACAAGGUCAUAACUUCAUUACCUGAAUGAAAAACAGAUGUAAGCUAACUCCUAGAUUUUCCUUCCCUUCUAUGGACCUUCCUUCCUUCCCAAAGCUUCCAAGCUAUCACAAAUACCCUCAAACUCAACAAUGGGGCUAGGGUUUACAAGGGAAAUGUUAUGAGAGUGAUAGAGGCGAGGUUGGGGGCGCAUAAGUGUGUUUAAAUAGGGUGAAAACCCUUAAAAUUAGGGCUUCAUCCAGACAGGCGGACUCGCCGAGUCCAACGUAUGGACUAGUCGAGUAGCCAUCUCAAAACGCGUGAUCGUCCCGUCUCUACUUGACGAGUCAGGCUACAGACUCGUCGAGUACCCCUUCAGAAAUGAAAAUACUUUAUUUGAAUUACAUACCAGAAAUGGGGCGUUACAACUCUCCCCCACUUAUCUUAGACUUUGUCCUCGUAGUCUGCUGCUGCUGCUGAAAAUAACUCUGGGUAAUGCUCCCUCAUCUCCUACUCGGACUCCCACGUCCACUCUGAACCCUUUCGGUGCUGCCACAACACCUUCACUAGCUGAACCACCUUGUUCCUCAAGGUCUUCGUCUUCCAAUCUAUGAUCGCAACUGGUCUCUCGAUAUAAUUCAGGCUGCUAUCAACCUGAAUAUCCUCCAAGGGUACAACUGCUGACUUGUCCACCAAACACUUUCGCAACUGGGAAACAUAGAAAGUGUUGUGGAUCUGGCUAAGCUCUACCGGAAGAUCCAACCGAUAAGCAACCCGACCCACCCGGACCAAAACCCUAAAAGGGCCAAUGAACCUGGGACCCAGCUUGCCUCUCUUCCGAAACUUGAUAACACCCUUCCAAGGUGAUACCUUCAGGAGGACCAUAUCGCCCACCUGAAACUCCAAGUCCGAACGCCUCUUGUCGGUGUAACUCUUCUGCCUACUCUGUGCAGUCUGCAGUCUACUACGAACCUGCUGGAUCAACUCUGUGGUCUUGAGCACCAUUUCAGUGCUCCCAAUGACUCACUGACCAACCUCGCCCCAACAAAUCGGAGUCCUGCACUUCCUUCCGUAUAGCAUCUCGAAAGGAGGACGUUUAAUACUAGUGUGGUAACUAUUGUUAUACGGAAAUUCCGCUAGUGGGAGAUACGUAUCCCAACUACCACCGAAGUCUAGAACACAUGCCCGGAGUAUGUCCUCGAGAGUCUGAAUUGUCCUCUCACUCUGCCCGUCCGUCUGGGGGUGGAAGGCGGUGCUAAAAUGAAGACGAGUCCCCAUCUCGUCAUGAAACUGCUUCCAAAAUCUGGAAGUAAAACGGACGUCUCGGUCUGACACUACCGAAACAGGCACUCCGUGCUGUGCUACUACCUCGCGUACAUAGAUGUGGGCUAGCUUCUUAGCCGAUAUGCUCUCCUAGAUCGGUAUAAAAUGUGCGCUCUUGGUCAGCCGAUCCAUUAUGACCCAAAUCGAAUCCACUCCCCGUGCGGUCCUGGGAAGCUUGGUGACAAAAUCCAUGGUAAUGUCCUCCCAUUUCCAUAUGGGAAUAUCUAACGGCAGCAUCUUGCCGUGGGGUCUCUGGUGCUCUGCCUUGACCUUCCUGCAGGUCAGGCAUCUCCCCACAUUCCAGGCGACAUCCUGCUUCAUGCAGGGCCACCAAUAGUCGGGUCGAAGAUCUCUGUAGAUCUUCGUUGCCCCUGGGUGGAUGGAAAAUCAAGAAUUAUGAGCCUCGUCCAUCAAUACCUGCCAUACUCCGCCCCAGUACAGUACCCAAACCCUCCCAUGGAGGGUCAACAAUCGUUAACUGUCAUAAUCAAAGGAAGCUACUCGGUCCACGAUUCUCUCACACUUCUGCCUCUCCUCCUUGAGGCCCUCGACGUGUGCCUCCCUGAUCUGCUCCAACAAGGGAGUAAUCACUGUCAUCCUCAAGCAUACAUCCCUGAUCGGGGCCGCUGCCGUCUUGUGGCUCAGGGCGUCGGCCACUACGUUGGCCUUCCCCGGGUGAUAAAGGAUCUCACAGUCGUAAUCCUUCACCACAUCUAACCACCGACGCUGCCGCAUGUUAAGAUUCGGCUGGUCCAUGAGGUACUUCAGACUCUUGUGAUCCGUGUAGAUGGUGCAACGGACCCCAUAGAGGUAGUGUCUCCAAAUCUUGAGGGCGAACACCACUGCCCCCAACUCCAAAUCAUGCAUCGGAUAGUUAGCCUCGUGAGACUUCAACUGUCUGGAGGCAUAAGCUAUCACAUGCCCCCGUUGCAUCAACACUGCCCCCAUAUCUGCGAUCGAGGCAUCACAGUAGACUACAAAAUCAUCCACUCUCUCCGGCAAGGUCAGAAUCGGUGCCUCGCACAAUCGCUGUCUGAGAGUCUCGAAAGUCGCCUGCUGCUCAGGCCCCUAACGAAACACCACCGACUUCUUGGUUAGUCGGGUGAGUGGAACUGCUAUCUUGGAGAAAUACUGAAUGAAUCUCCUGUAGUACCCUGCCAAACCUAGGAAGCUCUGAAUCUAUGAUGGAGACUUUGGGACCUCCCACUGCAUCAUGGCCUCUAUCUUGGCCGGAUCUACCAGUAUACCCUUCUGGUUGAUGAGGUGCCUAAGGAAUUGCACCUCGCGCAACUAGAACUCGCACUUGGAGAACUUUGCUAAAAGUUUCUCCCUCCUCAAGACCUCUAGCACCUCCCUUAGGUGCUCCUCGUGCUGCUCCUGAGUCUUGGAAUAAACCAAGAUGUCAUCGAUGAAUACAAUCACAGACCGGUCCAACAUCGGCAUGCACACGCGGUUCAUGAGUUCCAUGAACGCGGAUGGAGCGUUGGUGAGCCCAAACGACAUCACCACAAACUCAUAAUGACCAUAACGGGUCCUAAAAGUUGUCUUCUGAACAUCCUCACCCCUGACCCGCAUCUGAUGAUAACCGGAGCGCAAAUCAAUCUUGGAAAACCAAGACGCUCCUUGAAGCUAAUCGAACAAGGCAUCUAUCCUCGGAAGUGGGUAACGGUUAUUCACCGUUACCUUGUUCAACUCCCAGUAGUCUAUGCACAUACGGUGCGACCCAUCCUUCUUCUUCACAAACAAGAUUGGGGCUCCCCAUGGAGAACUAAUUAGUCUAAUGAAACCCUUGUCUAGCAGCUCCUGCAGCUGCGUAUACAACUCCUGCAUUUCUGGAGGAGCCAACCGAUACGGCGCCUUGGCUAUCGGAGCCGCACCAGGAACCAAGUCAAUCUUGAACUCAACCUGUCUCUCUGAAGGUAUCCCAGGUAAUUCCUCUGGGAAUGAGUCCGGGUACUCUCGCACCACUGCUACAUCAUCUACUGUCAUCGUACUCUUAUCCCGGGUAUCCAUCACAUAUGUGACAUAACCUGCUUAACCCUGUUGGAAGUAGCGCCUCACUCUCACUGCUGAACAAAGAAUCGGUCCGCGUUGUGGGCUCUCGCCCUGAAUCACUAACUCUCCCCCGUUGGGAGUGCGAACCCUCACUAGCUGCAAUUCGCAAUCAAUCAUCGCCCCAUUGGGGCUCAACCAAUCCAUGCUUACUAUGGCCUUGUUCCCUCGCAAAGGAAUAGGGACCAUGUCCACCGAAAACUGCUCAUCGAAUAACUGCAGUGAGCAUGCCUUAUGCACCCUCGUGACCCUGACGGUCCUAUCAUCGGCUAUCUCCACCUCGAGUGGACAAUCCAGCUCCCUAGGAUCUCUGCUAAACCUCUUGCUAAGUGCAAGAGAGACAAACGAUCGGGUAGCCCCUGAAUCAAAUGACACUGUAGCUGAAAUGUCGUUCACUAAGAACGACCCUAUACAUAAACAUAUAACAUUAGAAACAAUCAAUAAUCAAUGCAUAGAUAAAAGGAAAAUACAUACCCGUCACCACGUCAGGAGUCGCUCGCGCCUCCUCUGCUGUUAUCUGAAAAGCUCUACUCUUCGCCACUGGCACCUCGGCCCGCCCCUGACGACCGUUCGUAAUCCUCAAUGUAGCAGGGGCAGGUGCCGACACCUUCCCUGCUGCUGCUAAGCUUGGGCACUGGGACUUUUUAUGUCCCCUCUGAUUGCAAUGGAAGCAAAUCAGAUCUGAUGCUGCGGUAGCUGUGGUAGAAACUGUACAAUCUCUGCUCAUAUGCCUAGUCCAACCGUACUUGUAGCAGCCGGAACUCCCUGCCUUGCACGCCCCAUCGUGUAAUCUCCCACACUUGCCACACCGACUGUGGCUCUGCUGACCUCUGGACCUAUGAUCCGAAACCUUGGGCUUCUUGCCCAAACUCCCUGUACCCGAAGCCGCCUCCGCCUUCCUCUUAUUCUCCAUCUCAAGAUCAAUCUCUCUCUCUCUCUCUCUCUCUCUCGCCCUUGCAAUCAUAUCAUCCAGCAUCUUACAGCUGGAUCGGCUCACAAACUGGCGGAUAUCACUCCGCAGCGUCUCAUGAUAACGGGCCUUCUUCAUUUCCUCGUCAGCUGCGUACUGAGGAACAAGAAGAGCCCUCUCCCUGAACUUGGCGGUAAUCUCCGCCACUGUCUCUAUAGUCUGAGUAAGGUCUUGAAACUCUCUAGCUAACUGUUGCACCUCAAUAGUCGGUGCGAACUCGGCUCUGAACCUGGUGGUAAAAUCAGCCUAAGUCAUAGUAUCAAGUGCUAUGUCAUCCCUGAUACCAUGCCCAACCUCCUCCCACCAGUCACAUGCCCUAUCCUUCAGGAGACAGGAUGCUAAUCUGACCUUGUCCCCUUCGGGACAUCUGCUAGUGCGGAACACGUUGGCAACAUCUGCCAACCACCUAGUGCUCGCAAUGAGGUCCCGCACCCCAUGAUAGCCUGGAGCUCCACAAGCCCGAAACUCCCUGAAGGUGAGUGUGCGCGACCCCAUCAUGGCCGCCAUCUCAGCACGAAAUGUGCUCAACUUCUCAUCCAUCAACUCCAAGAUACCCUCCUUGAUCGAACCGAAGAUCACAGGACUCUGCUCAAGUAUGAUACGGGUAACCUCUGAAGUGAAAAACUCCCUAGUUUGCUCAUCCAACUGCUCGGCCCCCCAGCCUGAUCCUGAUCCUUCCUCGGCACCUGAGCUGCCGACUGCUGGCCUAGGGCGUAAAACCACCAUUCUGAAAACACAUCAUGAUAAACGUCAAAAACACUGAUAUAUCUCUAGGGAUCGCUACUACUAUAGGUUUCCUGGUCUCGCCUCUGCCUUCCUUGAUUCAAGUACAAAUCCUCAACAAAAACCAGUCCUCAACUGCUGAAGGCCUCCUUGUAAUGCCAAUUAGUCAUCACCUGAAUAUCAUCACAUGUGACGAGACUCAGAUAAUCCUUCGAGUAAAAGACUCAUUCCUACAACGGAUGGACUCAAACAAGAGCUGCGCAGUAGAGCCAAAUCCAGCACUCUGAGAUUAUUCAACCCUGAUCUCAGGCGAUGUGUCGUAUUCACCUAAUGGUUAACUCUCAUUACCCGGAGUCUCAUAAAGCACAAAGCAAGCAGCAUUCGGACACAGGAAACUAAUCAAGCCACUCUAUUCUCAUAACAAGAAAUUGUACUAGCAUACAAUGUUAAGCUCGUACUGUCAGGCAUAACCUAAACAGGCUAUCCUACUGCUGUCUACUCAAUACUAGCAUGCAGUUCUCAUAAAGCUGAAGCACAUAUAGCAUGCACAUAAGGCAUCCUGCUAGAUCCUUAGUCCUAUUCUAGCAUGCUGUUCUACUGAAACUAAAACUGAUAAUCAUAACAUAAACUUGUAUGGGUAAUUUAGGGGUACUUACUUGAGCUCGACUGAUCGCAUGCACCACACCCUUUUCUCGUUUUCAAAACUCUUUUCUUUUUAAGUCUCUUUCUCAAAAGUUCUUUUGAACACAUUUUUCUUUCGAAAAUCUUUUUUCUAUUUCCUCAGUUUGAGUUCAGUUACACCCGUAAGUGUGUCUGAAUCCCUCAAACCAAGGCUCAGAUACCAACUUGAAAUAACCCAAAAUACAACCCAAUUUUUUUUUGUUAAAAAAAUACUAAAGAUAUCAACCAUCAUAAUAUAUCAUGAAAUCGUACGUCAUAAAUCCCCAAAAAGUUAUAAUAGAUGUGUCAUGACAAAAGAGUUGUAUCAACAUAACAUAGUAUCUAAAAUAAACUCCCAUGACAAAAGCUGAAACUGUGGUGUGUGCAAUGCCGUCAUCCCGAGCUCUUCCCUUUGCUUGCGGAAGUACCUGAAACCAAAACUGAAACUGUAAGCACAAAGCUUAGUGAGCUCCCCCAAACUACCACAUACCAUACAAUCAUAUAAAACACAUAUUGGGCCUUGCCCACUGCAUCGGACCGAAGUCUAGAAAAUGCAUCGGACCGAAGUCCGGAACUAACCAGGGCCUUGCCCUCUGCAUCGGACCAAAGUCCAGAACUGCAUCGGACCGAAGUCUGGAAACUAACCAGGGCCUCGCCCUCUGCAUCGGACCGAAGUUCGGAACUAACUGCAUCCAACCGAAGUCCGGAAUUGUCUGAACAUAACAUAUCAUAAACAUCUCAACUAGCAUGAACACAUAAACUGCAUACCGCAUCGGACCGAAGUCCGAAACACAUAACACAAAUACAUGCUUGAAUCACAAAGACAUCAAGCAUUCUAACUACUGCAACGGACAGAGGUCCGGAACUUCUGCUAACUAAACGGGCCGGCAUUGUGGCCGUAGACCCGUUCCUACUGGAAGGAAAACUCACCUCGUAAUGUUGGCUGCUGAGAUGCAAACUCUAAAAGUGGCUGACCGCUGCUCCGGAACUGUCCGACUACAAAUCCCAGAAACACUAGAUUAGUUACUUGCAUAUACCCUCAGGGUAAGAUGACUAUUUUGCCCCCGGUCAAAGUCAACUUCUAGUUGACCGGACUCACCGAGUCAGGGCGCAGACUCGCCGAGUCCCUCCUUUACUAACUCUGACUUUAAUUCACAGAGUCCCUUUCCCACUCACUGACUCUCUCUGAACUCGUAGGUCGAAGAAAAAAGGGGACUCACGACUCGACUCGUCGAGUCUGAAGAACAACUCGCCGAGUCCUGCCGUGCAUAUUCCAAACAAACGAAUUCAAAACUAUUCCAGAGCAUCUGACUUGAAGAUCUGAGCCCUUGGAACUAUCUAAACACGUGAAGUUUCUAACUUUACGUGCAACUAAGAAGGAAUGAAGCUAUUUCACUCAAACACUACUUUUCUUGGGAAAACUCAUCCGACUCGCCGAGUUGUAUGAACAACUCGUCGAGUCUAAGGCGAUCUUCAUCAGACUCGCCGAGUUGCUCAUCCAACUCGUCAAGUCUACGGCUAUCUUCAUAUGACUCUCUGAGUCACGCAUGCGACUCGCCGAGUCCAUUUAGUCCCUUUUUCCAUACAGACCUGAUUUGGGCCAUGCAUUGGCUCCAAAUCACAGAUCUAAGCUUCUAGGGCAUUCUUAUCACGUAAAUUUGCAAACUUUACGUGCAUGCAUGGCUUUAAAGGCUUCAAAUGCUAACCCUAAGCUCUUAAUGGGGCUCCAAGCUCAAGAGAGACCUCAAUCAUGACCAUAACAGAAACUUUACUCUUCUAGAAUGCAAUAAGAGUCCAGAUCUAAUGUUUCCAUAAAAAGGGGAAGUCCAUCUCUCAAGUUUGAACCAUAAGAGGCUCCAAAGAGGGCAUAACAAGCAUAAAGGAGGUUAUAAUGGGGGAAUGCACAAGUUCAUAACUUCAUUACCUGAAUGAAAAAUAGAUGUAAGCUAACUCCUGGAUCUUCCUUCCCUUUUAUGGACCUUCCUUCCUUCCCAAUGCUUCCAUGCUAUCACAAAUACCCUCAAACUCAACAAUGGGGCUAGGGUUUACAGGGGAAAUGUUCUGAGAGUGAUAGAGGCGAGGUUGGGGGCGCAUAAGUGUGUUUAAAUAGGGUGCAAACCCUUAAAAUUAGGGCUUCAUCCAGACAGGCGGACUUGCCGAGUCCAGCGUAUGGACUCGUCGAGUAGCCAGCUCAAAACGUGUGAUUGUCUCGUCUCUACUCGACGAUUCGGGCUACAGACUCAUCGAGUACCCCUUAAUAAAUGAAAAUACUUUAUUUGAAUUACAUACCAAAAAUGGGGCAUUACAUAAUGCUUAGCCCAGAAACACGGACGUUACACUUCUCUCCUCCUUAGGAUGAUGCCAUCCCCAGAAUCAUACAUCAACAAACUAAUGCGGAUAGCGACUCAUCAUGUCACUCUCCAUUUCCUAGGUGAGAUUUGACUCAUUCGUAUGUUUCCGUCGCACAAGUAGUAAGUCAACCAUCUUGUGACGCAACUUCUUCGUCUUAUGGUCAACAAUCGCCUCCGGUUCUUCAACUAGCCUCUUAUUUUCAUCCAUCCUUAGCUCAUAAAUUAGAAUUAUGUCAGGAACUUCUCCCAUGAAUUUCCUCAAAUAACUCACAUGGAAAGUGUUAUGAAUAAUGUCUAGUUCUUCUGGUAGUUCUAGCUUGUAGGCUUGGUUCCCAAUCCUCUGAAGAACUUUGAACGGUCCAAUGAAUCUUGGACUUAACUUCCCUUUUUCCCGAAUCUUAUAAGUUCCUUGUAGCACCUGGUUCCUGGUAUGUAAUUUAUUUAAAUAUUUUGCAUUUUUGGCCUUGGACUCGGCAAGUUGAAGGACCAACUUGCCGAGUAGAAGCGGGAUGGGACGUGGGAUUUAAGUGAUGGACACGUCGAGUCGGGUCCCGGACUCGACGAGUAGGCUCUGACUGAAAAACCCUAAUCCGAGGGUUUGCACCCUAUUUAAUCAUCUCAUUUUCCCCUAAUGCUCCCAGAAACCCUCCCUAGUAAACCCUAAGUGUUUUGGUGCAAGAUCUAAGGCUUUUGAGUGAUUUUUGUGGGUUUUGACCUCAAGGAAUAAGGAAGAGCAUAGAAGGAUCAAGAGGAGACUGAAGGAUUAGAGUUUGGUGCAUCAUUUUCAGUCCUUGAAAGGUAUAAAUUAUGUACCUUGCUUGUUCAUUUGUUAGAUCCUUUUUUGGGGAAGAUUUAGGGCUUCUUAAGUCAUAUGAGGUGGCCAAACAUGGUUGGGGGUCAAGACUUCGGAUCUAAGUCUUGGAAGGAGUCCCAAAGCAGAUUUGGGUUGCUUUUGCACCCAAGGAAGGUCCCAUGCAACAUAAGAGCCAUUUUAGAGCCUUUUUGGGUCAAAAGUCCCAUGCAUGCACGUAAAGUUCGAAACUUUACGUUCUAGAUCGAGCUUAGGGCUUGGAUCUAUCUUUUUGUCAAAGGUUGUACAUCAGAAAUCGAGGAUUUAGGGUGUGGAUGUUAUCGAAUCGGCGAGUCAGUUCUUGGGACACGACGAGUCCAAAGCAUAGGGUCUGUUAUCUGUUGAGGGUCAAAAGAACCCAGUUGGGUGUUAGAAGGGUUGUAGAAGGUCCGAGAGAGUGACCCAACGUGUUGGACUUAGCCUUAGACUUGGAAUUCAUGGGACUCGUCGAGUGCUAGAACAGACUCGGCGAGUCCAAGGCAAUCUCCUUAUCGAUGAAGAUGAACUCGACGAGUUGUUCAUACAACUCGGCGAGUCGGGGUCAGGACUUGUUCAUCAGAUGAAGGUGAACUCGACAAGUGUUCAUCCGACUCGGCGAGUCGGAUGAAGGUUCAUUGAUGUUCGUAAAGAAAGGGAACUCGUCGACUUGUUGCCAAACUCGACGAGACGAGUCGUGGAUAAGGACGAGUAAAGGAAAGGGACUCGACGAGUUNAACUCGGGGAGUCGGGUCAACUGGAAGUUGACUUUGACUUGGACUUGGUUGGGGGUAAAAUAGUCAUUUUACCCCAAGAGUAGAUAUUAGUUUUCUGACUGAGUAUUUUGUGGGGAUUAUAGCCGGAGGAUUUCCGAAGCAACAGCAGGCAGAGGUUUCCUGCACAUAUUAUCAGCAGCUACUUGUUCGAGGUGGGUUGCCUACCAGUAGCGGUGGGUCUACGACCACAAUGUCGGCCCACCAAUAGGAGUUGUAUAAUUAUAUGAUUGUCUUUGUGAUAUCAUCUAGGUUGCUUCUACCUGAUAUGUUAUAUGCUGGCAUGAUAUGUUAUAUGUGAUAGUAGUAGAGUUCGGUUGUUAGGACCGAAGGGUAGGUCAAACACCCCAGAUAUGUAUGACAGUAUGUGAUGAUAUGUUUAUAUGCCGACAUGACAUGUUAUAUGGGAUAGUGGUAGUAGGAGGGGAACAGUCCCCAAGUUCGGUUGUUAGAACCGAAGGGUAGUUCAGACACCCCAGAUAUGUCUGAUAGUAUGUUUAUGUUAUGAUAUAUGUGAUAGUAGUGGUACGUGUGGAAUAGUCCCCGAGGGUCGGUCUUUAGGACUGACGGGUAGGUCAGCACCCCAAAAAGACUUGACAGGGGUAGGACGACACCCCAGAAUGGCCGCACGGGUAGGUCGGCACCCCAGAAUGGCCGUACCGGGUAGGCCGGGCACCCUAGAAUUGCCUGGCAGUAUGUAUGCUAUGUGAUUGUAUGGUAUGUGGUACGAUGGGGGAACUUACUAAGCUUCCUGCUUACAGUUUACAGUUUUGGUUUCAGGUACCUCUUCAACAAAGGGGAAGGAGCUGGCGCGGUAGCGGCACAUCAUACACACAUGUUGGUUUCCGCACUAGUGUUUCUUGGGUCGUUACAAGUUGGUAUCAAAGCCCUGAUCUGAGGGAUUCGGACACACCUUGGGGGUGUCUGGACUCAAAUCGAGGGAUUAAAAGACUUUUACAAGAAAAAUGGUUUCUUAAAAGCUAAGAUAAAAGAGUUUUGGGAAAGAACAAAGUGUGUGAUGUGCGCGACCGGCCGAGCUCAAGUAAGUAUUCCCCAAAGUACCCAUACAAGUUUAUGUUAUGUUUAUCAGUUUCAGUAGAAUAGCAUGCUAGAAUAGGACUGAAGAUCUAGGAAUGAUGGCUUAUGUGUCUGCUUUAUGUGCUCCAGCUUAUGAGAAUUGCAUGCUAGUAUUAAGUAGAAAAUAAUAGGAUAGUCUGUUUAGGUUAUGCCUGGUAUUAUGAGCUCAGCAUUGUAUGAUGGUACAACUUCUCGUUAGGAGAAUAGAGUUGUUUGAGUAGUUUCCUGUGUCCGAAUGAUGCUUGCUCAGUGCUUGUAGGACUCUGAAUGAUGGCCGUUAGCCAUUAGGUGAGUACGUCGCGUCGCAUGUCAUUAGGAUUGAAUAAUCUCAGAGUGCUGGAUUUGGCCCUAUUGCGCGGCUCUCGUUUGAGUCUAACCGUUGUAGGGACGAGUCUUUUACUUGAAGGAUUAUCUGAGCCUUGUUACAUGUGAUGGUAUUUAGGUGAUGGCUAAUUGAUAUCACAAGGAGGCCUUCAACAGCCGAGGACCGGUUUGGGUAGAGUCAGAGAUUUUCCCUAGGGUAAGCCUACGAUGAGAGUAGCAGAGAUCAGCAGUGGAAAAAGGGACUUGGUGGAGUCGAGGCCGUCCUUGAGGAAAGUACGGAUAGAUAUGGAAGGUAGUAUGGGCCCGUACUACAGAAAGCAGAGGAUCCGUACUCGAAUUAAGGAAGGCUAAGGCAAGACCAAGGAACUUGUGAUGGGUGUGAUCCCUAUAGAUGUACUAGUAUCACUGACGGAUGUCAUGAUGUAUUGCGGAAUGGUGGUACUAAGGCCAAGGCCAGCAGUGGGUAGCUCAGGAGAGGGAUCGGGUUCGGGUUCAGGCUCCGAACCAGUGGACGAGAGGCUACGCGAGUUCAUCGCGUCUAAGAUCACUAUAGGCAUCCUUGAUGCGACCCCGAUCAUCUUUGGGUCGAUCAAGGAAGGGAUUGUUGAGCUGAUGGAGGAUCGCCUUAGGGCGCUCAGGAGUGACAUGGCGACCAGCCAGUCAGGAUCCCGCAUACUAUCCUUUAAGGACUUCAGGGGCAGUGGCGCGCCGGACUUCCACGGGGAAAAGGACCCCAUUUCUGCUAGACGAUGGAUUGCGGACAUGGAGUCUGCACAGCUGACAAGCUUCUGCCCCGAGGGGCCGAAGGUGAGAUAUGCAGCAGGGUGUUUGAGAGACAGAGCUAGAGAUUAGUGGGAGUCUGUUGUUGACUCCUUGGGAGCCUCGGCUGUUGAGGCUAUGACCUGGUUAGACUUUGUGACCAGAUUCAGGGCGGAGUUUGCGCCAGCUGUAGAGCUUCAGCAGCUGGCCAGAGAGUUUUUGGAUAUGAGACAGACUACGGAGACUGUGGCGGAGAUCACCGCCAACUUCUGGGAGAGGGCAUUGCUUGUGCCCCAGUAUGCGGGAGAUGAGGACAUGAGGAUGACCCGCUAUCAUGACAUGCAGCGAGCCGAAAUUCGGGAGCAUGUUAGUUUUUCAGCUUGCCCUACCCUAGAUUCCAUGAUUUCCAGAUCAAGGGAGAGGGAGAUCGAUCUAGAACAUGUCCAGAAGAGGAAGGUAGAGGAGGGGCAGACGAUUGGGGCUUCGGAGAAGAAGCCUAAGGGAUCAGAUGGUAGGCCGAAAGGCCAGUCAGGACCAGGCCACUGCAGGAAAUGCGGCAGGCCACAUGAGGGGGCGUGUAGAUUGGGAUUGUCGGGCUGCUACAAGUUCGACAAGACGGGGCAAUUCAGCAGAGAUUGUACCGCCCCUACACCAGUUAUUCAGACGUCUGAGUUGCUGUGUUUUCAAUGCAACCAGAGGGGCCACAAGAAAGACAACUGCCCCCAGUUAACAGCAGCAACAGUGCCAGUGAAGGCGCCAGGUCUAGCGACCCUGCGAAUUACUGAUGACUGGAAGGCCAAGGCUGAGGCUCCAGUGGUGAGGAGUCGGGCCUUCCAGUUGACUACCGAGGAGGCACGCGCUGCACCCGAUGUGGUAACAGGUAUGACUUCUUGUUUAUGCUUUUAUGAUAUGCUGCUGUGAUUUUGAUAUGUUAUGUAUGUGCUCUGUUUAGGAUCGUUCCAUGUGAACGGUAUCCCAGUUCAAGUAUUGUUUGAUUCGGGUGCUACCCGAUCAUUUGUCUCUCUUGCGCUUAGCAAGAAGUUUCCUGAGUCUUCGGGCAUGUUGGAUUGCCCUUUAGAGGUUGAGAUUGUAGACGACAGGUCGGUACGAGCAUUAGAGGUCUUCCGAGAUUGUGUUUUGAGGUUGUUCGAGGAGCGUUACAUGGUAGACUUGAUUCCCAUACCCUUGCGGGGGAACAAGGUUAUUAUCGACAUGGAUUGGUGGAGCCCCAAUAGGGCGGUGAUAGAUUGCGCACAAUAGUUGGUGCGAGUCAGGACCCCAGGAGGGGGAGAUUUAGUGAUUUAGGGUGAGAGCCACAGCGAGGGCCAACCUUAUGUUCGGCAACGAGGACAAGGCGUUACCUUCAGCAGGGUUGCGCCGGAUAUGUCGCUUAUGUCAUGGACACCCGGGAGGAGGGAAAGGCGACAGUGGGCAAUGUGCCUGUGGUACGAGAGUUUGCGGACGUAUUCCCCGAGGAGUUGCCUGGGAUACCUCUGGAACGAUAGGUGGAGUUUAGGAUCGACCUAGUCCUUGGUGCGGCUCCGAUAGCCAAGGCACCGUAUCGGUUGGCUCCUCUUGAGAUGCAGGAGUUGUCUACACAGCCGCAGAAAGUAUUAGACAAGUGAUUCAUUAGACCUAGUAGUUCUCCCUGGGGAGCCCCGAUUCUGUUUGUGAAGAAGAAGGACGGGUCGCAUCGGAUGUGUAUAGAUUAUCGGGAGCUGAAUAAGUUAACGGUGAAGAACCGUUACCCACUCCCGAGGAUUGAUGACCUCUUUGACCAGCUACAGGGAGCAUCUUGGUUCUCCAAGAUUGAUCUGCGUUCAGGGUAUCAUAAGAUGAGGGUCAGAGAGGGGGAUGUACAGAAGAUAGCGUUCCGGACGCGCUAUGGCCAAUAUGAGUUCGUGGUGAUGCCUUUCGGGCUCACCAAUGCUCUUGCCGCAUUCAUGGAUCUCAUGAACCACGUGUGCAGACCAAUGUUGGAUCGGUCCGUGAUAGUUUUCAUCGAUGAUAUCUUGGUUUACUCCAAGACACAGGAGGAGCACGAGGAGUAUCUGCAAGAGGUUCUAGAGACUUUGAGAAGGGAGAACUUGUAUGUUAAGUUCUCCAAGUGUGAGUUCUGGUUGCGCGAGGUGCAAUUUCUCAGACACCUUGUCAACCAGAACGGGAUAUCGGUGGACUCGGCCAAAGUGGAGGCCGUGAUGAGAUGGGAGGUUCCAAGGUCUCCAUCCGAGAUUCAGAGUUUCCUAGGAUUAGUCGGCUACUAUCGGAGAUUCAUCCAUGAUUUCUCCAAGAUAGUCAUACCCCUGACCAGGCUAACGAGGAAAGUCGUGGUUUUUCGUUGGGGGCCUGAGCAGCAGGCCGCAUUCGAGACAUUGAGACAGAGAUUGUGUGAGGCACCAAUCUUAGCCCUAUCGGAGGGCAUAGAGAAUUUUGUUGUGUACUAUGACACGCCCAUUUCAGGUUUGGGCGCGGUACUGAUGCAGAGAGGGCAUGUCAUUGCCUACGCUUCGAGGCAGCUGAAGCUUCACGAGGCGAACUACCCGACGCAUGAUUUGGAGCUGGGGGCUGUUGUGUUCGCCCUUAAGAUUUGGCGUCAUUACCUCAAUAGGGUUCGCUAUACUAUCUACAUAAACCACAAGAGUUUGAUGUACCUCAUGGAUCAGCCGAAUCUAAACAUGAGGCAGCGUCGGUGGUUAGACGUGGUGAAGGAUUACGAUUACGAAAUCCUUUACCACCCGGGGAAGGCCAAUGUGGUGGCCGACGCACUUAGCCGCAAGGCAGCGCCGAUCAGGGAUAUUUGUCUGAGGAUGAUAGUGGUGACCCCGCUGUUGGAGCGGAUUCGGGAGGCCCAACGGGAGGCCAUGAAGGAGGAACAUCGGAAGAGCGAGCGGAUUGUGGGGCAAGUUUCCUCCUUCGAUUAUGAUAGCCGAGAGCUGUUGACACUACACCGUAGGGUGUGGGUGCCGUACCACGGGGGUGUACGCCAGGUUCUGAUGAAGGAGGCGCACAAAUCUCGAUUCUCCAUUCAUCCCGGGGCGACGAAGAUGUACAAGGACCUUCUUUUGGACUAUUGGUGGCCCUGCAUGAAGCUGGAUGUAGCAUGGUAUGUGGAGUGGUGCUUGACCUGUAGGAAGGUCAAGGCCAAGCACCAGAGGCCACAUGGAAAGAUGCAGCCGUUGGAUAUCCUGCUGUGGAAAUGGGAAGACAUUACGAUGGAUUUUAUCAUAAAGCUUCCUAGGAUCGCUCGGGGAGUGGAUUCGAUAUGGGUCAUCGUCGAUCGAUUAACCAAAGAGCGCCCAUUUUAUUCCGAUCCAGGAGGGAAUUUUGGCCGAAAAGUUGGCCAACAUCUAUAUCAGGGAGGUGGUGGUGCGGCACAGGGUGCCGGUAUCGGUGAUUUCAGACAGGGACGUGCGGUUCACUUCCAGGUUUUGGAGGAAGUUUCAUGACGAGCUGGGUACUCGUCUGUAUUUUAGCACCGCCUUUCACCCACAGACGGAUGGUCAGAGCGAUCGGACCAUCUAGACAUUAGAGGAUAUGCUGCGAGCAUGUGUUUUAGACUUCGGAGGUAGCUGGGAUACCUACCUUCUGUUGGCGGAAUUCUCGUAUAAUAAUAGCUAUCAUACGAGUAUUAACCGUCCUCCCUUCAAGAUGUUAUACGGGAGGAAGUGCAGAACCCCAAUAUGUUCGGGUGAGGUUGGCCAGAGGGUCAUGAGGAGCAUCGAGGUGGUGCUCAAGAUGACAGAGAGGAUUCAGCAGGUCCGGAGCAGACUUCAGACUGCUCAGAGUCGGCAUAAAAGUAAUCUUGAUAAGCGCCGAUCAGACCUGGAGUUCCAGCUCAAGGAUAUGGUUCUCCUAAAGCUGUCGCCAUGGAAGGGCGUCAUCCGAUUUAGGAAACAGGACAAGUUGGGCGCCACGUACAUUGGACCGUUCAGAUUCUUAGCCCGGGUGGGCAAGGUAGCAUACAGGUUGGAUCUGCCAGCCGAACUCAGCCAGAUCCACAACACUUUCCACGUCUCCCAGCUGCAGAAGUUUCUGGUGGACGACUCAGCAGCGGUACCCUUAAAAGAUAUUCAGGUCGAUGACAGCUUGAAUUACAUUGAGCGGCCAGUAGCGAUCCUCAACCGGAAGUCGAAGGAACUGAGGAACAAGAGGGUUGAACUAGUGAAGGUGCAAUGGCAACAUCGGAAGGGCUCAGAAUGGACUUGGGAGCCAGGGGAGGAGAUGAUCGAGCAUUACCCAGAGUUGUUCCAGGAACGAACAGCAGACUUCGAGGACGAAGUCUAAAAUAAGUGGGGGAGAUUUGUAGCACCUGGUUCCUGGUAUGUAAUUUAUUUAAAUAUUUUGCAUUUUUGGCCUUGGACUCGGCGAGUUCAAGGACCAACUCACCAAGUAGAAGCGGGAUGGGACGCGAGAUUUAAGUUAUGGACUCAUCGAGUCAGGUCCUGGACUCGACGAGUAGGCUCUGACUGGACAAAAACCCUAAUCUGAGGGUUUGCACCCUAUUUAAUCAUCUCAUUCAGCCACCACUCUACCCUAAUGCUCCCAGAAACCCUCCCUAGUAAACCCUAAGUGUUUUGGUGCAAGAUCUAAGGCUUUUUGAGUGAUUUUUGUGGGUUUUGACCUCAAGGAAGAAGGAAGAGCAUAGAAGGAUCAAGAGGAGACUGAACAAUUCGAGUUUGGUGCAUCAUUUUCUGUCCUUGAAAGGUAUAAAGUCUGUACCUUGCUUGUUCAUUUGUUAGAUCCCUUUUUGGGGAAGAUUUAGGGUUUUUUAAGUCAUAUGAGGUGGCCAACCAUGAUUGCAAACAUGGUUGGGGGUCAAGACUUCGGAUCUAAGUCUUGGAAGGAGUCCCAAAGCAUAUUUGGGUUGCUUUUGCACCCAAGGAAGGUCCCAUGCAACAUAAGAGCCAUUUAGAGCCUUUUUGGGUCAAAAGUCCCAUGCAUGCACAUAAAGUUCGAAACUUUAUGUGCUAGAUCGAGCUUAGGGCUUGGAUCUAUCUUUUUGUCAAUGGUUGUACAUCAGAAAUCAAGGAUUUAGGGUGUGGACGUUAUCGACUCGGCGAUUCCGUUCUUGGGACUCGACAAUUCCAAGGCAUAGAGUCCGUUAUCUGUUGAGGGUCAAAAGAACCCAGUUGGGUGUUAGAAGGGUUGUAGAAGGUCCGAGGGAGUAACCCAACGUGUUGGACUUAGCCUUAGACUCGGAAUUCAUGGGACUCGUCGAGUGCUAGAAUAGACUCGGCGAGUCCAAUGCAAUCUCCUUAUGGAUGAAGAUGAACUCGACGAGUUGUUUAUACAACUCGACGAGUCGGGGUCAGGACUUGUUCAUCAGAUGAAGGUGAACUCGACAAGUGUUCAUCCAACUUGGCAAGUCGGAUGAAAGUUCAUUGAUGUUCGUAAAGAAGGGGAACUCGUCGACUCGUUGCCAAACUCGACGAGUCGAGUCGUGGAUAAGGACGAGUAAAGGAAAGGGACUCGACAAGUAGAUGACCCAACUCGGUGAGUUGGGUCAACUGGAAGUUGACUUUGACUUGGACUUGGUUGGGGGUAAAAUAGUCAUUUUACCUCAAGAGUAGAUAUCAGUUUCUGACUGAGUGUUUUGUGGGGAUUAUAGCCGGAGGAUUUCCGGUGCAGCAGCAGGCAGAGGUUUUCCAAACAGAUUAUUAGCAACUACUUGUUCGAGGUGAGUUACCUACCAAUAGCGGUGGGUCUACGGCCACAAUGUCGGCCCACCAAUAGGCACUACUAGAAAAAAGGCGUUUUACGAUGCUCAUUGCGCGUCGUAAAACGCUCAGACAACGCGAAAAUGCGUGUCAAGGAAGGCCCUGUCAUAACGAGAGACGACACGCAUUUACGACACGCAUUUACGACGCUCAUUUACGACACGCAAUGCGUAUCAAGGAAGGCCAUGUCAUAAAGGAUGACGACACGCAUUUGAGUGUCGUAACCUUACGACACGCGUUUAGGACAUGCAUUGUGUAUCAUUAAAGCCCCUGUCAUAAAUGAAGAUGACACGCAUUUGCGUGUCAUAAUCUUCAGCAACCAUUUACGAUAUGCAUUUACGACACGUCUUUACGAUACACAUUUACGCAAAAUACAAAAAUAUGGAAAUAAAUAUAUAACAAAACAAUCAAUUUCAUUCAUUAACAUCAUGUCAAAAAAUUGUAAUACAUAGCGGAAGUAUUUGUUGAGAGCCCAAAAAGUUACAUAAAUCAAUGAAAGUAAAAUUCAUAACUUUUCUAGUUUUCAUAAUCCUAACAAUAGCUGCAUCAACCUGCGAUAUAUUUAUAAAAAAAAUGUGAUUAUAAAUUUAUAAUUACAAAAAAAAAUAAAGCAAAAAAAAAUUGGACCUGAUAUUGACGAUCUUGGGAAACUCUCUCUGUGGUGCUUGCGUUUUCUUCCACAGUUUCCUUCAGCUGGAUAUCAUUCACAUGUACAUGGAAUGGAAUGGAAUAAUGAAAUAAGCAAAGGAAUGGAAUGAGUCAUUCCAUUCCAAUUUCAUAUGAACUUCACAUUAUAAAAAAUUAAUUGAUCUCACCUUUAUACGAUAAAGAGGAGCAGUAAAUACAUCAUUAAACAUGAAGGAAUCAUUGUCAUCCACAUCAGUUUGAACCUAUUCUUUUGUCUCCUUUUCUUCUUUCUCUUUCCCUUGUUCUUUUUUGUCUUGUAUCUUUUCAAGUGGUUGGUACAACAAUAGAGGUAACGGGACAUGUGCCAGUAUUGGGUCCUGAAGAUCUUGUUGCUUUUGUGCUAAGUGUUUUGUGAUUGAGAAGCAAAUGGUCACAAAUUGCAUAUGGGUUCUGGACAUGCAAAUAAACUUAACUAUCGAUCACAUAACAAAAGCAAAUGAAAGUAUGAUGUUAUAAUAAACAAUUCAAAUGCUAAUACCUUUGACAUGUUUGUAUCUACAACAUUUUGGGAGCUUUCGAUGCUUCGAAGAAUUAAAAGUAUUGAAAUAACCUCUUCCUUCUUUAGACUAUUAUGAGGCUUCCCAUCUUCACAAUCACCACCAAUUGCCAACAUAGAAAGAAAUAAAUACAAUUUUCCGGAAAAUAAUAAAAAUUCAUAUAUAUUUUUUUCAUUCAAAGAAUCAAAAUCAACAGGUAUAGUAUGCAUUCAAUUUAUAUUUCAGGAAAAAAAAACUAAUAGUAUACCUACCUGUAUGUGGGUUCAUAGCAAGUUUUCUCUCUUGGAUAAAACAUUAUUUUUUUAUUUUAUUUAUACUAAAUGUUUUUUUUUAUAUUUUGAUAUAAUACAAAUUAAUUUAUGUUUUAGAUAAGCUCUCUUUUACUUNCCUGUCUUUUACUUAUUUACAUUGAAAAUUGACAAAUAGUUCUUUUUCCACAAAAACAGACAAACUAUCUACAAUGAGUUUUUUGCCCUUUGCCACUAUUUAAUCACCUUACCUUAGUUUUACACACAAAAUCCAAUAAUGGAAUAAUGCAUUGAACAUUACACAUUUGCAAAUAAGAUACACAUUAGCAAAAAAUGGUCUUAGCACUAACUUUCACCACCCACCCACCCGAUAACAAAAGAAAAUAUAAUCCGCCCACUCAGUUUCACUUUAUUUGCAAGUAAGUAUAAACAAUAAUAUUGCAGGGUUUUUUUUUCAGUAUGAAUGAGUAUUCAGUCACUAUUCAUCCAUACCUCUUUAAGUAGUUGAUACCAAAUGCUACCAUUAUUCAAUCUCCAUCUAGGGGUAGGGCUAGGUGUUGGUGUUGUUGGAGCAGAAGAAGCAUCAAUGAUAUUGAUAACAAUGAAAGGGGAACUCAAAUCAUCAAGUUCAUCAUCACUUGUGUUUGACUUUCUCAACACUGAUGAUCCAGUGCGACCCAAGUGUUUUAUACAUACAGCCACUCCCUCUCCUCCAACCAAAAUGGUUUUUAUUAUUGAUGAUGCUGAUGGCGGAUCAUAAACAACCGAACCAGCUACACAUGGGACACUGCUCACACAGUCUUCGCCACCCUCUGUAGAAUAUAAAGCCAAAAGAAACCUGUGUUUGUUUACUACUCAAAAUGAAGACAUAAAAGAAGAAAGGAAUAUGCAUUGUAUUGGAAAAAUGAAGACUAAAAACCUCUUAUAUUAUCCAUAUCAAUAAAGCUAUAUUUAUAGCUUCUUAGACACCCACGAUGAAGUAUGAAAACAAUCCAUGCUCUUGACUCCACCUAAUUAGCUUAAGAAUUAACUAUUAUAUAAAACAUAAAACACAAAACAAUAAUAAUUAUCAAAUCUAAAGUUUCAGCCAUGCACGUGAGCUAUGACUAACAAACCGAUUAACCCAACACCUUCCACCCCCAAAUCCUUAGCAUAUAUAAACAAACACCCUCUAAAUGCAUGUUAUUAGACAUACCAAAAUAUCUUUAAUUGGUUGGCUUGUGUGUCCUUCACAUCAACAUAAUUACUUAAUUAAUUAAUUAUACUGAACUCACCUCUGAGUCUAAGGCUUCAAGCACAACUUCAGGAAUAGCAUCUGGACAAAACUCAUCUGGAACAAAACUAUCUAGUAUCCCUUUUAUUAAUGCUACACCAAAACUCAAACAUACCUUCAAAAAAUUUUAAAUAACUUUAGCUUUGUGGAUAACUACACUACUAUAAAAGAAAAAGAGCCCAAUUUUAGAGACCUCUUUUCUGAUUGUGCUAUCUAACAACAUAUCCUUAGGAAGCAUCAUCAGGUCACUUAAUGCAUUCAGGAGAUGAAAAGAUUUGAAUGAUGAAUCAUCAGCAUCUAUAUCAAAUAAAUCAGUCAGCCACCUCGACCAAUUUUCAAUUUGCACAUUGCCAAAUGAACNNNNNNNNNNUAUAUAUAUAUAUAUAUAUAUAUAUAAAGGAUCACUUGCCAUGGGAAUUGGUCGCCUAUGAUUCAGAUCAGAGGCCUGGAAUCGUCAAGGUAGAAAACACAAGUCAAGAAAAAAAAUAAAAUAAGAGACUUUUAGGCAUAAAUGGUAUAUACCCUGUAAUAGGGAUAACAAACUCCUUGAGUGCUUUUUCACUUGUUACUCCAAUUAAUUCGCCAAGACCUUGAGCAUCCUGUUCUCUCAAUUCUGCAGACCUGCUUAUUAGGCCCUGAAGAUAUAUGGGAAGCAAUGGUUGAAGAGCCUUUGGGAGACAUAACCUGGGUAUAACAAUUGGUCCACCCUAUAUGUCCAUCAACAAAUAUUUAAAUAAGAUAAACCUUAAUCACUACUAAAUGCUGAUUAAAAUACACAUAGUUGCCCCUCGAGUUCCAAAACAUUAAAACAACUCUAUUUUGUGCUUAGAUUCCAAAAUAGGACCAAAACAAAAUUCAUACGCAAGUGCUCAAUGGAUGAAAAAACUCAUAUGUACAAAUUCUAAGCCAAAAUACAAGAAUACAUUAGUUCUACAUAAACCCUAUCAACUCGAAAAUAAAAUUUUCUCGUAUAAUAAUUACAUAACCAAAUUAUGUAGUGAAAUCACACAUUAAAGCAAAUGUCUUUGUUAUUGUGAAUUUUGAUACAUCAUAUAUUAUUAUAUUUUUACCUUUAUUAUAGAUUGGUUACCCAACUUUACAUGCAUUUGUUGAGUUUAUUUCUGGAUUUGACAUGCCUUCUGACAUUCACUCAAAGAAGAAAGACAACAUUCUUCUAGAAACUGGGAAACCUUUUCGAUGGCUCUCUUCCAUGAUGAGUUAUCGUUGCCACUAGCUCAUAUCUUCGACCGUAUUUAUUAUAAUUUUUUUUAUAAAUUAAUAAAAAGAUGAAAAUGAUAUAUANNNNNNNNNNNNNNNNNNNNNNNNNUAUAUAUAUAUUAUAUAAAUACAUACCUCUGGUGAUGAUAAAAAAAGGAAAUCACGAUUCAGAGUAAGGUGAAGAGGAAUGUGGAUUGGUUUGAGUAAUUUUGUGCUUCCUUGACUUACAUAGCUAAACCUCAUUAAGUGUAGUAUUAUUAUCUCUGGAAGCUCUAAUAUUUCACUGAUUUACUUGCACAUACUAAUUCACAUAAUAAUAAAAAGAAGUAUACAUUUCCUGCUGAUGAAGCACGAUACCCUUCAAGUGUCUCUGGAGCUGAAAAAAGAUGAAGUGCAUCUUCUAUUGUAUGCAUAGGAUCUGGACAUAUAUUCAAAUGGAGCAAAAGAAAUGGCUGAAUAGUUGCAGAUGCUUUGUUACCUAUUUUUGUUUUACAUUAAAAAUAUAUAAAUGAUGAAUUAAUGAUAUCAUGUUAUUGAGAUGAGUGAAAAAUGUUAAAAGAUUAAAAAAAAAUACCUCUUGCUUUCAUUACACUUUUUAUUUGGCCUUCGAAGAUCUGACUUAAUUUUGAAGGAAUAAAACUUUGUGUUCUUGUGAUUGUAGUUUUGUUCUUUGGUCCAACUGUUUCCCAAAUAUCAUCAUCAUCUUCAUCACUUAAAGAUGAAACCAGUGAAACUUUUCCACCAUUAAAAUUACAAACUUCUCCUUCAAGUUUAAGAAGUUCAUCAUGCAUUUGGUGCAUUACAAAGCUUAAAAACACCUGAGCAUCUUCUUGCCUUUUUAAAAAACAAACUUCAACUCAGCAUCCGAAAUUCCAAACAUAACAUAUAUAAAAUUUGUUGAUUAAUUUUAUAACAUUAACACAAACCUUGGUCUUCCAGAGAAGCUAUUUGGCAUAUCUGGAGAGAAAUUGUUGAGAACAGAUUCAAACAUGAUAGGUCGAAAAGGUUUCCCAGUUUCUAGAAGAAUGUUGUAUUUCUUCUUUGAGUGAAUGUCAGAAGGCAUGUCAAAUCCAGAAAUAAACUCAACAAAUGCAUGUAAAGUUGGGUAACCAAUUUGUAAUAUAGGUAAAAAUAUAAUAAUGUAUGAUGUAUCACAAUUCACGAUAACAAAGACAAUUGAGUCCAACUCCAUCGGCGUUUGCUUUUGAAUGAAUUCCUUGGGAUAAACCUUCCAUAUACGCUCUGCUCCCUUUCCUUUUGGAACAAAACACCAUAGCAAGACUCCAAAUAUGUAAUAAUAAUCGAUCGAUAAAGUUUCUACAUAAGUUGCAGGUGAUCAAAAAUGGCGGAAAUCAGGAAAUGUAAAUUGUACCUUUAGCGAGAUUAGGGUAAAGCCAUCACAAGUUAGAGCCAUCAUCACCUGUGGGAGACCUAGGGGAAGUUGAUCGCCUCUAUCCACCUGCCAAAAAAGUGAAUCGUCUUCCCAUAAGUUUUCGUCACUUUCUCUCGAUCUUGCCGCUCAACCGGACCAAGGACGCCGGGAAGGAAAAGGACGUCCCUCUUCACCUCAUACUCGUGGAUGUGCCACAUUGGCUUUUCUGAAUCCGGCAAGGUGAAGAACAAUUUUUAUGUUACGAUGUUUUCAACUCCGAUUAAAAAAGCCCUAGAAAUUAUCCCAGUGAUUUUGUGAUAUAUGAGUUGUUGAGGUAUACAGCAGAGGUGGUAUCGUGAUUAGGGUUUGCAGAGAAAAGGGGGAAGAAGAGAAUGAAGGGGAUCAAGCGGGGUAUUAAAAAAUUUAAGAUUUUUGAGAGGAUUUCAUUUCCCCCUUUCAAGAAGGCGCGUUUUAGUAAAAAUUAUAAAGCGACAAUCACAGAGGACGCAUAUUUUAGAUAAAGUGCCCUCCGUGUUUUUAUUUUUUUUACAUUCGACACUAAUUUAAGGGCAUGCAAUAAUGCGUGACCUAAAUCCUCAAAUUUUUUGAAGAGACGACACUUUUUUAUUGUCACUCUCGUUUGCGUAACAUAAAUCAAUAAGUGUCGUGAUUUGCACAUCGUAAAAGGGUCUUUUUCUUGUAGUGAGGAGUUGUAUGAUUAGAUGAUUGUCUUUGUGAUAUCAUCUAGGUUGCUGCUACCUGAUAUGUUAUAUGCUGGUAUGAUAUGUUAUUUGUGAUAGUAGUAGAGUUCGGUUGUUUGGACCGAAGGGUAGGUCAGACACCCCAGAUAUGUCUGACAGUAUGUGAUGAUAUGUUUAUAUGCUGGCAUGAUACGUUAUAUGGGAUAGUGGUAGUAGGAGGGGAACAAUCUCCAAGUUCGGUUGUUAGAGCCGAAGGGUAGUUCGGACACCCUAGAUAUGUCUGAUAGUAUGUUUAUGUUAUGAUAUAUGUGAUAGUAGUGGUAGGGGUGGAAUAGUCCAAGAGGGUCGGUUUUUAGGACUGACGGGUAGGUCAGCACCCCAGAAAGGCUUGACACGGGUAGGACGAUACCCCAGAAUGGCCGCAUGGGUAGGUCGGCACCCUAGAAUGGCCGCACGGGUACCUAGAAUGGCCGCACGGGUAGGUCGGCACCCCAGAAUGGCCGUACCGGGUAGGUCAGGCACCCCAGAAUUGCCUGGCAGUAUGUAUGCUAUGUGAUUGUAUGUUAUGUGGCACGAUGGGGGAACUCACUAAGCUUCGUGCUUGCAGUUUACAGUUUUUGUUUCAGGUACCUCUUCAGCAAAGGGGAUGGAGCUGGCGCGGUAGUGGCACAUCAUGAAUGGUUUUCCGCACUAGUGUUUCUUGGUAUUGUACUAUGACAUUAUUCUUAUUUUUGUGAAUGGUUUUCAGACAUGAGAUGUGGUUUUAUGAAAAGUUAUGAUUAGAUGGUGUUUUCUUAUAAAUGUUUUUACAAGUCAAUUUUAAAAAUGAAAUUUUUGGACUUGUAAAUUGGGUCGUUACAUUCCUUCCAUGGUAAGACUUUAAGCAAAACCAAAUCUCCAACUUCGAAUGCCAUCAGUCGUCUUUUCUUGUCAGCAUAGCUCUUUUUACAAUCCUGAGCUGCUAACAUCCUUUCCCUAAUCACUCUUAACUUUUCAACAGUCUGAUGGACUAUCUCGGGGCCCAUAAACUGCCUUUGUUCAACUUCAAGCCAACAUGACGGCGUACGACACUUUUUUCCGUACAAAGCUUAAUAAGGUGCCAUCUUGAUGCUUAAGUGGAAACUAUUAUUGUAGGAAAACUCUACCAGAGGUAAGUGUUCAUCCCAGUUACCUUGGAAUUCUAGGGUACACACUCUUAGCAUUACUAUAGUGUUUGAAUCGUCCUUUUUCUCUAACCAUCGGUCUGUAGAUGGUAGGCUAUACUUAAACACAGCUUCGUACCCAAUUCUUCUUGUAGACUCCUCCAAAACCUUGACGUGAAACGGCUAUCAUGGUGUAACGCCCAUGUUUCUAGGCUAGGCAUUAAUGAUAAUGUAAUAGUCUAGGUUAACCUUUGUAACCCGUCUUGAAAUAAUAAAAAUGUAUUAUUUGAGUAUUAUGUGUUUUGUGCUUAAUUGUGUGACUUAAAUGAAUUAAGGAUAAAAAUAAGCAUCAAAAUGAAAUGUUAGAUAAACUCGAUAUCUAUGAAGGAUGUGGUAGUGGUCGUGGCAAGGUUUCCAAAUAUAUAAAGAAUGCCAAAAUCUGAGUUAUAACGAAAAAGUUAUGAUCUGUCGAAGUUUCGUUACAGAACCGGCACGGCACUGCGUGACGUAAAUAGUGAAUUUACGAUAGAGCGAUAUUUAGUCUUAGUGAUCUAAACAGAAGUUGUAGAAUAAGUUUAACCGAGAGCGUGCAUAAGAAGAACGUCUAAAUUUGACUUCGUAUGAGGAAGUUAUGAUUUUUCGAAGUUUCGAUUUAGCAGUAUGCAACCCAAAUCUCGAAUUACAGAUCGAGUGAUACUUGGCCGAAACAAUCUAAACGGGAAUCGAAGAUCUCGUCGAUAGUAGUCCAAAAGUGAAAAGACAUACGAAAACGGACGUCGGAUGAAGAAGUUAUGAAUUUCUAACGGAGUUUUCCUGUCCGACCUGCUAAAAAUAAUAUAAUAAAAAUAAGUUCAAAAUUAGCCGACGCAGUCUAAACGAAAGUUGUAGAGCAUAGUCUCACCUAUGUGUGGAUAUAAAGAACAUAAAAAAUGGAGCUCGUAUGAGGAAGAUAUGAUAUUAUGAAGUUUUUAAAUAAUUAAAAUAUAUAAAUUUUAUUAUAUAUUCGGAUAAUAUCCGAAUCCAUGACUCAGCCGAUCUGAUCCGAAGAUUACGCCCAACGUACUGCUUGUAGAGGCAUUACGCCCAGCAUAAUCAGGAUUUACGCCCAACGUAAAUCGAGGUUUCAUCCCCUAUAAAUAGAAGUCGUGGGCAGCCGAGUUUUGUUGCUCAUUUCUUCCUCUCUCUCCCGUUUUACCUCGUUUUACGUGCAAGCUUUACCCCCGAAGCCGCGGUAUCAUUCCCGAGACCCGAAGCCCCGGGGAUCCCGAGAAGUAAAGUUUCUGAGCCGAAACUCUGCCCGUGUAAAGCCCGGUUUUGGAGAAAACGUCCUGGUUUUAUCGGAAAAUAUUAUUUUAAUAUAUGAGGUGAUGUCCGAUCAUCUUCUUAUCAAGUGAGUGUAUAUUCCCUUUCUUCUAACACAUAGAUAUGAAGUAUCUACUUUAGAAUAUGUGUUACAUGUGUAUAAAUAUACGUGUAUAUAUAUGUUAUCUGUUUAUUUGGAAUGAGUAUCUUAUUAGUUUUUAAGUUACAUAUGAAUGCAUAUGUAUGUUGUUAUCUACAAAAUGUUGGGUAGAACUUGUGUAGAUAGUUGAUGUGUGAUAAACUGAUGAGAUGCCUCGAUGUGAUUGUGAUCUAGUCAUUCAACAGAAUAUGGGUGACGACCACGGACUCUUUCUAGACUGUCCCGUGGAAUGCUGGCAGGCUCAUAACCUGUAGGUGUUGGUGAACUUGGGUGUUCAUUUGUUGUAUUCUAUCCCCCUCAUGGUUGCCUUAGGACAUUCAUUGUUGAGAAAACCCCUCUGCAGUAGUGUCCGUCCUGAUGAAAAUCCUAGAUUAGGUCCCUUGUAAUAGUUAUUGUCAUAGUGACGUAAAGUGAGGAUAACAGGAAUGGGUAAUCAGGUUAUUGUUGGUUGGUGAAAUUAAAUAUAAUUAGUUAUUGUGGGUUGAAAACCCUAUAUGCUCACCAGGCUCCCAAGCUUGACCCACUCAGUUUUUUUGUAUUACAGGUAGUGGUGCGAGGGCAUAAGUUGGAGAACUUAUGAAGAUGUUUUUGUUUAUAGACCAGUAGUUGUAUAUAACAGUGUAAGGUCUAUGUUUUACUGUUUAUGCUUUUGUGUCUGUAUCGGAACAUGACAUCCUGAGUUUUGAUAUAUAAUGAAAAUACAUUUCUUUAAGAAAUGUUUUGAUAAACUUUAUUUUAUCAUGUUUUGUUUUAGGGACAAAUUCUGCAACUCUUUUAAAUCAAUGGAUUUACUCUGAAAUUAUUUUAAAAACAUAAAUGAAACCGGCCUUUUCUGGCCGUGAUUUUGGGGAUUUCACACAUGGUCUGAUACUAUCUUUAAAGGAACACCAUGAAGUCUUACUACCUCCUUCACGUAAGCAUUUGCAAGCUUAUCUGUAGACCAUCUUGUUGGAUUAGUGUCUAAGUCCAUAACUAUUUUGGUAUGUACUUGACCCGAUGGUGCAUGGUCCUUUUGGGUUGCCUUCACCAAAGCAACUUGAUUGGAGAAAUAAAUAAAGAGAGAGAGGUUAUUAUGAUUUAUUAAUAUGUUAUAAGAAUAAUAUAUUAAAGGAGAAAUCAUAUUUGUUUAAUUAAUAUUGGUCAAUAAUUAAUUAAGAAUUAAUUUUGUGAUCAAGUGUAAUUAAUUAAACUAGAGGGGCUGAAUUGUAAUUAUGUGAUAGUUACAAAAUAAGGUAAGGAUUAUCUUAAAUAUAGGGUGAACGAAUUUAAGGAGAUAAUGCCUUAGAAUUCGACUAGGAUAAGGGUUUCUAAGACUUAUCUUAUGGUUGCUUGGUGGGCAAGCAACUAGAUAAGGAUAAGGACUAAAACCCUAAUCUUUACACCUAUAUAAACCCCCUAAGGCUCAUGAAUUCGUCUAAGCCUUCCCAAGAAGUCCUAAGGACGAAUUCCUACCUCUAUCCUCUCUCUUUAUACCUUCUCCAUUUGCUCUUGGUGUUUGUGAGCCAUUAGAGGAGUGACACUUGUGACUCUAAGCCUUCCAAAGUCAAUUCAUGGAGAAUUGGGAUUGUUAUUACUACAUAACAAUCAAGGUAACAUCUUAAACCUAAUUAUAUGUUAAUAUUGAUUUCCAUAUGCUAGAAUUAGGGUUUAUAGUCUUGGAUUCAUUGCAUGUACAAUAGAGAAACCUAGAUCCAAGCAUUAGGGUUUGUAUGAGCACAUAGGAUGUCUUAUGACCAAAACCCAUCAGUGGUAUCAGAGCCUAGCUUGGUUUCAAUUGUAUUGAUGCAUUGUAUAACUGGAAAAUUCGUUUUUUGGGUUUCUGGAGGCUGGACUCGCCGAGUCCAUAGAUGAACUCGCCGAGUCCAUGCUGACUCGACGAGUCCAUGCCUGACUCGGCGAGUCGGCUCGUCAGAAGGAGGGAAAACCGGGAUUUCUUGCUGUUUUUGCUUAAGGAUAGUUGCCUUAUCAUAUUAGAUCAAUAUAAAUCCGAUUUUAUGAUAUAUUUGACUAUAUUCUUGAUCUAAUUGAAGAUAUUUAUCAAUUAAUAAAAUAUUUGUUUCCUUAUGUGAUAAUUGAUUAAUUAUUUUGAUUAAAUUGAUAAAUUGUUUUGCAAGAAAUCAUUAAAUAAAUCAAAUAUGGAUAAUUAUGUGAUUAAAUGUUAAUUUAGAUUAUUUGUUAUUUGAUCCUUGUUGUUAUGAAAAGUUUCAUAUUUUCCCCUUUAGGUUUUAUAGUUUAAAUUUGAACCCAAAAGUUUUGUUGUUUUGAAAUUUAAAUAGUUGAAACCCUAAUGUUUUGAAAAAGGUUUCAAAACUUGCCCUCAAGUUUUGGAAUUUAAAUUUUGAUUAAAUAGUUUAAUUUUGAUGUAUAUUUAAAUUCUAAACCCUAAUGUGUUGAAAUGUUUCAAAACUUGCCCUCAAGUUUUGGAAUUUAAAAGUUGAUUAAAAGUUUAAUUAGGAAUGUUAAAUUCUAAAACUCUAGUAUUGUUUUGAAAAAGUUCAAAUCACACCCUUAUGGUUUUAUUAAUUAAUUAAGGUGUAUAAUUAAAAGAGGUUUAAUAAAUCCAUAAAAGUUUUGGUUUACAAUUUAAUUGAAUUAAAAGUAUAAUUGUUAAAUUUGACCACCUAGUAUUUUAAAAGUGUAAAAUACACCCUAUACUAUAUAUAACAUUAAAAGUCUAACAUUAUAUAUAUGUAUGAGUAAAAGUCAGUCUUACCGUUAGUAGGCCUCAUUCACGAAGCUGGUCUAUAAGGGGUGUUUAAGGAAAUUGCCUAUAAAAUGGCGAUUGAAUGGGUAUCCACUCUUACCCACCGCACUCUUGACUAGUGGAGGGUCGUUAGCCGAACGGGUAGGAUAGGACGAAACCUUCCAUUAUAAGUAUAAUGAAGUAUAAAAGUAACUAAAUGUUUUCAUAAAAUUCCCAAUCUUAGUUACUUAGGCAAAAGUGAAUUGAUGCAAUUCCAUGAAAUUACACUUUGUGCCCUUGCGAAGACGUUAGUGGAGCGUGUGUGGUUUACCGGCACACUAAAUGGUUCUAAGCAAAGGUAGCAAAGGGUGACUCAAUGUUUGUCAUAGUUCGGUGGAGCGUGUGUGGUUUACCGGCACAUCGAAUAGGUGACUGUAACAUGUGAGGGCACCAUGUAAGUUUGCAUGGUUAUUCACACCCGCUUUGUGAUCCUCGGCAUCCCAGUCACAAACAAGAGGGGCAUAUCGAGAUUUAAACAUGCCAUUGAAAUGUUCAAUGAAUCUCAAAGGAUCUAGGAGUUUUCAUAGAUUUAAAACUUAAAUUUCUUUUUCGUUUUUCAUGGUGGAAAUUAGUGAAUCGUCAUUCACUUACCUUCAAAUGUUCUGCAAUUUGGGUUACGGCAUCCCUCUCCCGAGUUGUAGAAUAUUGUGUUGGGUCCUAGCCUUAGUAUCUCAUUUGGGUGAUUUACUAAGGACUCAAUCAAUCAACUAACUUGAAUUCUUUUUCUCCCGUUUUGUAGAUGUCAAAGUUCGACAACUAUGGUCUUCCCAAAUCCCGUGGAACAAGCAUUCCACAUGAAGAUGAUAUUCCACGAUUCGAUCGAGGAACAAGAAAUCAUGCUUCACUUCCUCCACCUCCUCCAAUUAUUCUCCCUAACCCACAAGUUCAAAGGCUUGAAAAGUUCAAGAUCACUCAAGCCCUUUUGGCAAGUAAACAUAAAGAAGGAAAGUCGGUGUGUGCACACGUCCUAGGGAUGAAGUCACACAUUGAUAGGUUAAGAAUGUUGGGAUCCGUUGUCUGUGAGGAAAUGGCUGUUGAUUGGGUUCUUCAGUCACUUCCUAACUCAUAUAGUGAGUUCGUAAGAGAGUACUAUAUGAUGAACCGCGACGUGACCCUUAUAGAUCUCACCUAUAUGCUUAUUGCUGCUGAAUCAGCAAUGGUUUGGCGCAAUAGAAAAGCAAAGUUGAUUGGUGAAUCUGCCUUCAAGACCUCUAUGGAUAUAGACAAUGGCAACGAAAGACAUGCUAUGAUCGAAAAGUUUGAUCAUAAGAGAAAGGCAAUGUCUGAAGUAGUUCCAUGUCAUGUUCCAAAAGAGUCAAUUUGCUUUUAUUGCCAAGAGAAAGGGCAUUGGAGACGAAGCUGCCCCAUUUACCUAAGAGAUCUAAGAGAUGGGAGAGUCGAAACGUAUGGCUCUAAUAUAGGUAAAAUCCAUUAACUAACUCUUUUAAGCUUCUAUUCUAGAUUCUUAAUACAUAAUGUGAUAAGAUUACAAUUGAUGUUUUGUAGGAUCGAAGAAAAGAAAGGAAGCUUAAGGGAAGAAGUGAGCAGAAUCUAACCGUGAAGGAAUGGAUUUCGAUCGCAUUUCUCGAAGAUUAGAUUCUUGAGCUACUACUUAGAGUUAGAAUUAGAUUGCUAAGAAAGAUGUAUUAGCAUAGUUUUUCAAUGAAUUGCAUUGUAAGGACAAAUUUUUCCGCAAUAAAAUAAAUUUUGAUUUUAAAUUUUAUUUAUUUAUCCUUACAAUGGCGUGUAUGAAAAAUUGAUGUUAAAAUGUUUCUAUUAUUAGCAAUAAUGGAUUUGGUUCUUAUUAUGUUAUUUAUGGAAAGUCGAGAAUUUACCAAAUAGGGAGAGUUUCUCAUCGCCCAAGUUUCAAUUGGACAGAAACUUGGAAUCAUGCAACUUGGUUGCACGAUGAAUGAGAAAUUUCAUAUUUGGAAAUUAGACUAAUUCAUUGACAAAGUGUCAAGUGAAGGACUAGGAGAUCGAGUACACAAAGUUGCGUGUUGAUCAAGUCCACCAUAAGAGUAACAAAGAUAUUCGUCAUGAUUUACUAAAGGUUUAGUAAAUAUGAUUAUACUUAUAAGAUUAAGUGUAAUUCUGAAUUGAUUGAAAAGGUUUAAAUCAAUAGCAGAACGAAUAAGAAGAAUCAAGUAGGCAGAAAGAUAAAAGUUUCUCCAUUCUAAGAAGAAGGGAGAGUACCUUUUAUGCUUUAUGAUAGGUCUUAAUGAUUAAGAACCAUAUCUCAAUUGAUCCUCUAAGUGAGUCUUAGUACAAUUGUAUGUCUAAGAAGAGGAAUCAAGAAUUGAAGAAAUGGUUAAAUCAAGAAGUCAAUCAUACUUCGUUCCAAAACAAGUCUUAGAGUUAAGAUUGUGACAUUGAGUGAUAAGUAUAAAGAAGGUUUAUAACAUUCAUUAAAUGUGGAAAGUUGUGAUGUCUUGGAUAAGACAAAGACCAACUAGGACCAAUUUAUGAAGUGUUUUGAUAAAAGCUACACUAACUCUUGAAUAUUUGUUUGUCAAGAAAUGGUUAUUGACAAGAGAAUCUUAUAUGUCAAGGAGUCAGUGGGAGUCUUAAUGGUCUUGAAAGGUUUCAAGAACAAAUCAAAUAAACCUUAUCGAUCAUCACUAGCACACGAGUUGAGGUUUACAACCUAUCGUGUUGACAUUAUUUUGAUUCUGUGCCAAUCCAAUCGAGUUAAUUAUGCAUGUGAGUUCUAUGAGUUCUCAUUUUGAACGCAUAAAAGGCAAAGCACCUUAAUCAAUGAAAGGUACAUUGAUAGGAAAGGGUGAGCUGCUUAACUACUUGGAAGACAUGGUGGGCAGCUGUGCUACCAUAAAGGCAAGAAAUCGAGAUCAAGAAAGUUCGAUCCAUAAGAGUUUGAAUUUGUCGUAAACUUUGGUUUUGACAAAUUCACAUGGAUAGGAACAAAUACACCGUUUAAAUCUAAGUGUCAUAAGAUUUCCUCCUUCAUGAAAAUGAUUGUGAGGAAAUGCUUUCACUAAGACAGAUUUUAAGAAGAUAGUGAUUGUAAAAUUGCAUUCUCGAAUUCAAUUAUGGUUACGGCAUCCCUUUCCAUAAUUUGAAUUGUGAGGUUUGGCAAUUAGUCUUAAUUGUUUAGACACACAUAUGAACUAUCGAAGGCAAAGGUGUAUAAGUUCAAGAAGCCUUGAUAAAAGAUUAUCAAAGCACUAAGUAUUAGAAACAUGAACUUAAGAAAUUCAAUAAGCAUUUUUUUUCUGAAAGUUAAGAUGUUUAUGAAUACAUGUCGAAGCUAGUGGGAGCAUAAGUGUUAUGUUUUAUAAUAAUCAUCAAGAUAGUGGGAGCAUAAAAGUUAUGAUUGUAUGAUUAUUAAGGAAAGUAUUGCAAGGUUAGCAAUAUUAAUUAUAGAAAACAAGAGUCAUACUUUGCAAAGUCGCAAUAGUUGAAGAGUUGUUUUGCUAUAAUUAAGGGAGAGAAUAUUAUGCUUCAUUUCAAAUCUAAAGGUUUAGGUUGAGAAAUGUUAAUAAAAUUUAGUCAAAGGUACAAAGUGUGUUCUUAAAAUUUCGAUUAUGAUUACGGCAUCCCUCUUCACAAUUCGAAUUUUGAGAACAUAGCAAAUAAAACAUUAUGCGUCGUGUCCCAUACGCUUCGGGUAUAGGAUCGAUUGCAAAUGCUUUAAUGUUUGACCAUUCUAAAAUUUUCCAAAUGUCGAGCGCAUUUAGAGGGAAAAGGGACUAGAAUUGGUUUUGACUAAAAUAAUUAAACAACUAUCAAAGGACAAUCCAAAGUUCGACGAGGAUUGGUCGCUUGUGAGUAGUUGGAAGUAUAGUAUUGGAAAAUAUGGAAAUGUUUCCAUAUUGGAUGGACCAUAUCGACAUCAUUACGAAUAGAUAAGAUUCUAUUAAGAAUGAGUUGUCAUAUGGAACAUAUGGAAGUGUGUCCAUAUUGGGAAUUGAAUAUUGAGAAAUCUAUGACUAGAUUAGAAACUUCUAUGCAAAAGGAUGUUCAAAGAAUGUACUUUGAGUGAGAGACAUCACAUCUAUGGAAUUGUCUUGUAACAAUCUCCGAUAGAGGACUUUGUAAUAUCAUUGGCAAUAGUCUUUGUGACUUUGGUGCAGUGACAUUACGAAAGGAUCGUUGCAUAAAAUGUUAGAAUCUAGCAUAUUCUAUAAGUAGCAAGAAUUUGAUAUUCUUUCACUUAUGAAAAGGAUUUGGAGUUGUGAAAUGAGAAUGAUUGGAAAUGUGUUCAAUUUGAUCUAUUUCACAAAGUAAGAACCAUAGGUAAACAUUGUGUGCAUGCUAGGAGCAUGGGACAAGUGUAAUAAUUCAAGUAAGAAGUUGAUUACCCGAAACGACAAAUAAUGAGUAAUCGAUAUGGUGAUAAAUAAAAGGUGUUUUAUUUAUACUCAAAGGUUUGAGGCCAUAUGGGAUUAGUAUUAUUCUUGUGUUUCACAUUUGCAUGUUUUGACUUCCAGAAUAAUUGAGUUUAUUAAGAAUAAUCGAAUUAUUCGAACGGGCCACAGUCGUUCAUAUGUUGGAAGUAGAUAUGAAUGAAGACUGUCGUGAAUUGGUGUGUGGAUUGUCUAAAAGAGUAUUAGACAUAAGCAAAUGUUUGCUGCAACGUUCAUGAGUGCUUAUGAAUAUGAUUUGAGCAUUGGAUUAAACCCACGCUCACUUGGAUCACUCCAUGAAUUGUAUCACGAGUGAUUGGUGAGACGAUAACAUCUUAUAUUCUUGAAACCGAGAUGUGUGAGUUGUAUCUUGCGAAUCGGUUGCACAUUGAUAAUAUGUAAACGCACUAGUAACUUGGUGUUAUAAAACAUAUUGUUGUGUGUGAUUUGGUUAGUAAGUGCAAGCAAGCAUUGUAUCAAAGUUUAUCCGUUCCUUUUAUCCAAAGUAGGAUAAAAGCGAUAUCUUUGGGCCCCUCGAUGAUUUAGUGAUGACAAACGUAAAUGCUCGGCCGGGCUAGGGCUAAUUUGAUUUGUUCAAUUAGUCAGUCGUCAUAAAUCGGGAAUCGAGAUAUAGUACAAAGAGAAUGAUUUGAAAUCAUAUCUCAUAUGAUAUCUAGAAUGGAGGAAUAUAUGAUCCCUUAUCUAAGGACACGCGUAUCUGAUAUGAUCAGAGUUGACAGCGGCUUUGGAAAGCUACGAUUGCAGAUCAGGAUCUGAAGUCAUACGCAGAAUAGUUGUUAGACUUAUCCAAGUGGGAGACUGUUGGAUUAGUGUCUAAGUCCAUAACUAUUUUGGUAUGUACUUGACCCGAUGGUGCAUGGUCCUUUUGGGUUGCCUUCACCAAAGCAACUUGAUUGGAGAAAUAAAGAGAGAGAGAGGUUAUUAUGAUUUAUUAAUAUGUUAUAAGAAUAAUAUAUUAAAGGAGAAAUCAUAUUUGUUUAAUUAAUAUUGGUCAAUAAUUAAUUAAGAAUUAAUUUGUGAUCAAGUGUAAUUAAUUAAACUAGAGGGGUUGAAUUGUAAUUAUGUGAUAGUUACAAAAUAAGGUAAGGAUUAUCUUAAAUAUAGGGUGAACGAAUUUAAGGAGAUAAUGCCUUAGAAUUCGACUAGGAUAAGGGUUUCUAAGACUUAUCUUAUGGUUGCUUGGUGGGCAAGCAACUAGAUAAGGAUAAGGACUAAAACCCUAAUCUUUACACCUAUAUAAACCCCCUAAGGCUCAUGAAUUCGUCUAAGCCUUACCAAGAAGUCCUAAGGACGAAUUCCUACCUCUAUCCUCUCUCUUUAUACCUUCUCCAUUUGCUCUUGGUGUUUGUGAGCCAUUAGAGGAGUGACACUUGUGACUCUAAGCCUUCCAAAGUCAAUUCAUGGAGAAUUGGGAUUGUUAUUACUACAUAACAAUCAAGGUAACAUCUUAAACCUAAUUAUAUGUUAAUAUCGAUUUCCAUAUGCUAGAAUUAGGGUUUAUAGUCUUGGAUUCAAAGCAUGUACAAUAGAGAAACCUAGAUCCAAGCAUUAGGGUUUGUAUGAGCACAUAGGAUGUCUUAUGACCAAAACCCAUCACAUCUUUCAUUGGCUACUAUGAAGUGUGCACUCUUAGUAAACCGAUCAACGACCACCCAAAUCAUGUCGUGACCGUCCUUCGUUCUGGGCAGUUUAGUGACAAAAUCCAUGGUAAUGUCUUACCACUUAUCCAUGGUUACACAUAAAGGUUCUAAAAUCCUAUAUGGUUUCUGAUGUUGUGCCUUAACUCUCACAUAGGUCACACACUUGGCCACAUACUUUGCAAUGUUGAGCUUCAUCUUCGGCCACUAGUAGUAGGGUUUCAGAUCCCUAUACAUUUUUGUGCUGCCGAGAUGAAUCGAGUACAUGGUCUUGUGAGCUUCUUCCAUCAGAAGAUCUCUUACUUCGCCCAUCUUGGAAUACCUUUAAUCCUUGAUUAUUUGUACCGAAAACCAAGUUUUUGCUUAAACAUUCUUCCUUUUGGUCAUUCUCCUCUAAAACUUCCUCCCAAGCUUUGUUGAUGCUUUCCACAAUCAUUGUGACAACCUCUAUUGAUUGUUUUGAUUAUAUUUCUCUUCAAUCUUCUGUCCUAACUCAGAUGCUACAUGAAACUUGGUUCUCUGAACCAUGUAACAUACUCAUCUUAGUUGGACUCGAUAUGAUACGACCACUAGGGUCAGAAUCAGAAUCAUCUUCUUAGUCAUUACCAAAACGAUGGUAAUGAAGAACUUGAACAAAACAGAAUCAAUUACUAGCUUCUUAGUAACCUUGCGACUUUCACUGAUCCAAGUGCAAGUCCUGUGCUUCCGGUAGUAUAGGCCUCUACUACCAUUCACACCUACUCAUACUCGUUCAAGGUGCUAUCUCACAGUUUUCCAAGUCAUCAUUCAAGAGUUUCACAUAAUCAUUUAACACAUCAGAUAACAAAAUCAAGGUUUUAUAUUAUUUCUUGAAAUGAUUACAUAAAUGUUCAACUUCGUCCUAUACUAUGCCUCUAAUAAGUUGCGCUACAUGAUGCUAUCCACAUGGCCACUUCAUAACUUGAUCUUCGGAUAUCAGUCCUCACUCCUGCUUCCUUGCAUUGUCAGCUGCUUCGUUAAGGAUCAUUUGGAAUGCCCUUGGCUGGGGCGGUGCGUUUGGCCUUGCCGCUUUAUUCUUCCUUGGGCGGUUCUUCAAAAUAUGCCAUCCUUCAUUGCAUUCAUAGCACACCCUCUUGCGGGAUGUACACUCAUUGGCGUAGUGCCCAGGAUUUUCACACUUAAAACAAGUGACCUCCCGUCACAUUUCCCAUGGUGCUUCUUUUUGUACUUUUCACACCAUUUCGCUUCAACUCCUCCUCCUCUCGAACCAGACUUCGAGAAAUUACUUUUCUUGUUGGAUUUCGAAGAUCCAUCAAACUUCCUUUUCUUACCAACCUCUGCCCUCUCCAGACCCUUCUCCCUUAUCCGUGUCUCAACAAUCUUCAUAGCUCUAACGACUGCCUUCAACGUGCUUGCCAUUUUGACUAUUGGGCCAAAGUCUGAUGGCAAUCCGUUAGCAAAUUUCUCUAUCUUGGCGAGUUCAGUCGACACCAAGUAUGGAAAUAACUUCAUCUUCUCAGUGAAUGCAGUAGCAUAAUAAUCAAUGCUUAUUCUCCGUUCUUCAAUUUCUGGAACUCAUUGUUUAGAUCUAUCAUAUCUAUUUCGGAGCAGUACUGCAUUUUCAACUGCAUUAUGAACUCUUCCUUAGACAUUUUCAGAGCUUUUCCUCGUGGCAUCGUAUCCGUUAAUAACUUCGACCAGCUUAAAACUUUGGUCUUUACUUGUUUGACCGCAAAGACAAUUUUUUGUUUGUCGCUAUAGUUGCAGCUUUCAAAUACCAUCUCUAUUUCGACAUGAUCUUCAUUGUGAUUUGACGAAACAUAUUUGGACGGUUAUGCUUUUCAUGGCCAAUUUUCGAAGAAGUACUUCUUUUAAAUUGACGAGUGUGACAUCCACCAUUUUCACGGUCAGAAAAGACUGAUUUUGUUUAUGCUUUAUAAUAAAAUCAGAGUAACCUUUUUAAAGAAAAGUGUUGUGGAAUUUGUUCCUAAAAUAAAAUAUGAUAAAGAUUUAUCAAAACAUUUCCAAAGAAAUGUAUUUCAUUGUAUUAAAACCUUGGGAUGUCAUUAUUAAUACAAAUCAGAAACAUAAGCAGUACAACAUAGGCGUUACAACAUUUAUUUAAAUCUACUAGCCUAUAAACCAUAAUCCUCUCGUCAAGUCAUCCAACUAUGCUCUUGCCACUACCUAUAAUACAAGAAACUGAGCCGGUCAGGCUUGGGAGCCUGGUGAGCACAUAGGGUUUUCAACCCACAAUAAAUAAUUUUGUUAAUUUCAACAAAUGAAAUAAACCAGAUUACCCGUUUCUAUUUAUCCUCACAUUACGUCCCUAAAACAUCUAAUAUAAGGGACAUAGCCUAAGGAUUAUUGUAGCACCUGGUUCCUAGUACGUAAUCCUUGUAAUUAAUAUUUCUUAAUUUUGCAUUUUUGCCUUGGACUUGGCGAGUUGAAGAACCGACUCGUCGAGUAGAAGCGGGAUGAGAAGCGGGGUCUGAGCUUUGGACUCGGCGAGUAGACCCUGUUUGGGCAAAAACCCUAACCAAAGUGUUUGCACCCUAUUUAAACGCUCUAACUUGGCCUCCUUUGUCCCGAACACUCCCAGAGAGCUGAAGAGCGAAACCCUAGCCCCCAUUUUGUUCUUGAGAGUGAUUUUUGGCUUUGUGAAGAAGGUUUGGAGCUUAGAAGAAGAAGAAAUAGGUUGUAGUGUGCAAAGAGGGGAAGUAGAUCCGGAAUCUACACUACAAGAGGCUUCCAUUCAGCCGGAGGAUUACCGAUUCAGCAGUCAGGCGCUUAGCAAGCAGAUUUUCAGCAGCUACUUUUCGAGGUGAGUUACCUUCCAGUAGCGGUGGGUCUAAGGCCACAAUGUCGGCCCACCAGUAGGAGACGUAUGAUAGAUGAGUGUCUUUGUGAUAUCAUCUAGGUUUGUUACUACCUGAUAUGUUAUAUGCUAGCUUGAUGUGUUAUAGUAGUAGAGUUCGGUUGUUAGGACCGAAGGGUAGUCAGAUACCCCAGAUACGUCUGACAGUAUGUGAUGAUAUGUUUGCAUGUUGGCUUGUUAUGUUAUAUGCGAUAGAGGUAGUAGGGGGUGAAAUAGUCCCCGAGGUUCGGUUGUUAGGACCGACGGGUAGUCAGCACCCCAGAAUGGCUUGACAUAGGGAGGGCGGCACCCCAGAAUGGCCGUACAGGUAGGUCGGCACCCCAGAAAUGCCUAGCAGUAUGUAUGUGAUAUGAUUGUAUGGUAUGUGGUACGAUGGGGGGGACUCACUAAGCUUUGUGCUUACAGUUUUCAGUUCUGGUGUCAGGUACCUCUUCAGCGAAGGGGAAGGAGCUGGCGCGGUAGCGGUACAUCAUACACACACAUUGGAUUUCCGCAUUAUGAGAUGUCCUGGGAUUGUACUCUGACAUUAUUAUUAUUUUCAUGUUUUGGGUUUUCAGACACGAGAUUUGUUUUAUGACAUGAUAUGAUCGGAUGAUGUUUUACUGCAAAUGUUUUACAAACCACUUAUUUUAAGUGAAAUUUUUGGGCGUGAAAAUUGGGUCGUUGCAAUUAUCAUCGGGGUAACAACAUUGCUUAGGGGAUACUGUGACAUCCCCAAAAUCUUGGCCAGAAAAGACCGAUUUUCAUUUAUGCUUUUAAAAUAUUUUCAGAGUAAAUCCUUUUGAUUUGAAAGAGUUGCGGAAUUUGUUCCCAAAAACAAAACAUGAUAAAACAAUGUUUACCAAAGCAUUUCAUAAAAGAAAUGUAUUUUCAUUAUAAUCAAAACUCGGGGUGUCAUGUUCCGAUACAGACCAAUAAGCAUAAACGAAUACAUUACAAGUCAUAUAACAAAUAUAAACAUAUGCAGACUUGUAAACAAAACAACUUGAUGGUUCAUCCAUCUCAUGCCCUUCCGCCACUACCUGUAAUACAAUUUAAAACUGAGUGGGUCAGGCUUGGGAGCCUGGUGAGCAUAUAGGGUUUUCAACCCACAAUAAAUAUCAUAUUUAAUUUUCACCAACCAACAAUAACCCAAUUACCCAUUCCCGUUAUUCUCACUUUAAUGUCCCUAAAACAACUAACAUAAGGGACCUAGUCUAAGAAUAUUUCAUCGGGGCGACAACACAUGCUUCGGGGGUACCUCAGCAAUAUAAGUCAAAUAAGGCAACCAUGAGGGGGAUGGAGUACAGCGAAUGAACACCCAAGUUCAUUAACACCUACAGGUGGCGAACCUGCUAAUGUUUCCACAAGACUAUCUAGAAAAGUCCGUGGUCGUCAUCUAAACUCCGCUAGAUGACUAAAUCAAACAACAACGAGGCCUCUCAUCUGUUUAUUACACACCAACUAUCUACCCAUGUUCUACCCAACAUAUUAGUAGAUAAAAAUAUACAUUUUUAUACAUAGUUUAAAAACCUGUAUAGCAUGCUUUAAUCAACACAUAUUUCACAUAACAGAUGAGGCACACACACACAUAACACGUAUCUCAUAGAGAAUAAAUCAUAUCUAUGAGAUAGAAGAAAGUGAAUACACAUUCACACACAUAACCACAAAAUUAUACACAUAAUACGUAUUCCGUAUAAAAUACUUCAUAAUUAUGCGUUAGAAGAAAGUAACUACACACUCACUUGAUCAGAAGAUGAUCGGACAGCACUACGACUUGCAGAAGUAGUAAUCCUCAGCAGAUCUGGAAGAUCUUCACAAAAAUCGAACUUCUCGCGGGCAGAGCUUCGGCUCGGGAACCGCACUUCUCGGGAUCUUCGGGAUCUCGGGACUUGCCUCGGGGCUCGAGUAUGAUACCGGGGCUUCGGGGUAUUUCUGGCACGCAAAACGAUGCAAAACGGGAGAGAGAAGAGAGAAAAUGAACAAAAGAAUCGGCUGCCUUCGGAUCCUAUUUAUAGGAGGCUGAAGCCUCGGAGUACGCGAGGUGUACUGGUCCGAAAAACGUCACUGCUUACGUAUCCGAAGACUCGAGUGCGAAUGUCGACAUCCCUCGGUGUACGCGGGGCGUACUUCGGAUCGGAUUGCUGACUCCCCUUCGGAUAAUACCGGAUUUUCUAAUAAAAAUUAAAUACAAAUUAUUUAAUAAACUUCGGAAAUUCAUCUCUUCUUCAUACGAACUCCGUUUUCGACGUUCUUUAUAUCCACGCGAAGGUGAGACUACGCUCUACAACUUUCGUUUAGACUCCGUCGGCUAAUUUUAACUUUAUUUUUAUUAUUUAUUUUUAAUAGGCCGGGACAGAAAAACUUCGUUAUAAAUUCAUAACUUCUUCGUUUGACGUCCGUUCUCGCCUAACUUUUUAUCGCUUCGAGACCAACAACGAGACCUUCGAUCCUCGUUUAGGUUGCUUCGGCUCAAAACCGCUCGAUCUCAAAUCGAGUAUUUCGGGCUGCACACCGCUAAACCGAAACUUCGAUAAAUCAUAACUUCCUCAUACGAAGUCAGAUUUGGGCGUUCUAUAUAUACAUUCGUAAACCUCGUUUCAACUACUACAUCAUCAACCAAAGAUAUCAAGUUUAUUUUACACUUUAAUUUUGACGCUUAUUUUUAUUCUUAAUUAAUCAAACCACAUAAUUAAGCAAUUAAGCACAAAACACAUAAUACUCAAAUAAUACAAUCAUAUUAUUUCAAAACGGGUUACAAAGGUUAACUUAGACUAUUACAUUGCUAAAAAUGGCAAGCCCGGAAACACAGGCGUUACAGAUACCUCAACAUUUUAUGUCAAAUAAGGCAACCAUGAGGGGGAUGGAGUACACCUGGUGAACACUGAGUCCAAAUAAACACCUACAGGUUGCGAGCCUGCUAGCGUCCCAUUGGACUGUCUAGAAAAGUCUAUGGUCGUCAUCUAUACUCCGCUAGAUGACUAGAUCAUCGUCAAUAUCGAGGCCUCUCAUCAUUUUAUUUCAUCACACGCCAACUAUUUCAUCUACCCACGUUUUACCCAACAUAUUUGUAGACAUAAAUUACAUAUACAAUUCAGAUCUAAAAAACAAAAUNUAUAUAUAUAGUUUAGAUCUGAAAAGAAAAGUCUAGAUCUGAAAUGAGAAAGUUUGGAUUUGAAGGAAACAGUUCAGAUCUGAAAGAAAGAGUUUAGAUUUGAAAGAAAAGUUCAUAUCUAAAAAGAAAAAGGUUUAGAUCUUUCUUCCAACAUAGAUCUCAGGUAAACAGAUAAUAUAUAUACACAUAACACGUAAUUUAUAUAAAAUAGUUUAGAUCUGAAAAGAAAAGUCUAGAUCUGAAAUGAGAAAGUUUGGAUUUGAAGGAAACAGUUCAGAUCUGAAAGAAAGAGUUUAGAUUUGAAAGAAAAGUUCAUAUCUAAAAAGAAAAAGGUUUAGAUCUUUCUUCCAACAUAGAUCUCAGGUAAACAGAUAAUAUAUAUACACAUAACACGUAAUUUAUAUAAAAUAUUUCAUAUUUAUGUGUAAGAAGAAAGUAAAUACACACUCACAUGAUAAGGUGGCGAUUCGGACAACGUUUUGCUUCUUAAAAUAAUCUCCAUUGAUGAAACCGGGAAGUUUGGUUGAAAACCGGGCUCUGCGGGGGGGCAAAGUUUCUAAACCGAAAAACUCUUUUUCUCGGAGACUUCGGGCGCUCCGGGGCUUUCUUCUAGUGCUAAGGAGGUCCCCUAGGCUUCGGGGGUGUUUAGGGUGGAUAGAGAGAGAAAGAGAGAGAGAGAGAGAGAGAGAGAGAGAGUAGAGUAGAGAGUGAAAGAAGUGUGAAAUAUGUGAGAAAACAUGGCUAGCCUCGCAUCCUAUUUAUAGUCAGGAGGUCUCGCAUUACGUUGGGCGUUCCUCGGUCUACAUGGGGUGUUCCUCGGUACGCAGGGCGUACCCUCGUACGCGGUACGGUUUGCGAGGUUCGGAUUUGUCACCCUUCAGAUGGAGCUAUGUGGCCAAUUCCGGACCUAGCCUUUGCGAACGCGGGGUGUUCUCUUCGGAUAGCCUCGAAAUAUGUACCUCUUACUUCAAAAAUUCAUAUAUUUUGCAUACGAGCUCCGUUUUCGACGUUAUUUAUAUCCACGCGUAGGCAGGACCGUACUCUACAACUUUUGUUUAGACUCAGUUGGCUAAAUUUGACUUUAUUUUUAAAGUUAUAUUUUUAACAGGCCGGGACAGGAAAAGUCUAUUAAAAAUUCAUAACUUCUUCAUCCGACGUCCGUUUUCGUUUUUCUUUUAACCGUUGAACUACUAUUGACGAGAUCUUCGAUUCUUGUUUAGGUUGUGUCGGAUAAAAAUCCCUCGAUUAUAAUUCGAGCUACGGGCUGCACACUGCUAUGCUAAAUCUUAGAAAAUUCAUAACUUCCUCGUACCAAGUCAGAUUUGGACCUUCUUUUUAUGCACGCUCUUGAUUUAACGUAUACUAGGAUUUUCAUUUAGAUCGCUAAGGCUAAAAUGCACUUUAUCGUAAACUCACUUUUUACGUCACGCAAUAUCGUGCUAGUUUUGUCGUGAAACUUUAACAGGUCAUAACUUUUUUGUGAUAACUUGGAUUUCGGCAUUCUUUAUAUGUCCGAAAUCCUUGUCACGACCACUACAACUUUCUUCAUAGAUAUCAGAUUUAUAUAACAUUUUAUUUUUGAUGCUUAUUUUCAUUCUUAAUUUAUUAUAUCAUUAUAAAUAAGUAUAUAAUCACAUAAAAUCACGUAAUUCACAUAAUAUUCAAGUAAUUCAUCUUUAUUACUUUAAAAUAGGUUACAAUAGUUGACCUUGACUAUUACAUCAUCAUACUAAUGUUUAGCCCAGAAACAAGGGCAUUAGAACGAGUAUGUUACUAGGGAGAAGAGAAAGAAAAAGAGAAACGGAAAACAUGAAGGUUUCACGAGAACUUCUCACUGAUAUCACUAUUCCCGUCGGUAACGUCAUGGACAUUGCCGGUGAUAAGGUUACCUCGUUACCAGAGGCAUUUUCGGUGAAAAACGACAUGAGUGAAGCUUUUCAUCGGAGUUGAUAGAGAGAAAAAGAGUAACACGGAAGAGGGAAGAAUGAAGUCGCUAAGGGUAUUAUUCGUGUCACACUUUAGCAACGAUACCAUUUAGUGGUGUCGAAAGACAUUUGUGGCAACUCGAAACGUAAUAGUCGCGACACACUUUUGAGGGAAUAAUUGGCAGAGGGUUCGAGUAUUAGCGGUGACACCGUUGCUGGUAUUAGUUAGUGGUGUGUAUGGGGCGGUUUGGUUCGGUUAUUGGUUAAAACCGAACCAUAACGAUUAUGAUUGGUUAAUGCAUUUUGGUAGCCAUUGGGUAUGGUUAAUAUUGGUUAUGGUUAGUAGUUUUUAUCGGUUAACGGUUUUGGUUAAUGGUUAAUAUUGGUUAACCAUAAUGUUCAAAAUAAUAUAAACGACGAAAGUAUUUUGGCAUGAAAAAUGAAAAUAAAAUACCAAAAAGUCCUCGACGCCGAUGUUUGUAACCUAACUUAUAGUAAUAUAAUAAAAUGUGUAUCUGUAAUACUUAGAGUGAGAUAACACAUAGUCACAUUUAAAAUCAAAAAUAUUUAAUAAAAAUAUAAAACAUUAAAAAAAUUGACAUUAAUAAUUUCAUAUAUUGAUAAUUGAUAUUAAUAUUAAAAUAAAGUCAAACAUUCAUACACGUUCAAUACGAUUAAAUUAAAACUAUUAAAUAAAAAAGCCAAACAUUCAUAUUCUGUGUUAUUAGAUAUAAAAAAAAAAAAAAGUCAAUCACUCAUCUACAUUCAAUGUGAUUAAGUCAAAAACACUAAAAAAAUUCAAAAAAUUAAAAAAAAAUACAUUCUUAAUAUAUCACAUAGUUAAAAAGAACCAAAAACUUAACUUACCUAGAAGUCUUGAGUAUAAAGUCAAAAAAAUCCUUCGAAUAGGACUAUAAAGUCCAAACAAUCUUUGAUUAUGAUUAACGGUGUGAGAAGCCUUCGAUUAGGAUUAUGAGUGUGAAGAUUAAACUAAUUGUGAAUAAUGUUUACAAAUUGUAGAAUUAGCCGAUUAUGAAUUACAACAUUAAUUAAUAAUCUAACUCAAUGUAUGAUUGGAAGAUUAUGUGUGUCUGAGUGAUCAGUCUUUGAUGAUUUGAUUGCUCGUUCGUCUCCUGGUAAGUGAAGAUUAAUAGAUUAUAUUUUCAAAAUUUUAAUGGAUCUUAAAUAAGUUUGACUAUAUNUCUCUUUCUCUCUCUCUCUCUCUAUAUAUAUAUAUAUAUAUAUAUAUAUAUAUUAAAAUAUAAAGUUAGCGGUUCGGUUAAUAAUGGUUCGGUUAACCUAUAAAACCAUAACCGAACCGUUAGUUAUUGGUUAACAAAAAUUAGAAACCGAACCAACGGUUUUUAAAAUGGUUCGGUUAUAACGGUUAAUUUGGUUUUGGUUCGGCUUUUCGGUUAUUAUGCUCACCCCUAGUAUUAGUUUCGCCGUUAUUGUUAUGUACGAAAUCAUUUUUCAAGUGUUGGAUUAUGACAAAAUCGACGAAUAGGGUUUAACCUCAGAUUUUGACGCGGAUCGGGGUUGAUGAGUUUCGCCUUUAGCGGUGACAACCACCAUUACAACGAGACCUAAUCUAAAUGUUGGGUAUCGCUUGUAAUGGUGGUUGUCGCAACUAAAGGAUUCGCCACUGAAGUCCUAUAUUGUUGUAGUGAUAAAUGUUAAACCUAAACACCAAUUUAAACACACCAACCACUAGAAAUUGGUGGCGACAAGUUCAUGGCAUUAAGAGCGAUAACAAAUGGUGUAUAAAUCCAUUAUGAUCUUCGUUGCGAUUUAACAGAACAUAUUUGGACGGUUAAUGAUUUUGAAGCUCAAUUUUGGAACAAUUUUUUUUUUGAUCCAUCAUGUUAUUAAGUUUUAAGUUUUUAAUUUUUUGAGUUGUUAUGGUUUAGUUUCUUGUUGUGUAAUUUUUAUUUUGAUUUAAUAUAAAAUUUAGUUUUUAAAAAAUUAAUUGCUAAAAAAAGUACUGAUGUUAAAAAAAUGAUGUUAAUCCGCCUAACCUAAAUGUAAAUGGUAUGUUGAAGACGGUGUGUAGCAAAAUCAAAUAUAAGCUGCUGGUUGAUGCAUCGGGUAUUGUAUUACGUGAGGUUGAUAGUUUGAUUUGUUGAAAUUAUCUUUUGUGUGUUUGAGAAUUCUUUUAUGGAAGUCCCUAUAAAAAGGAGUUCAAACUCAAAUGUUGGUUGAAAUAUUGCGAGUACACUUCACUUAAUUUGAUUGCGGUUAGGAAGCAAUUUAAUUUCUCAAAAGAUUAAAUGCCACUAAUAAAUUAAAAAAAUAAACUAAAAAUCAACACCAAAUUAAUGCCAAAGCUUUAAACCAUAUAUUACUAAAUUAAUUCACAUACGCCAUCAAAAAAAAAUUCAUGUCACAAACCCAUACUCAUAAAACUCACUUUCCAGGUACAAAGUUUGUAGCAUAUGACCAUGCAUUGUUUGCAACAGGGUCAGCAAGGUGGUCAGCGAGGUUCUCCAAUGGUCCCUUUCCGGUAACAAUGGCUUGAACAAAGAAUCCAAACAUAGAGAACAUGGCUAGUCUACCGUUCUUGAGCUCCUUCACUUUCAGCUCAGCAAAUGCCUCUGGGUCAUCAGCCAGACCCAAUGGGUCGAAGCUACCACCAGGGUAAAGUGGGUCAACUACCUCACCAAGAGGUCCACCAGCAAUUCUGUAACCUUCAACUGCACCCAUCAAGAUCACUUGGGUAGCCCAGAUGGCUAAAAUGCUUUGUGCAUGGAUCAAACUUGGGUUCCCCAAGUAGUCAAGACCACCCUCACUAAAGAUCUGGGAUCCAGCCUUGAACCAUACAGCCUCACCAAACUUGACACCAUUACGCGCCAAGAGUUCGGGGAAGACGCACCCAAGAGCUCCGAGCAUGGCCCAUCUGCUGUGGAUGACCUCAAGCUCACGGUUCUUGGCGAAUGUUUCAGGAUCAGCAGAGAGCCCAGCAGUGUCCCAACCGUAGUCACCGGGGAACUCACCGGUCAGGUAAGAUGGGGCUUCGCCGGAGAAUGGGCCAAGGUACUUAACACGGUCGGGGCCGUACCAUGGACUUCCUGAUGGUGCGACUUUCUUGACUGCUGUCUUCCUCAUGGAAACCCUUCCAUUUCCGGUGAUUUCUGAACCAGAUGGUGUUAUUUUCACUGCUUGUCCGAUGAAUGAAGAAGAUACAGACAUAGUGGAAGCUGCCAUUCUGUUAAAUUUGGUUGAAAGAUGUUGUGGAGAUAGGAGAGUUUGAGUUAUGAAGAUGGGGAGAUCUGCAAGUUUAUUUAUAAGGUGGUUUUUUGGUCAGAUAGAUAUGAUCGAUGCUUAUCUAGAUACAAUCUUCACCUUCAUUUUGAUUGGCAAACAACAUUCUAGUUUUAUCUAAGGGUCAGUAAUCUGCGUGCUGUGAGUUCUCUGGUCCACCAGAGAUUUUUGAAGGGGCUGCGGUAUAUUCAUGGCUCUGGUUUAUUGAGGGAAUGUAAUGGCUCCCAUUCUCAGCCACAAGCUGUUCUUGGUGGGGUUUUUCAUCUUUAACCAUUUUACAUUUUCACAAAGUUACAUAAAUAGUCAUCAUGCUUUACAAAGUCACCGGUUCAGCAACAAACUUUUUUUCCAUGAUUAAAAAUUCAAAACGGUCCGUAUGGUUUUAAUAUUAUUAGUAAUCAUCUUAACAUUUCUAAUUUUUAAAGACAAAUAUUCAUAUAAAUGGUUAUGUGAUUUUCCAGAAUAUCAAGUGGAGCACAUCAUUUUUUCGGUCUUAUGGAAUGACUAUUUGGUUUCAAUUCCUAUCAUAAUUGAUCUUAGAGCAUCCACAAUAGGGGAGUUUAAUGGAAGAGUUGAAUGAGGUGUCAUGCCUACUUGUCAUUCAAUGGAUACAACUCCACCAUUGUGAAAUGCCACCUUGGCAUUCAAUGAAUUUGGAGUUCAAUGGUCAUUGAACUCUUCAAUGGGAAAAAGGAAAAUCUUUAAAUCUUUAAAUAAAUAUUUUUUAAUAUAUUCCAUUGAACUUGUAGAGUUUAAUGCAUUGUGGGAUAAAAAUGAAAAGAGUUGUAUGGAAUAAUGAAUGAUGACGUGACACUCCAUUGAACUCUAUAGAGUUCAAUGCAUUGUAGAUGCCCUUAGUCCCACAUAAAUAAACUUUUAUACCCUUCUAUAUUAUAAUUAGUUUAUUUAAUAUAUAAAUAGCUAUGUUUUAUAGUUAACAAUAAAUUUUGUUCAUNNNNNNNNNNNNNNNNNNNNNNNNNNNNNNNNNNNNNNNNNNNNNNNNNNNNNNNNNNNNNNNNNNNNNNCUCUCUCUCUCUCUCUCUCUCUCUCCCAUCACACCCUCCUAAUCUUUAUUUCUUUCACUCGAUCGGUCAACCUCUUUUCUUUCUACAUAAAAAUUAAUCCAAAAUGCAGCCUUUUCCCAUACUCUGUGCUUGCACCGCCACUUUACCUUCUUGAAACCAAAUUACUAACCAUACACAAGUCUACAAAUCUACUAAUGUGUCUUCCAUUUCUCAAAAUCGAAAAAUAGAGAAGGUGUAGAACAUUGAGCUCACUUCUGUGCAUCUCCCACCUCUUUUACACAAAUAUGAAAUUAAAAUUGAAGAACAACUUUGUGAAGAACCUAGAUUGUGGAGAUGAUGAUGAAUAAAGUCGAUAGUUGGUGGUGCUCGGUGAUGUUUGAUGUUAGCGGCAGUACACUAGUGUUGUGGUGAUCGCCUGUUCAGUUGGUUAUAUUCUGGUAGGGUGGACGAUGGUGACCGUAGAACAGUUCAUAUAUAUAUNNNNNNNNNNNNNNNNNNNNNNNNNNNNNNNNNNNNNNNNNNNNNNNNNNNNNNNNNNNNNNNNNNNNNNNNNNNNNNNNNNNNNNNNNNNNNNNNNUAUAUAUAUAUAUAUAUAUAUAUGUGUGUGUGUGUGUGUGUGUGUGUGUGUGUGUGUGUGCGCGCGCACACUACAAGAAAUUUAGGUGUUUAUCCACACACGUUAUAUGUGGCUAAAAGACCUUUAUGUGUAGUUAUCUUUAGCUACACACAGAUUAAGUGUCAUAAUGUAUUGACUCAUGCCUAUAGAUAUAUAUCAUUAACUAUACAUUCAUUAUGUGGAAGUAUAGUGCAAUUAGUACACACAUACAUGUGUGGUUAAAACUAGUAAGUAUGUGCAUAUAGAAAGGGAGCUGAUCCGUUCACAACAAUUUUUCUCCAUACACAAUAAUUGAUGCUUUAAAAUGUUGUAUUAUACAACUAUAUAAUGCAUGAAUUGUUGUGUAUGGCAAAAAACUGUUGUGUACGAAUCACUUCCCAUAUAGAAGUACUAAAAAUUGUUUGAGUUGUCAACGAUGUGGCUGAUGACAUGUCAAAUUAUGUGGCAAGCCCACACAAAGUGUUGGUGAUAUGUGUUAUUCGAUAUGUGUGGGUAAUAAUUGUUAUAUGUGUAGGUUAAGAUAAGAUAUAUGAAAUAUAUAAAACACAAUAAAUGAAAUAUAAAAUUUAACAACACAAAUUGUUAUUACUUUUAAUAAGGAGUUAACGAUAUAUAAAACUUCUUUUGGAAUGGAAGUAUGUAGCACCCAAAGUCAGAAAGGCCAAGAAAGGAAAGGAAACCCUAAGUUUAAGGGACGACUCAGCAAGUCCAAGGAGGUACUCGGCGAGUCCGAGCGGGAUCCGGGUCGAGGAGUAAAUGACCGACUCGGCGAGUCGGCCAAGGAGACUCGGUGAGUCUGGUCUGUACGAGGAAAUCCCUAAAUUCGGGACUUGGAGCCUAUUUAAGCGCCUCAUUCUCUUCUCUAGGGUUCCUCUACUGCCUCUCUAACCNCUCAACCCCACCCCCGCCCCGCCAUAUCCAUUGUUGAGCCAAUUAUUGCUUUGAAGAGUGCAUUAAAGCUUGGAGAAGGAAGAAGGACCUUGGAGGUGCAAGAAGGAGCUAUAGAUCUGGGCUUGGGAAGAUAUUUCUGAACAUUUGGAGGUAAUAAACUAGUUCUUGGACUCCUUUGCACCUAGAUCUAUGUGUGAGUUUUGGGGCUUUUGGCCAUGAUUGGUACCCAUUUAAGUUAGAAGCCAGAUCUAAAGUUGCUACUUCGGAUAUAAGCAUAUUAUGGGCUUGUGAAGCAUAAAGUAUCAGCCCUUGAGUUGAUUAUGGAGCCUCUUUGCAUUAAACCCUAUUUUAUGGUGUGUCUAGCCUAGAUCUCCUUCUCUACACGUAAAGUUUGCAACUUUACGUGAGGAAUAGGCUUGGGAAGGGUAGAUCUACAGUUUGGGGUCCAUGCAUGACUCAAAAGUCCUCUACAUGUAUGUAGAUCUGAAUGGACUCGGCGAGUCCUUUGAGUGGACUCGGGGAGUAGCAUGAAGAUUAGGAGGAACUCAACGAGUGGGAUGAACAGCUCAUCGAGUCGGAUGAAGUUGGGCAGGAACUCGGCGAGUUGGAAGAACAACUCGGAGAGUCGGUUGAAGAUUGCCUUGGACUAGGUGAGUCUGUUCUUGGACUCGGCGAGUCAGGUCGCGAAACCCUAAACCCUUCGACUUGAGACUCGAAUCAGUGAGUCGAGUGGAGACUCGGUAAGUUGGACAGGUCAGGACUCGGAAAUCGGUAGACUCGGCGAGUCAUGGACUGACUCGGUGAGUCGAGUCGCGAUUGGAAGGACUUAGAGCAUAUGAACUCGGCGAGUCAAUAGGUAGACUCGGCGAGUAGGGUUGACCUGGAAGAUUGACUUUGAACAGGACUUUGACUUUGACCAGAGUUGACUUAGUUGACUGUUGGGGGUCAGUUAGUCUAAGUGUUUCAUUGAUAUUGGUAGCUCGGGGAGCUAGUGGAGCAGGAGUUCAGAGAGUUUCCGGGCAGCAUCCAGAAGGUUAUCAGCAUGUUCAGCAAGUGCAUGUGAGUUUCCCUUUGUGCCAAUGGGUCUACGGUCACAAUGUCGGCCCAUGUAGUUAUGAGUAGAAGACCCGGGGGUUAGCCCUAGGCACAGUAUGCUAGUAUGAUAUUCAGGACGAGGUCCAAUGAUAGCGGGCGGGUGCCCAAGGAAUGGUUUAUGUGAUAGUUUAUACUUGUUGUAUGUGUGAUACUUGUAUGUGUCUGGUAGGGAGGUGAGUGUGGGCGAGGUCCCGUAUCUCACCAAUAGCAGAGUGUGGAUGGUGUUCCACAUCUCAGUAGCAGCAGAGCAGGGGCGAGGCCCAAGUUAGGGAAGGAGUGAGGGUGGGCUGGGCCCGUACCUCACUAUCAGCAGGAGUAUGGACGGGGUUCCAUGACUCAUCAGUAGCAGGACAAGGGCGGGGCCCAGAGAUAGGCGAGGCCUUAGGACAAGAUCCGUUAGUAUGUGUUUAGCUUAUGUGAUGUGAUGUGAUAUGUUUAUGUGCUAUUAUAUGUUAGUGGGCGAGGCCCUGUGACAGGCGAGGCCUAAGUGAAACAGAUCUGUAUCCGAGCGGGGCUCGAAGCCAGGCGGGGCCUGGAGCGGCGGGGCCGUUGUAGCGGGCGAGGCCCGAGGUAGGGGGGGAGGCCCAGGAUAGCGGGCGUGGCCCAGCGUGUGCAGUAUGUGGUUAUGCAUGGUAUGUGGUAGGGUGGGGAACUCACUAAGCUUCGUGCUUACGGUUUUCAGUUUUGGUUUCAGGUACUUCCGGUAGCGGAGGGAAGAGCUCGGGGGUGAUCGCAUGGCACACACCAUAGAUUAGACAGUCUGGGAAUGUUUUACUCUGACAAUGAACAUGUGUUUUGGAAAAUUAAUACUCUGAUUAUGUUUUGAAUUGGUGACCUUGCUUAAAGAAAUCUUUUAUUAAAAGAAAUUUUUAGUCAUGAAUUUUGGGACGUUACAAGUUGGUAUCAGAGCCUUGGUUUGAGGGAUUCGGGCAUACUCUCGGGUGUGCCUGAACUCAAACUAAGGGGUCGGAUAAAAAGUUUUCAAAAUGAAAAGACAGUUUUCUAAAAAGAGAGUUUUGGGAAAGAAAACAGUUUUAGAAAAGCAAAAAGAAUUCAGAAAGAAAAGAACUUUGAAAAGAAAAAAAUGGUGUGGUGCAUGCAAUCAGCUGGUCUUAAGUAAGUACCCCAAAUUACCCAUACAAGUUUAUGUUAUGAUUAUCAGUUAGUAGAACAGCAUGCUAGAUUAGGACUAAGGAUCUAGGGAGGAUGCCUUAUGUGCCUAUUAUAUGUGCUUUGAGUUGCAUGAUAGUGUUGAUUAGACAGUGGUAGGAUAGCCUGUUUAGGUUAUGCCUGAGUAUAUGAGUUUGUGUUGCAUGCUAGUUCAGAUUCUUGCUAUGUGGAUAUGAUUGCUUAUGUAUGUUAUGGUUAGAUUUUCCCCUUGUCUGAAUGCUGCCUGCUUUGUGCAAUAUGGGAUUCCGAGUGAUGGGAGUAACCAUUAGGUGGAUACGUCACGUCACAUGUGAUCAGGGUUGAAUAAUCUCAGAGUGCUAAAUUUGGCCCUAUUUCGCAGCUCUCGUUUGAGUCCAACCAUUGUAGGGAUGAGUCUUUUACUCGAAGAAUUAUCUGAGCCUUGUCACAUGUGAUGGUGUCCAGUUGAUGGCCAAUUGGCAUCACAAGGAGUCCUUCAGCAGCUGAGGCCUGGUUUGGUGUGAGUCAGAGGUUUCCUUAGGGUAAGCCUAGGAUGAGAUAGUGUUGGGAGCAGUAGUAGUGGAUAAGGGACCUGGUGGAGUCGAAGCAAUUCCNGAGGAAAGUACAGAUAGAUAUGGAUGGUAGUAUGGGCCCGUACUACUGAAAGCAGAGGAUCCGUACUCGAUUCGGGAAAGGCUGAGACAAGACCGAGAACCUAGUAGGGUGAGUGUGUGUCUGGUCUCACAGCAGUGAUAAGUAUUCUGAUAGAGGAUGUAUUAUAUAUUCAGCAUGGUGACAUUGCGAGAGAGACCAGUGGGUGGACCAGGCGCCGGAGAGGGAUCGCUCGGGGUCNAGCAGCUCGAGGAGCGGAUGAGGGAGUUGAUAUCAGCUGAGGUUACGCGCAGUAUUCUAGAUCAGACUCCUGUGAUCUUUGGCACGGUCAAGGAGGGUAUAUUGGAGAUUUUGGAUGAGAGGCUGGGAGCCUUCCGUACCGAGAUGAUGGCAUUGAUGGGAGCACGUACCUUGACAUUUCGAGAGUUCAGGGCUUGCGGGGCACCAGAUUAUCAUGGGGCUAGGGACCCCAUCGCUAGCAGCAGAUGGUUGGUUGAUGUUGCCAAUGCAUUCCGUACGAGCCGGUGUCCUGAGGGGGACAAGGUUAGGCUCGCUUCUUGUCUUCUGAAGAACAGAGCAAGGGAUUGGUGGGAGGAGAUUAGUCAUGCCUUGGGGGAUGAUGUCGCGUUGGAUGCGAUGACUUUGAGCGAUUUCUCGUCCAGGUUCAGGGCGGAGUUUUCGCCGAUUAUUGAGGUGCAGCAGUUGCCACAGGAGUUUCAGGAUUUGACGCAGACCACUGAGACUGUGGCGGAGAUCACCGCCAAGGUCAGGGAGAGGGCUCUUCUUGUACCGCAGUGUGUCGCGGAUGAGGAGAUGAAGAAGGCCCGAUACCAUGAGAUGUUGAGGGAUGAUAUCAGGGUGUUCGUGAUCAGGUCCAGCUGUAAGACGCUAGAAGAUAUGAUUUCUCGAGCUAGAGAGAGGGAAAUUGAUUUGGAGCAGAUCCGGAAGAGGAAGCCGGAUGAGGUUUAGGUAGCCACAGGUUCGGGCAAAAGGCCUAAGGGAUCAGAUUCGAGAUCGAGGGAUUAUCAGGACCGCAGUCGGUGCGGGAAGUGUGGCAGGGCGCACAGGGGUGCGUGUAGGAGUGGUAGCGGUGGUGAUUCUGGCUGCUUCAAGUGCGGUCGGACUGGUCAUUUCAGUAGAGAUUAUACUGUUACCACCACACAGGGAUCAGACUUGAUAUGUUUUCACUGCAAUCAGCGGGGCCACAAGAAGGCCCAGUGCCCCAGUUUGUUUUCAAUAGGACGGGUGAUGACACUUGCCCCUGCAACUUUGAGGAUCACAGACGGCCGUCAGGGCCGUGCAGAGGCGCCUGCGGUAGGAGGCAGGUCUUUUCAGAUGACUACCUUGGAGGCGCGAGCAGCACCGGACGUUGUAGGUAUGCGAUUUUGUUUUCAGUUCUUUUAUUUGUGCAUGAUUAUAUUGUUAUGGUUCUGGAUCAUCAUUGGUUUGAGUAUUUUAUUUUUUGAGCGGUUGAUUGUGAUCGAGUUAUAUGCCAUCUUAAUACCUUGGAUAUUUGAAUGGUAGUUAGGAGAUGUGCUCUAUUAGAGAAGGUUUCAUAGGAUGCAGUAAUUGUAGCAUGCCUGGGAGGGACUUGGUAUGUCUCGCUAGAUCGGAGUUGUAUAAUGUUAGAGAUGGAUUGGUUAGAUCCCUAGCUAUGGUGAGCUUGGGUUCCUCAGCAGCUUGAUUAUGGAAUGGUAGCAAGGAUUGGGAUUCUUUUGAGUAUUGAGCAGCAAGGGGUAAGCAGGAUCGAAGUGGGGGAGAAUCCUCCGAGUGUGCAAAGGUAGGAUCACGCAGACCCAAAAUGAGUGCGCGACCUCCGAGAAGGAAAAGAAGUAGUUCAGCGUUUGAUGGAUUGAGGAUUUCAGGGUUGGGAUUUUGAGAAACUCCCCAUCAGCUAGUGCGUGUGAUGGUGAUGGUUAGUAUGUGGUUGGGAAUUCAGGUUGUGGAUCGCCCGUAGGACUCGAGGGAGUCGGAAUGAGGAUCUUGAGAGCUAAUGGCACAUGGGUGCCUUCGUAUUAGCAGUCAGUGGUAGAAAGUGAUGUAAGACUACGGGGCAGCCGUAGCAUUCACUAACAGUUAGUGGUAGAAAGUGAUGUAAGACUACGGGGCAACUAUAACACUCACUAGUAGUCAGUGGUGGAAGUGUUGUAAGACUACGGGGCAACCAUAGCAUUCACUAGCAGUCAGUGAUGGAUGGUGAUGUAAGACUACUAGUAAGCCGUAGCAUUCCUUAGUAGCUUCGUUAGCGGAGUUGGGGCGAGGCCCUUAUCUCCUAGCGAUCAGAUAGGGAUCAGGAAUGGGUAGUGGAUGAAAGUGAUAGGAAGUUUGCUUGUAUAGCCCUAGAGAGGUGAGACCUUGGGAGAGGCCGCUCCAGGAUAUAGUUGGGUGAGGCCUGUGGGCGAGGCCCGUAUGAGAGUAGCGGUAUAGGUGAGACCUGAGAGUAGGGUUGCUCAGUAGUAUGGCCGGGUGAGACCCGUAGGCGAGGCCCGAGAGAGAGUGGUUAGACAAGUAGGACUAGAAGGAUAGAGGCGGGGGGGACCCGUGGGCGAGGCCCGUGUGUUUUAGCGGCAUAGGGGGGACCUGGUAAGGACCUUAGUGUCAAGAUAAGGGAUCGGGGAUCCAUGGAUUGUAGUGACUGAAUGGCAGAAUAGAUUGCGCAGUUAUAGGUGGUCAAAGUUCCUUCGAAAGUCGCUGGGAGCGACUAGGAGUAGUGUUGGGACUAGCGACCGGUGGGAUCCGGUAAUCCAGAUAUUGGUAGGACGGUAGGGAUUAGGGUGGUCUCAGUUCAUCCGGAAGGCAGAUAAGGAAUAGCAGAAUUUUCAGUCAGUAGUAGUGCGGGUAAGCAGUGUAUGGUGGAAUUCAGUUAGUUGUAUCGAGGGGUGCUCGACACCAAGUUUUGACAGAGAGGAGUGUCAGUGGUUACUGGCGGUGAUGACCUGUACUGGAAGUAGCGGGGGUGAUGGAGUUGGCGAAGGAUAUGACCUUCACAGUGACAGAGGAAAUAGUUGGUUAUGGAGCAUUGCCUUGGGAAGGCAAGGAAUUCGCACAAGGAAAGAAGGGGUGAACCCCUAUAGGUUCAGUACAGUACUCGGUGAGUACCGGAAGGAUUGUCGGUUGAGUAAGUUGUGUUUCCAGGAUGUUCAGGGUCAGGGUGACCUGAGUCUAUUAUCCGCAAGGAAUGAUGUUAGUCAGAAUGACCGGGCGGAAGACCAGCGAAGGUAGGCAGCUGGUGUUGGAAUGAUUAGUUGGGUAUUGAAAGCAUAUCGCAGGCAGUGGCCCAUAGCAAACUUCGAGGAUGAAGUUUAGUUUAAGUGGGGGAGAGUUGUAACACCCAAAGUCAGAAAGGCCAAGAAAGGAAAGGAAACCCUAAGUCUAAGGGAUGACUCAGUAAGUCCAAGGAGGAACUCGGCGAGUCCGAGCGGGAUCCGGGUCGAGGAAUAAGUGAACGACUCGGCGAGUCGGCCAAGGAGACUCGGUGAGUCUGGUCUGUACGAGGAAAUCCCUAAAUUUGGGACUUGGAGCCUAUUUAAGCGCCUCAUUCUCUUCCCUAGGGUUCCUCUACUGCCUCUCUAACCCAGAACACCAAACCCUAGCCGCCAUAUCCGUUGUUGAGCCAAUUAUUGCUUUGAAGAGUGCAUUAAAGCUUGGAGAAGGAAGAAGGGCCUUGGAGGUGCAAGAAGGAGCUAUAGAUCUGGGCUUGGGAAGAUAUUUCUGAACAUUUAAAGGUAAUAAACUAGUUCUUGGAAUCCUUUGCACCAAGAUCUAUGUUGAGUUUUGGGGCUUUUGGCCAUGAUUGGUAUCCAUUUGAGUUAGAAGCCAGAUCUAAAGUUGGAACUUCGGAUCUAAGCAUAUUUUGGCCUUGUGAAGCAUAAAGUAUCAGCCCUUGAGUUGAUUAUGGAGCCUCUUUGCAUUAAACCCUAUUUUAUGGUGUGUUUAGCCUAGAUCUCCUUCUCUACACGUAAAGUUUGCAACUUUACGUGAGGAAUAGGCUUGGGAAGGGUAGAUCUACAGUUUGGGGUCCAUGCAUGACUCAAAAGUCCUCUACAUGUAUGUAGAUCUGAAUGGACUCGACGAUUCCUUUGAGUGGACUCGGCGAGUAGCAUGAAGAUUAGGAGGAAUUUGACGAGUGGGAUAAACAGCUCGUCGAGUCAGAUGAAGUUGGGCAGGAACUCGGCGAGUUGGAAGAACAACUCGGCGAGUCAGUUGAAGAUUGCCUUGGACUUGGCGAGUCUGUUCUUGGACUCGGCGAUUCAGGUCACGAAACCCCAAACCCUUCGAGUUGAGACUCGAAUCAGUGAGUCGAGUGGAGACUCGGUGAGUUGGACAGGUCAGGACUCGGAAAUCGGUAGACUCGGCGAGUCGAGUCGCGAUUGGAAGGACUUUGAGCAUAUGAACUCGGCGAGUCAAUAGGUAGACUCGGCGAGUAGGGUUGACCUAGAAGAUUGACUUUGACCAGGACUUUGACUUUGACCAGAGUUGACUUAGUUGACUGUUGGGGGUCAGUUAGUCUAAGUGUUUCAUUGAUAUUGGUAGCUCGGGGAGCUAGUGGAGCAGGAGUUCAGAGAGUUUCUGGGCAGCAUCCAGAAGGUUAUCAGCAUGUUCAGCAAGUGCAUGUGAGUUUCCCUUUGUGCCAAUGGGUCUACGGUCACAAUGUCGGCCCAUGUAGUUAUGAGUAGNGGAAGGUUGACUUUGACCAGGACUUUGACUUUGACCAGAGUUGACUUAGUUGACUGUUGGGGGUCAGUUAGUCUAAGUGUUUCAUUGAUAUUGGUAGCUCGGGGAGCUAGUGGAGCAGGAGUUCAGAGAGUUUCUGGGCAGCAUCCAGAAGGUUAUCAGCAUGUUCAGCAAGUGCAUGUGAGUUUCCCUUUGUGCCAAUGGGUCUACGGUCACAAUGUCGGCCCAUGUAGUUAUGAGUAGAAGACCCGGGGGUUAGCCCUAGGCACAGUAUGCUAGUAUGAUAUUCGGGACGAGGUCCAAUGAUAGAGGGCGGGUGCCCAAGGAAUGGUUUAUGUGAUAGUUUAUACUUGUUGUCUGUGUGAUACUUGUAUGUGCCUGGUAGGGAGGUGAGUGUGGGCGAGGUCCCGUAUCUCACCAAUAGCAGAGUGUGGAUGGUGUUCCACAUCUCAGUAGCAGCAGAUCAGGGGCGAGGCCCAAGUUAGGGAAGGAGUGAGGGUGGGCUGGGCCCGUACCUCACUAUCAGCAGGAGUAUGGACGGGGUUCCAUGACUCAUCAGUAGCAGGACAAGGGCGGGGCCCAGAGAUAGGCGAGGCCUUAGGACAAGAUCCGUUAGUAUGUGUUUAGCUUAGGUUAUGUGAUGUGAUAUGUUUAUGUGCUAUUAUAUGUUAGUGGGCGAGGCCCUGUGACAGGCGAGGCCUAAGUGAAACAGAUCUGUAUCCGAGCGGGGCUCGAAGCCAGGCGGGGCCUGGAACGGUGAGGCCGUUAUAGCGGGCGAGGCCCGAGGUAGGGGCGAGGCCCAGGUUAGCGGGCGUGGCCCAGUAUGUGCAGUAUAUGGUUAUGCAUGGUAUGUGGUAGGGUGGGGAACUCACUAAGCUUCGUGCUUACGGUUUUCAGUUUUGGUUUCAGGUACUUCCGGUAGCGGAGGGAAGAGCUCGGGGGUGAUCGCAUGACACACACCAUAGAUUAGACAACCUGGGAAUGUUUUACUCUGAUAAUGAACAUGUGUUUUGGAAAAUUAAUACUCUGAUUAUGUUUUGAAUUGGUGACCUUGCUUAAAGAAAUGUUUUAUUAAAAGAAAUUUUUAGUCAUGAAUUUUGGGACGUUACAAAGUACAUUAAUCCUUGGUACAAAUAUUACAUCAACAAAAGUUAUCUCUAAGCUUUCAUGAAAUUGAAGACCUUAUGCCUAACACAACCAUUGUAUCUAGAUAAGAUUUUCCUACUUAUUUACUUUGUUGUGUGCAAAUAUUAAUACACUUGACUUAAGCAUCACCAACAUUUGGACAUAAUUGUUGACGUUGAGGUGGUUGGUUAGAGCAUUAGUCAACUUUAAUAUUCAAGUGAAGACGUAUCAAAUACAAGUGAUUGUAGUUCACUCCUAUAGCAACAAGAGGAGCAGAGGCUUUAAGUAGUUUAUCCAUUUCAACAUGAAACUCUUUUCACACAUGAACGAUCUUAUGACACCUGUCAAAUGCCUCUUAAAAUAUACAAUCAACACUUGGUCAGUAGCUUUCUUCUCUGUGGCCAGAACCAUGACCUCUUCAUUUCCCUAUAUUAAUGAUGACAGGUUCAUAAACUAAAAGGACUGUAAAGUCAAAAUAGUUGACAUUAUGUUGACAUACCUAGUGGUGUGAAGAGAAGAAUAAAUAGAAUGUUUGUAAUAAACCCGCUUUCUUGGGUGAGGAAACCAUGACACUUGUUCAGAAAUGAAACAUCCCAACUAGCACCUAACGACUUUUGCUACAUUGAGAUAUACUAGCAAACAACAUAAGCAAAUCACAUGGAAAAUUAUUACAAUUAAUAAAACUCAUAAAUAAAGUGGUAAAAACAGCCUUGCACACACUCUUGAUUAAAAAAAUAGUUUAUAUUAGUGUAACAUCCCGAUUUCUCGAUAUCAGUUUAAAGUUCUAGAGUCAUGUUUCAAAGACAACUCGACGAGUUGAUAGGCCAACUCGUUGAGUAGUGACCAAAUCAGCCAUGUGGAUUUUAGACCCUACUCGUCGAGUUGGAGGACCCGACUCGACGAGUAGGUGCUGGAAAGUGAAAACCAUAAUUUUUAGGGUUUGCACCCUAUUUAAAGGUCCUUAACUUUCCUCCUCAGCCUCCCUUGUCACCUUCACGUCCAAAAAAACCAACUAGUCUCUAUUCUUGAGUGUGUGAGACCAAAAGAGAGUGUAUUGGAGCAUUCUUAAGGAGUUAAGAGCUUUGAACAAGGGAUAGCUUGUAGAUCCAACUUUUCCAGUGUUGUGACAACAAUAUUGAGUUAUAAAGCUACCACCUUUAUAUUUCAUUGCUUAGAUCUUCCUUUUUGGUAAAGUAAUUGUCAUGUCUAGGGCAUGAUGGGGUCACACUCGGAUUUAAGCUUGCCACAAGGGCAUAGUUUUAGAACUUGACUUCUUAAGGCCUUAUGAACAUAAAUCCUUAAGCUUUAUGAAGCCCUAGCCCUCCUUCAUGUCCAAAACCUUCUCCUAAUGCUAAUUAUGAGUGUUUUAGCUUCAUAGAACCAUGCAUGCAUGUAAAGUUAGCAACUUUAUGUGAUAACAACACCCUAGGAGCAUAGAUCUACUGUUUGGAGCUUUGGAGCAGCUUAAAAUAGUCUGAAUGAGUGAUGGACUGAAGGAGACUCGACGAGUUUCAUGGUUGAAUCGAAGAGUCGGUUGAAGAUUGCCCAUAAUGGUUUUGCAUGGACUCGGCAAGUCAGUAAGAAGACUCGACGAGUCAGUUAGGGUUCUUCCUGACAUUUAGACACGCGUAGACUCGCCGAGUUGGUGGGGAAACUCUGCGAGUUGGCCCAGGGAUUUCACGGUUUUCUGAGUUUUGGAGGAACUCGAUAGGUCAGUAGUUGGACUCGACGAGUUGGGUCAACAUGGACUGUUGACCUUGACUGUUGACUUGGAGUUUGACCAGGGUUAACCAUGUUUGACUUUGGAGGGUAUUUGGUAAAUGGGUAUUUAAGGAAAUGGAUCAUGGGUGGAUAUAGGUAAUGGAGUUUGGGGCAGUAUUUUGAGAGCGUGAUUUCGUGGUUUAGUUCGGCAUUGCAAGGUGAGUUAUCCUCACUAUAUCAACAGGGUCUAAGGCACCAAGGUCAGCCCUUUAUCUGAUUUGUAUUCGGGUAUUUGCUUGAUAUGUUUUUUGAUCUGCUAGAUCUGCAUCCUGGUAGUUAGGAUGGUAUUAUGUUUAGUGACCUGGUUUAGGUCAGUAUCCUGGUAUAUGGGAUGAUGUUAUGUUAGUGACCGGUUAGGUCGGUAUCCUGGUUAUAGGACGGUUGUUGUGUUAGUAAUCAGUUAGUUUGGUAUGAUUAUCUGUUGUAUACAUGCUCGCGUAUAAUAUUUAUGUGCACAUGAUUGUUUGAUUGUUAUGGGGGUUGGGUUGAGGCGGGUCCUGCUUCGUGUUGUAGGCCAACAUACCCAUGGCGGACCGGAAAGACUACAGGCCCAGGAAGGCACAUUGUCCAACCAAUGGCCCAACGAGCGGUCCGGAUAGGCUGAAGGCCCCGAGAGGGUGGUCCAAACGUGCCGAGGCUCGGAGAGUGGGCCAGGUGGACUGAAGGCCCGGUGCGGGCGGUCCAGUCAUACUGUAGACUCAAAGAGUGGACCAGGUGGACUGAAGACCCAGUGCGGGUGGACCAGUCACACAGUAGACUCGGGAUGCAUGGCUGUUCAGUGUUUGUUAUAUGAUAUGAUUAUGGAUUGUAUGAGGUUGGUAUUUUGGGGGUAACUCACUAAGCCUUCGAGCUUACGUUUAUCAAUUUAUGUUUCAGGUACAACGAAUUAACCCAGGAAGACGAAUGUGUGAUCGUACACUUCCCCAUAAUAUGUUUUGGAUUUUCUGGGAUACUCUGAUGUGAAACUAUUUUGGAAACCUUUUUGUAAUAACUAUUGGCAUUUGAAAUGUUUUUAAAAGUUUAAAUUUGGCUUGGAUUUUAUGGGUGUUACAAUUAUUUCAAUUAUCCAAGACGAUUUUAUGUCGAGAUUUUAAGUUAACAUUAAAUCUCAAUUAUUUGUUUGAAUGAUUUUUUUCUUUUAUCUUAGAGAUUUGUUUGAAAUUUAUUAAUUUUUUUUAUAAAUUUGAAUUAAUCAAAGACACAUAUAAAAAUAUCUCAUCAAAUCAAAUAAAUUUAAUAUAUAAAAAAGAUAGUAUCCGAUUAAGUCAAUCUAAAAAUACCAACAUAUAAAUAUAACUCACAAAUCUUGAUGGGAAUAAGAAUCAAACUCAAAAUCAAUCAAAUAAAAAAACCUUUGAUUUGUGUUAUAAGUAUAAAAUAAAUCAGGAUUCCAAAUAAAUAUUACAAUGAAAAAAAACCUAAAAUGUUUGAAACAAAAUAUGAAAUUCGCCAUCACUGUCAAUUUAAAAAAAAAACCUUUAUUAAUACUAAUGGGCUAUUUGGUAGCAUCCUGAUGAAUCAUAUCUGAAUGAUCUAGAUGCCUGGAUGAUCUAGAUGCUCUUUAGGAAUUUCUAUCGGAAUGAUAAAAUAAUGUUUGGUUAGGCAUCUAAAUAUCUGCCUCUUAAUGAGGAAAAUAACCAUUUUAGCCCUCUAAAUUAUUUUUUGAAUACAAAAUAAACAUUAUACAAUAUCCAACAAAUCGGUUAAAACAAAUUGGCUUUUGAUAUUCAGAUUCAUGUGUUUCUUCAUCAACAAUCUCUUUGAAGAGGACUCGUUUUGUUUCUGUUUUUAGAUCAUUAGGCUUUCUUGCUUCUGGAACAUUGAUGGGCCUAUUUUCUUGCUGAAUAUCUUCCAUCACUAGCAACUUCAUCUUGCUCCUAGAUCACAUAUCAACUAAACAAGUUGAAAAAUAACCAAACACAUAUUUUCAUAUAGAACAUUUCAAGCAAACACAAACACAUUUUCAAAAAAAAAAAAACAAAUCAAUUGUUAUUUUCAGAUUUCCAAAGGACAAAAACAACAUCAACUGAACACAUAUAUAGAGCAAGAAGAACAAAGCACAAAAAUCGAUUUCAUACAAAAUCGAGCAGCAAGAACACGAUUGACACCAAUUUCAUGCAAAAUUGCUCAACAAUAACACGAUUGAAGCAACAGAUUCGAGAAAAAAAACCAUACCUGAAAACUUACCGACGACGAGUAGGCGGAGAAGUAGGAGCGUUGUCGAAGGCAUGCAAGGGGAGGCGGCGACGGAGCCAAUAAUUGGAAGUUGUCAACGCUUAAUGAAGAUAAAGAAUGAGGGAUGAAAGGUCGAUCUCUAGAAAGAAGGAGAAGAAAAAAGAGUCGGCCGCAAUUUGUUGUUAGGGCAAUGGUAGAAGAUGAAAAUUUUUUUAUUCAGACUUCUCCUCAUAUCUUAACGAAUCAGAUUAGUUUUAGCUACAUCUGACCGAUUAAGAGCGUAAAAAUGUUUCAACCAAACACUCUGAAUCUUAAUGAUCCAAAUGCAACCUCUUAAUGAGACCAUUAAGAGGCAAAACAAACAGCCCCUAAAUAAAAAAAACAAUAUAGUUUCCAUAAAAAUCGAUUUAAAUAUUAAAGAAGAGAAGAAAUCAGCAUUUAUACGACGUAAUAGUUUUUUAAAAUUAAAAAAAAAAAAUUAUUCAUAUUAUAAGUAUAAAAUACAUUUUAUUCUUAACUCUCAUUUGUAAUUUGCCAUAUGUUUUCAUAAGAGUUUAUGGUAAUAACUUAAAUUUUUAUUUUUCCAUAUACCAUUUUUCAUUUACAAAAUUGUUUGUGCUUAUUUUUUUUUGUUAUAUUAAAAUUUAUUAUAUUUUAUUAUAUAAUAUAUAUCAUAAUUUUUUUCAUUAAUUUACAUAUAUCUUAUUUUUACGUGUUUAUUUGAAACAAUCGUUAUAAUGCAAAAUAAAUACCACUUCUCCAUAUUAAUUAUUAAUUUUUAUUAAAAUACUUUAUUAAUUAUUAUAAUUUUUAUCUAUUGAUAUUCGUUUAAUUUUGUAAGUUUUAUUUUCACAAAGUAUAACCUAAUUAAUUUCUCAUCAUCUAUAGUAAAUGAAAGUUUUUUUUUUCACAUGCAAUCACUAAUUAAUUUUGACACUUGUCAUUUUAUAAUAUUUUUUAAAUAAAUAAUAUCCACAUAUCAAUUUAUGAUUUUUNNNNNNNNNNNNNNNNNNNNNNNNNNNNNNNNNNNNNNNNNNNNNNNNNNNNNNNNNNNNNNNNNNNNNNNNNNNNNNNNNNNNNNNNNNNNNNNNNNNNNNNNNNNNNNNNNNNNNNNNNNNNNNNNNNNNNNNNNNNNNNNNNNNNNNNNNNNNNNNNNNNNNNNNNNNNNNNNNNAUCAAAUGUAAUAAAUAUUAUUUUAAAAUUUCAUUUUAAAAAAUAUUUAUUAUUACAUUUUAAUAUUUUAUAUUCUUUAAUCAACCGUGUAAUACAUUUUAAUACAUAGAUUUUCCAUCUAAUAAAUAAAUAAAAUGUAACCAUUUUAAUCACUAAAUAAUUAAUCAACCAAAGAUUAAAACCCACUGAUAAAAAGGAAACUAAAUCAACACCAAAUUGAAAAUUAAACCAUAUAUUACUAAAUUAAUUCACAGAGAGUUCGACAUCAAUCAAAUAUUAUCUCGCACUCAAAUUCACAAAACUCACUUUCCAGGUACAAAGUUUGUAGCAUAUGACCAUGCAUUGUUUGCAACAGGGUCAGCAAGGUGGUCAGCGAGGUUCUCCAAUGGUCCCUUUCCGGUAACAAUGGCUUGAACAAAGAAUCCAAACAUAGAGAACAUGGCUAGUCUACCGUUCUUGAGCUCCUUCACUUUCAGCUCAGCAAAUGCCUCUGGGUCAUCAGCCAGACCCAAUGGGUCGAAGCUACCACCAGGGUAAAGUGGGUCAACUACCUCACCAAGAGGUCCACCAGCAAUUCUGUAACCUUCAACUGCACCCAUCAAGAUCACUUGGGUAGCCCAGAUGGCUAAAAUGCUUUGUGCAUGGAUCAAACUUGGGUUCCCCAAGUAGUCAAGACCACCCUCACUAAAGAUCUGGGAUCCAGCCUUGAACCAUACAGCCUCACCAAACUUGACACCAUUACGCGCCAAGAGUUCGGGGAAGACGCACCCAAGAGCUCCGAGCAUGGCCCAUCUGCUGUGGAUGACCUCAAGCUCACGGUUCUUGGCGAAUGUUUCAGGAUCAGCAGAGAGCCCAGCAGUGUCCCAACCGUAGUCACCGGGGAACUCACCGGUCAGGUAAGAUGGGGCUUCGCCGGAGAAUGGGCCAAGGUACUUAACACGGUCGGGGCCGUACCAUGGACUUCCUGAUGGUGCGACUUUCUUGACUGCUGUCUUCCUCAUGGAAACCCUUCCAUUUCCGAUUAUUUCUGAACCAGAUGGUGCUGCUUUCACUGCCUGUCCGACGAAAGAAGAAGAUAGAGCCAUGGUGGAAGCUGCCAUUUUUGUGAGAUUUAUUUUGAAGAUGUUGUGAUGGUUAUACUUAUGAAGAUGGGUAGAACUGGAAGUAGAUUUAUAGGGUAGUUUUUGGAUCAGAUAGGUGAUCAAUGCUUAUCUUGAUACAAUCUUUAGCUUCAAUUUGAUUGGCUACAGAGAUUCUUGUGGGUCCGUAAUCUGUGGUGUGAGUUCUCUGGCCCCCCUGAGAUAUUUUGAAGGGGCAGGAUAUUCGUGGCUCUGGUUUAUUGAGCCAAUGACUGGCUUUCACUCACUACUCUUAGUGGUGGUUUUUUAUAAUAUGCUGUAAGCUUGUAACCAUCCAAUCGUCUAAGUUUAUAACUGACCUAUUAUUACAAAUAUAUACUAACCAGGCAAAACUUUUGGUUAUAAAAGUUAAUGUGACCGAGAGACUAACACAAAAAAUUAUAACAGGAGUAGUUAAUAAUCCGCGAUUUACCGCUAUGCCGAGAGCCGUAGGGAGGAUCCACCAUUUACCCCUAAGUGUGCAGAAUGCCUUUUUUUUUUUAGUAUUAAAAUAUCAAGAUCGGACACGCGUUGUAAAAUUCUUGUUCGAAUUGUUUGCAAACUCUUCGUCACAAUAAGGGGAGUUUAAAUAUGCGUUUUAAUAUAAUAACAUUGGCAUUGAUUAAAUGUUAAUAUUCAAUUAUCAUCCCACAUGAGAAUGAAAUAUAUUAAUGAUUUAUUAAUCUAAAAACAUUAUCAUCCCACAUGAGAAUGAAAUAUAUUAAUGAUUUAUUAAUCUAAAAACAAUUUUUUUAUGUCAUUAUUUUUUGGGGUUACAGUCGAGCUUGGAGGAUCUCGACUUUAGGUAUGCCCAUUUUAUUGAGAGGAAUUACUAAUAAAUUUCGGAAAGAGGAAAAAAAUAUGAUCGUGGACAUAUGGUUUAGGAAUAUUUUCAUGUUCGUUUGACACAAGUAAAGUUCUUGAAAUGGGUGCUUCAGUUUGUACGAGCGGCUAACUUGAUAAAGUUCAAAGACAUAAAGGCAAUUUUCAAAAACUCACAUGAUCAGUUAUCGAACAAGCAUGUCGUACUAGUGUGCCCACUACACAUGUUAGUUAGCGGUUUCAAUAGGAAAAGAGCAUCAUUAGCUGUCAAUGAUAAUAUUCUUUCUCUAGUACUCGAUCCUUACGACUUUUAUAUUUAUAUCAUGUAAUUUAGAAUUUAAUUUAAUUUCUAUUAAUCUUCGAUUACAGUUUAUGUGAUCUAAUUCAUGGAUGUUUUGGCACUACAUAUCUCAAUGGAGUAUGCCAGGGAAAUUUUGGUCAUAACAACAGCCUCCAUGGGUUUAUAUAUAUUUUUAAGGUACAUAUAACAUCCUAUUUUUAGGCUUAGAAAUUUUGGUCAUUUAUAGUGAAAAUAAUUUUUUUUAAUAAAAAAAUAAAAAAGGAAAAAUAAAAAUAAAAAGAAUGACUGAAUGAAUACAUGAGCUAAUAAAAGGUUUAGAUCAAAUGUUUAAAGAAAAUAGCGAAUUUAUACUUAAAAUAGGAAAUAAAUAAGGAAGGGUCAGUGGUGGCAACUUUGGAAAACUUGUUUAAUUUAGAUCUAACUAGACAAUUUAUUUGUAAAGAGUUAAAAAUGUAACGAAAUGAUACUUAUAAGCUUAAGAGGGAGUUUUUCAGUUGGAAAUGUUGUUAGAAACCCUUAUUGGAAAAAAUUAGGACAAAAGGACUAAAAUUGUCAAGUUGAUGAAACUUGUGUUAACCUUAAUGUAACGACCCUAAAAUCUUAAAUUAUGUGUUUAAUUACUUUGUAUCAUUUUGUUGAAAAAUGAACAUUAAUGAUGCAAUAAUCAAUUUGUUAGUAAAUUUCAUUGUAUAUCCUUACAUUUAUCAUGUUAUAAUCGAAAAUAUAGGACAUUUCAGCAAAAAAUAACCCUGUAGGAAAGUCGCAUUACACCUCGAUAUAUUCGUGUGGAUAUAAAUUCUAUGAAAAUCCAAAUUUGUAUGACGAAGUUAUAGUCAAUAUAAGUUGGAAGUACAAAUUUUAAUGUUUAAAUGUGUAUGUUNNNNNNNNNNNNNNNNNNNNNNNNNNNNNNNNNNNNNNNNNNNNNNNNNNNNNNNNNNNNNNNUAUAUAUAUAUAUAUAUAACAUCUCAAAACCAUAAUAACCAUAACAUAAAAUCAGAGUUUCAAAACAUAUUAUCUCUCUAAACCAUAACAAUCACUGGAUGAUGUGUAGAGUCACGUGUAACAUCUCGUUUAAAAUUAGAUAAAUAAAAUAAAAUAAGUAAAUAAAUUAGAUAAAAUAAGUAAAUAAAUAAUAAACCCUAAAACCUCAAGAUGAAUUUUAUAUUUUUAUGUUAGCCUUAAAUCCAUAAUAAUUAUCAGAGUAUUAGCGCAAUAAGUUAAAUGUUAUUAAUUCUGGAAAUAGGGGUUUAAAAUGUAAAUUUCGAACUAGUUAAGAAUAGAUUUGUGGAAGCUGGGGAUUGUUUGGUAAUUUGGACUUGAAUUGAAAGGAUUAUUGGAAACAGGUAUAGAGUAAAUUACAGAUUUAAUUUGUAAAGGAAUUGAGAUGGAGGGACUGAAAAUAUAAGAAAGGGACUAAUGUUUGAAGAGAUAGGCAUGACUUAAACCCAUUCCCCCUCCACCCUCUUGCUACUCGGUUGCACCCAUAUAAACCCUAACCCUAAUAUCUUCUCAGCCGCCACCUUAUCCCUCCAUAUCUCCAGUCGCUUCCAUCACCUGUGUCGCCGUCAUGAACCACUGAGCACCACUGCCGCUGCUCCCACUGCCGAUGAAAACGAAGAUCAACGUUUGGACACCGUGACAGUGGGGAAGUAGGAAGAAAGGAAGCUCGUGGUUGUUAUUGCUGUUAUUCUCGGUUAGGGGUCGCAAAACCUUUCUCUUCUCCGUUUCCUUUUGUUGCUACGUUGUCAUCGUCAUCGCUCCAUGUGAGGGUGGUUGUGUUUGUGUUUUGUGAGUGUAGGUGUGUGUUGCUGCUGUGGCAAGUUGGAGAGGUGUGUGUGUCUUUUGUUGGCCAGAAAAACGAAGAGAAUCACCAUGGCAACCAACCAUGGUGGUUUUCACCGUUCUGGAGCCACUAGCCACCACCCUAGGUGGCUGUGUGUGUUGGAUUGACAUUUCUUCUGUACCAGGAUGCUUUUGAUAGUGUUUGGCCUAAAAUUAUAACUACCACCAUUAAAAAGUGGUGGCUGUCGCCUCCUACCGCCAUGGACCGCCGCCGACCACCAAUGCCCGAGGUGGCAGUGGGUGGUGUCUGACUUACUAAACAUUAAAUAACCUAAACAUCUAACCUUAGACCGAGUGGUACGUGUUUGGGUUGGAAACUCUUACUAGGCUUUAGAAAAUCCUAAGGUCAAGAAAACCCUAGUUUUGGAGUUUUGUCGGGACCCGCGUUGAAGUGUUAAUUGAACUUUAAUUAUACUCGAUAAGGCCCUACGAUUAACUUAAUGCAGUAUUGAACUUAAUGAAUUAAGUCCUUAAGGGGUUAUGUGUGGAGCACUAACCCUAGUUAUCAUUUUAUGUGGAAACCCUAAAAAUCAAGAAGCCUUAUUUUCGGCAAUGAUCAGGGCACAUAUUUGGGAUAUUCCUUGGAUUAUUAUUAUACCCGAGAAUGAAUAUGUCAAACCUUAAUCACUCCUACUUUUAUUUGAUUAAGUCCUUAAUGGGUUAAGUGUCCUUACUUAACCCUAAUCGUCAUUUUAUGUGGAACCCUAAUCACUAUUUCAUGUGAGGUAGUCACUGCUGCAAUUGACGAUGACUUGUGAUCGAGUAUUGAAUCAAGUAUCUUCCUGUAGGUGAUUGGAAGUGAGUUGAAGCUGGUAGAGUUCUUCGUUACUACGGUGGUUACCUACUAGCAUAUCGAGCUGAGUUUCACCUCACUGUGUUAGAUCUAUAUGCACAAGAAUCAUUAUUCAGUGACAUUGCUAAUAACAUAUGAUCCUAUAAGGUCACACUUUAAUCAAGUUGGUACUUAUUGAAUAUUUAUUAAGUAUUUUAUAAUUAAUAAUAAAAGUUCAACUCAUGUAUUUAAUUAAAGAAAAUUUAUUGUUUUGUGAAAAUAAUAAUAAAUGAAAGACUAACUANAUAUAUAUAUAUAUAUAUAUAUAUAUAUAUAUAUAUAUAUAUAAGUCAUGUACAAAGUUUUGGACACUUUCACCAAAGAUUGACAAACUAGCUAGUUAAUUAAGUGACUAAACAAUAAACUAGAAAAUCCAAUGGACCAUUUUAGUCCUUAAAACCAUGGGUUAUCAAGGCGAGGAGGUUGAAAGUCAACCUCCAACAUUCUUGUCCCCCAUGUUUGUUCAUUACCUUGCAUGUAAUACACACCAUGAUCAUAUUAUAUAAGGCUAGUUGUUUUAUCACUAUAUGACUAGAAGAAAAAAAUCAUUUACACUUUCAUCCAUAGAAUUGUAGGUUCUCUUGGCUUCUCCCUAUCUCUCACUUGAAGUUAGUUCUUGGUUUUUUAGAGUUCGUCUUUUGUGUCUUCCUUUUACACUUAUUAUCUAUGUGCUUAAGGCUUAAAGAGAAAAAUAUUAUACAAGAAGAAAUCUAGCAAUUUUGGUACCUUAUUCUUGUUGGUGGAUUACUUGUAGAGAAGAUCAGACUUGUUGUUCUUGCCAUCUACUUCAACACCCCAAAUCUAAGAGGGUCCAAAGUCUACGAAGGUUGUAUUUUCUAAACUCCCUAUGGUUGUUAUAAUAUCAUUCUAAGCACUUUAAAAGGAUCCUUGAUGGUUUGUUUUGUUUUCAAAUUUAUAAGAAAUUUUUAAAGCUUCCGUUGCCAGUUUUUGUGAAAAACUAUUUAUUUUAUGCAACAAACCCCUUCAGUUGUAACACUAUAAAUUUUCAAACAAAAUUUCCAUUUUUAAAACACACAAAUCUUAAAAUCACAUUUCUCAAAAAUCACAAAUGUAUCAAUUGUAAGAAUAUCCCAGAACCCUCAAACAUAAUCUCGAACAGGUGUGUACAAUCAAGUCGGCGCCUUACCGUGAUUCUGAGAAGUACCUGAAACACAUAACACACAACAUAGUAAAAACGAAGCUUAGUGAGUUCCCCAAAAUACCACAUACACAAAUAAUAAGCCACUCAUAGCUAUAGCUCGGCAUGGACCUUCCAGUCAUGCGUCUCGGUGAGGACCCUCCGGUCUCACGGCUCGGUGUGGACCCUCCGGUCAUGUGUCUCAGUGAAGACCCUCAGGUUUCACAGCUCGAGUUGGACCCUCCAGUCCUGUAUCUUAGUGAAGACCCUCCAGUCUCACAACUCGGUUUGGACCCUCCGGUCCUAACUCAGUAAGGCACAAAAUAAUAUAGCAUAUAUGACAAAGACAAAAUGCAUAAUAUCACAUAACUCAGUAUAAGCACAUAGGACCAUCCGGUCGAUAACUCAAAUAAGACCCUCUGUUCACAUAGUAUUACCACUCAGGUAAGUAUAGUGAUAAGACUCGUCUCGGAAGUAAGCAAAUAGAUCUAGUACCCCACGAACAGUUUAGACUCCGCCUACAUAAUAUAAUUAUCUCUAAUAAGCAAUUUGUAAUAACCAUUCCGAGAUGUUAAGCUAGCUCCCCCACUAAAUCUCAAAAAUGGUGAAAAUACCAUUUUACCCCUCCAUGGUCUCUAAGGUCCACAGUUGACCAAACCCUAAAACUCAACGUAAGUCAACGCUCAAGUCAACAGUCCAUGUUGACUAAACUCGUCGAAUGCAUCCAUGCGACUCGUUGAGUACCGUCGUUUUCUCUGAAGUAUCGGGAAAAUCCAACUCAACUCGUCGAGUUGUCUCAUCAACUCGCUGAGUUGUAACGCAUUUAGACUAUCAGGGAAAACCCUAGCUGACUAGUCGAGUUGUCUCAUGCACUCGUCGAGUCCCUCUAUACAAAUUCUCAUUUAGACUAUUCUAAGCAGGAAUAAGGUCCCAAACUCUAGAUCUAGCCUCCCAAGGCUGAAAUACCAUGUAAAGCUGCAAGCUUUACGUCUAUGCAUGGAAUCUAGCGCUCAAAAUGCUAAAACAAGCUCUAUAUAGGGUUUAAUGCAUAAAAUCUUGCCACUAGCUUGAUAAAGCUUGGACCUUUGGGCUCAAGGGACCUCAUAUUGUCCAUAUCUGAAGUCUCAAAUUCAUGGCAGGCUCAAACAACUCAAGUACUCAAAGAAGGAUGGAAAAAGGCCCUAAAACUCCUUAGAAAAGAGAUCUAACCAAAUAAUGAUCAAGGUGGUAACUUUUUACCUUCAAACAGAAGCUAGAAAUGAAUAAGCACCAGAUCCAAGAGCUCCCUCUCGUCCCAAGCCUUUUGUUCCUCAAUCUUUCUCCAAAAAUGCACCAAAAUACACAAUAUUAUCCUCUCCUUCUCUCACACAUAGAUAUAGCUCGAUUAGGGUUUCUCUCAGAGUUUUAGGAUGAUAAGGGAGGAUGAAAUGAAGGCUUAAGGUCCUUUAAAUAGGACACAAACCCUGAAAAUUGGGGUUUUCUCACUCUGCUCCUACUCGUCGAGUUGGGGUCCUCCAACUCGUCGAGUAGACUCUAAAAAUCACGCAACCUUUAACUCCUCUACUCGGCGAGUUGGGGCAUCCAACUCGUCGAGUUGCUCUGACAUCAUAAAUGCAAAUUUAUUAAAUGUUAUAUAUGGGAGCAGGAUGGUACAUGUAACGACCCAAUUUUCAUGACCAAAAAUUUUGUUUUAAAAACAUUACUUUAGAAAAUAUUAAAAGCUAAAAACAUUGUCGGAUCAAAUCAUAACACAAGUGAACCAUGUCUAAAAGCCAAUUCAUACAUUCAAUCAAAAUAUCAGAGUACAAAUCCCAGUGAAGCUCGUAAAUGCGGAAACCGGAGAGUGUGUGUGUGACAUGCUGCUACCGCGCCGGCUCCUUUCCCCUAGCUGAGGAGGUACCUGAAACCAAAACUGAAGACUGUAAGCACAAAGCUUAGUGAGUCCCCCCGUCGUACCACAUACCAUACAAACACGUAACAUACAUACUGUCAGGCUAUUCUGGGGUGCCUGACUACCCGGUACGGCCGUUCUGGGGUGCCGUCCUACCCGUGUCAAGCCAUUCUGGGGUGCUGACUACCCGUGUCAAGCCAUUCUGGGGUGCUGACUACCCAUGUCAAGCCAUUCUGGGGUGCUGACUACCCAUCGGUCCUAACAACCGAUCCUCGGGGACUAGUCCCCUCUUACUACCUUUAUCUCAUAUAACAUAACAAGCCAGCAUGCAAUCAUAUCAUCACGUACUGUCAGACAUAUCUGGGGUGUCCGACCUACCCUUCGGUCCUAACAACCGAACUCUACAACUAUCACAUAUACAUAUCAUGCCAGCAUAUAACAUAUCAGGUAGUAGCAAACCUAGAUGAUAUCACAAAGACAAUCAUCUAACAUACAACUCCUACUGGUGGGCCGGCAUUGUGGCCGUAGACCCACCGCUACUGGAAGGUAACUCACCUCGAAGUAGCUGCUGAUCUGAUCGGGAACUGACUGCCUACUGCUGCUGCUGCUGCUCCGGAAAUCCUCCGGCUGCAAUUCCCACAACAUACUCAAUCAAACACUGCUCACUGACCUUUGGGUAAAAUGACCAUUUUACCCCUGAUCAUGCCCUAAGUCAAAGUCAGAGUCAACUUUCAGUUGACCCGACUCGCCGAGUUGGCUUUCCAACUCGCCGAGUCCCUACCCAAACGACUGCCCUGAAACCCGAUCCUACCCGUCGAGUUAGGCGACGACUCGACGGGUUCACCUUCUUAACCAAUAUUCAAGUCCUUCAUUCUACUCGCCGAGUUGUAUGAACAACUCGCCGAGUUCAUCUUCAUCCGAA
rnacentral:lncRNA from 1 species